rnacentral:lncRNA from 1 species
CAGAAACCCUAACCCUAAUAACCCUUCUGGUUGCCGUCACUUGGUGUUGCAGAGAGAGGCGAGGGACCAAGAUGAAGUACAAUCCGAGGGUUUCAAGCUCCCGCCGGAAGAGUCGGAAGGCUCACUUCACGGCGCCGUCGAGUGUCCGGCGAGUGCUGAUGAGCGCACCACUCUCCACCGACCUCCGCAGCAAGUACAACGCUCGCUCCAUGCCCAUUCGCAAGGACGACGAGGUCCAGGUCGUUCGGGGAACCUUCAAGGGCCGUGAGGGGAAAGUCGUUCAAGUUUACCGCCGGAAAUGGGUCAUCCAUGUCGAGCGGAUCACUCGCGAGAAGGUUAACGGAUCCACCGUCAACGUCGGCAUCAAUCCUUCCAAGGUCGUGAUCACAAAGCUACGCCUCGACAAGGACCGCAAGUCACUCCUCGAUCGCAAGGCCAAGGGUCGCGCGGCCGCCGACAAGGACAAGGGCACCAAGUUCACCGCGGAGGAUAUCAUGCAGAGCGUCGAUUGAUCGGUUCGUUUUUGUCUUUUUGUAACAGGUUUCUGUCUUAGAUGCUCUUUAUCAUGUUUUGUUUGGAUGGUUUAUUUUGAGGAUUUUGCAUUAUAAGUUGAGGUUCAGACGUUUUCUCUGCCAAAAUAUGGAUUUUAUGAUACCUUAAUGGAAUGUUCCUACUUCUUUAUGGUAUGAUAUUGUGCCUAGCAUUCUCAAUUAGCAAAUGGAUUUGUUUAGCUUCUUUUUCCGUGCGAUAUAUUAACUAACAGGGAGCCUUUAAUAUCCUAUUCAUUCCUGAAUCCAAACAAAGGCCUUUUGUUUUGGGUUCCAUCUGCCUGUAAUAUGCUAUGCAUCUGCCUGUAAUCCUUUCUUAGAGUUAGGAAAUACUUGUUUGUAAGUAUUUUCCUCAAAUUCCAAAAUGGAAGACGUGGGAACACAUAAUCAAGUUUGUGUUUGUUCUAUGCAUUGCCCUAGAUGGCUGAAUCUCACUUCACCUGUGAGUGUUUGGACUCCCGUCUGGUGAGGUUGUAAGGUACAUUUUCUUGAUCAUACAAUCAAAUAAGGUGAGGCUUACUGACUAUCGGUUUUCAUUUAUUGGUUGGACUUUACAACCGAGGAUUAUGCUUUGCUUUGCAGAGUCUGGUUAUAUAUGUAUAAUUGCAACUGUAAGGGCAUGCUGUUUGAGCAACAAAUUUUCCUCUAGAAAAUAAAAACUAUCCAAAACUAACAUGUUUUUUGAACUCUUCAAAAGCUUUUUCCUUUCUUUUCUUUUCUUUUGUUUUGAAGGAUGAGACCAAGCACACAUAAAAGACUGAUGGUCAAAACCAGGUGUGCGCUCAUUCAUACCGAGAAAUAGAAAUAAUAGUGCAGGAAUCCAAAUAGGAAGUACCUUCAUGGAUUGAUCUCUCAUGAAGCUCCCCUUCUGUUAAUUUGAGGUGUGAAAUGGUGGGUGAAAUAAUCAUAGAAAAGAAACCAAAAGAAAUACAUAUCCCUUGACAGGAUUCCGGUCAAUCAACUGGAAACAUGCGCUUCAUGAAUGUUAAAUUUAAUAAAGGUCAGAGCUUAGAAUAAAUUAUGUUUGGUUAUAACCCCUCAACCUUUUACAUGUUUUAUACUAUUGUUCCUUUGUAUUCUUUUGUUCCCUUGUAUUCAAAAUCUAACACUUCAUCCCUCAACAUGUUUUGCACUUUGUUACCUUAUAUUUGAAGUUUGACACUUUAAUCCCUCUAGUUUGUUGAAGAAUAGUACUUCGACAUCAUUUAUGAACCCUCCAUGAUUAUAAAAAGGAUUGCUCUGUUCUGGAAGCAAGUUUGAAUUCAGCCCUCCAUGAUUAUAAAAAGGAUUACUCUGUUUUGUACAUUAGUUUAAAUUUGGAUAAAACUAGCUUCAAACGGACAUUUUUGAAGUGGAGUUUCUUAAUUGGCCAAUUGUAUUGAUUUUUUAUUUUAGAUUUUAGAGAAGUUUGAUUUUCUUAUUUCGAGAGAUAUAUGUCUGAAAUUUGUGAUUUUCAGAUCCAUUUACAAAGUGAUAUUUUGAUUGUCUUUAUUCAAAUUGUUGUUGUUUAACAAGCAAACUUGGUGGUAAAUUGUUGUUUAAAGUUACGGGGCAAAGUAUUGAAUUUUGGGACUUCGAAUAUGAGGUUUGUGGGGGCAAGGCAUUCUAUUCUUAUUUGACUGACUAUGAGCUUUGGGGGCAAAGUGUUAUUAUUUAACCAGUUGCUGGGUUUAACCCAAUAUUCUUCAUUGGAAGAGCUUCUUAUACUUUGACUCAUUGGUGAACUGGACACUAAUGCACGUAUCUUUACUGGUAAGAUGAUGACUCACAGGUGAACGGAAGUGAACCGUUUUGCGAUCGACGCAAAUUGGAGAACGUGUAUUUGAAGGUAAACCAUUUUGCAGAGAACAAAGAAUUAAAUUUGUUCUUAAAUAUAAGGCUAUUGGGUUGGUCACCCCUGACAGAGGAGUAAAACUUAUAGCUUCAGUCAUCUAUGGAUACUGUGAUUUCGUUCUGUAAACGGUAAAACACCAAAGAGUGCCAAUUGAAACAUGAAACUUAACCAAAUCAGUUUGGGGCAGACAUUUACUCCGAAAAUAACAAGGUUUGAAAUGUCGAAACUAUCAUUGAUAUUUCGUCCAAAAACUCGAUAGUAGGAAAAAAUAAUCGGAAAAAAUCGCAUUAUUGUGAAAUAUCAGCGAUAUUGCGAUCUUUAUUUUUUUAGAAAAAUGGGUAUUUUUUGAGGAAAAUCAUGAAAAUUUCUCAUUUAAGGACCCCUCACUAUUCACAUGCUUAGUGGAACCCUAUUCACUCCACUCCUCUUACUAGUUGCACUUUGCAGAAGGGCGCGACUCGAACCCAAGUCAAAAAUUUACAUUAAACCUUAAAAACUAAAAGUUGAUUUGCACUUUGAAGAAGGGAGAAUCGAACCGAAGGCAAAAAGUUUACAUUAAACACUAGGGCAGAUUCACACAUAAAAUUAAAAAUGCACAAAUGCAUGUAUUUAAUUUCAUUAUAAAAACAAGAUAUUAAAAAAAUAUUUUAAGAAAUAAAUAUAUUUUAAUUAUUUUAUUUUUUAAUUUUACUUAAUUGAUUAUCAAAAAUAUAAAAAUUAGUGACUUUUUUUUAUAUCAUUUACAUGAUGAUAAAAUAUAAAAAAUAUAAAUAUAAAUAUUAUUGUUAAACAAUAUUUAAUAGAACUUAAUAAUAAAUAUAUGUUUACAAAAUUCCAUAACAUUAACUAUAAGAAAUUAUAUCCUACAUAUAUUAAUUUUUUUAAUAAAAUAAUUUUUAAAUAUCUAUUAUUAUUUCUUCUAUCAUUUCUUAAAAUUUUUCUCAGCAUUUGGAUCUAAUUUUGUCUCAUCAAUUUUAUUUUUUGUCAAAAUACCUCUCAAUAUUUCCUGAUAUAUUGAUAAAAUCCAAAUAUCAUUAUAUAUAUAUAUAUGAGAUUACUAAUAUUUUCGAAAUAACUCUCACAUUGAGAAUCCUGCAGAUCACGAUCAAAACAAAAUGUUCUGGCACAUUGCAAUAAAGCAGUCUCCAAUAAAUUUGGCACUACCACUCUCCAACAAUCCUCCACUGGAGGGUAAGAAAAUGUUGCAUCUAUGUCAAAAUGAUGAGAAAACGAGGAAAAAAAGACCACAAGUAGGAGGCCUGAACAAAAAUACAAUCCAUCCACAAUCCAAAACCUAGAAAUGAAUAUAUUGUGGAAUUAUUUAUUAAGAGCUCCCUUUCAGGCGCCACUGAAAAAUAAAAAGGGUAUGGACUUCAAACGACAGAAUACUCCAACAGCAGAAAACCACUCAAGGCUUGAGAGCAAGGGCCAGCCCAAACCUAGGAGUUUUGUCCAGCGCCUUGGUNNNNNNNNNNNNNNNNNNNNNNNNNNNNNNNNNNNNNNNNNNNNNNNNNNNNNNNNNNNNNNNNNNNNNNNNNNNNNNNNNNNNNNNNNNNNNNNNNNNNAAGCAAUGCUUGGGGUACCAAUGGUGACUGAAAGAUCAACUGCUGGUGACUGAUUCAAUGCAACUGAUGUAGUGAGUGUUGCAUGAUCAUGGAAGUACUGAACCUCCAGCUGCAUAAACAAAUGGCAAACAUAAGAACGUAAAAACUCAACAUAUGUAUAUAAAAUCUCACCUAGCAUAGAGGAUGAUUUGUACCUUGCCAGAAUUGUAAUCAGGAAAUUUGAAUGAGGCAAUAGUCUUAGUGGAUGGAAUAAUCUCUGUGAAUGUAAGGGUUGUAUUGAUCUGCCAUAACAAUGAAAGCAGAAGAUGCUUAUUGCAGACACAAAAACUCUUAGUAAAAAUUUUAAAACCGAUAAACCAAGUGACCUACAUUUGACCCUGUGUCAGCUUUUACAUCAAUGACAGAAUUUUUGUAUUUGUAUUGCACUGCUACAUCGCCAGUUGAGAGUCCUCCUUUCUUCACUGCAGUUGAUGUGAUGGCCUAAAGAACAGUAGUUGGCAUUCAGUUGUUGCUCCCAGUUCACAUUGCACAGGAUAAAAAAUACAAAUAGAUGACAGUCACAACCGCCACCAAAUGUUGUCAGGAAGCAAGCAUGAGCCCAAAACCAUUAAUACCAAAUUUAAGGACCAAAAGUUAAAUUUUGUAUAUUAGAGAUUAAUAAAUACCAUUAGGUGUGAUAAAUGAUACAAAUAACAACAGGUGAAAUAGUAGUAUAACUAAUAUUUGCACUAAGAAAGAACAAAACUAUUGUACACUAUGGAAAAUGGAAAUGGCUACAUGUGCACUGAUUUGGAAUUAGAGCUUCAUCAAAAAAAUUACUUAGUCUAUUGAGCAGGGUGUACAAAUUGAACUUCAAGGUUUCUUUCUUUUUUUUUUUUUGAUAGAUAAAAAGGAAGUAUAUUAAACGAAAAGAGGAAGCACCAAAAACAGUGCCCUCCAAGUAUACAGGGAGUAUACAAACAAGCCCAAAGACACACCCCUAAGGGGAAAGGAAAGCAACACACCAACUUCCCUUACUUAGAGCCUAACUAGUCUAAAAAACUUACAAGAGAAGAAGGGCUCAAAACUAAAGAAAUCUUGACCCAAGACCAAAGAUUACAUACAAAAGAAUAAACAUGUCUGGAACGUACAAAUUGAACUUCAAGGUUUCUUGCUCAAUCUCAGUGGUAGAUUAUUUAUUAACAUGUCUGGAACAUUUCACCAUUAAUAAACACAACUGCCCUGUAGACACCUGCAACCAUGCCUGUCUUGCACAGAUCCUAAACACACAAUUUUGAAACUCUGGCAUGCUACAAAUGUGGCCUAAAGAUUUUGUAACAAAGGAAUAUCAAAAUUCCUGCAGGGAAAAUAAAUACAUUACCAUAUCAAAAGCCACAUAUUUCUUUCCUAUAGAGAAUCCAUCUAAAAUCUCACUACAUAACAACAGAGUUCCAAAAAGGUUUCCCAAUGAAUAACAAGAAAAAAAGCACAUUUUUUAUAUACCCACUCUUCUCCUAUGUCCUGAUAGCAUAUACCAACUACUCAAUUCCAUAAUUCCUUACAACUAUGGGACUUUUUUUUUACUUCUGCUUUCAUGGAUAAACAUAAAGUCAUAUAGAAGGCACCAAACAAAAGGGGAAGCACCAUUUCUAUAUGGUGGUAUAUAAAAGGGACCAAAGAAAGAAGAAAAUACAUACCCCUCCAACAAACAGCAAAACUAUGUCCAUCUAUCCACAAUUUAGACUACAAAUGAAGUCUAGCAACAUAUAAUAGUCAACCCUAGCAAGGACCUCGAUUACUUUAAAAGGAACUUGAUGAAAUUGGCUUUUGAUCUGAAUGCUCUUUUUCACUAUAAGUUUGAUCAUUAUACUCUCUCCAAAUGCACCAAAAUAGGCAAAGGGGUGCCACCUCACUAAGCCUUCCUCAUCCACUUUAUCCAAGCCUUGAAUCUUNNNNNNNNNNNNNNNNNNNNNNNNNNNNNNNNNNNNNNNNNNNNNNNNNNNNNNNNNNNNNNNNNNNNNNNNNNNNNNNNNNNNNNNNNNNNNNNNNNNNGGUGCCACUCACUAAGCCUUCCUCAUCCACUUAUCCAAGCCUUGAAUCUUUCAGCACAACAGAAGCUCCCUAAUUGACUCUAGAAAAAACCAACUGCAUCCCAAGAAUAUUCAGCAACAAAUCCUACAGCUGUCAUGUCCAAUUGCAAUGGAUCAGAAUGUGCUUUCUGGUUCCUUGAUAGCUUUACAACUACAAAUCUGGCAUUCUGAUGUAUAUGAUUGCAUUAUCUCAACAAGUGGUCAACUUGUCCAUUUCAUUAACAUCCAGUUACGAUCAUUUCCGAUGCCAUAAAGAGUAUGGUUCUAUAGUUGUCUUAUAAAAUCCUCUUUAGUUGGGAAACUAAAAAUUAACUCAAACAUUAGUUAGAAGCAUUGUCCAUUUGUUCAUCCCACUCCAUUGUUAUGGGCAACAUGGUUUCAUCUCAAGGGUUUGGAAGGGAGGCCAUCUUUAUUUCUCUAUAGCAAAUCAAACCAAGAAAAAUUACAAUGAUAAUACUAAUGUGUUGCUUAGCCCUAUCCCUUCCUUUGUACUCCUAAUAUUACCAAAUAAUAAUAAUAGUAAUUUUUUGUAACCUAUUAGUGCCAAGUAUAGGCAAAUGUCUAGGUGUCUAAUCCUUCACACCUACAAAUUUUAGGAUAUGGAGACUUAGCUAAGAUGUAUCUCAAUGAUGGAUGUAAACACUUGGCUACAACAUAAUAAUGGGAAAACAAAAUCAACUAGAAAUCAAUAAAAAAAAUAAAGACAUCUUUGAUAAAAACUCUCCUUUUCUCUUUUAUCCUUGCUAAGGAAGUUGAAAUGGAAAUAUAAAUCGAUCAAAACCAAAUAGUCACAUCUGAAGCAAAGUAGGAGUAUCCAACAAGGCUCUCACACUCACAUUGUGUUGACACAAUUACACAAGGUGCAAUUGGAGAGUCCGGGUAUCAUAGCAUGCUUCUCAAAACUACAUCACAAAAUUUCCUUGACAAUGUCAGUUGAUCUAAUCAACAUUUCCUUAUUCCCUAAACCUAUAGGAUGGUAGUGGUAAAUUAUGGCACAGUGAUUCAGUUCCCCCGACAUAUUUUCUCCUUCACUACAAAAGAAUGUUAUAAAGAGCACAAUCAUAUUCCCCUCCAUCUUCCAUAUCAAAACAAUCCAGUAUUGUAGGCUCAGGUUUGUUGCAGAGGGGAAACUUCUUUGUUUUGUAAUGAACAAGCCACAAAAAGGCACAUGUUCAUUUUCUCAAAUAAUUAAUAAGUUUCUCAAGUGAACAAUUUCAACAUGGUUCACUUUAACCCUGUCGCACAUUGGAUGAAACCAGACAUCCCUUUUUCAAAUCAAGAAAAAGGCUUCAACCUAUACACUUUGUCAUGCUUAGGCAUUAACCCAAAAAAAAAAAUAGGAAAGAAAAAAAAAAUUGCACCUUCAACUUGUCAUUUUAAUCAAACAGGCUUGUCAAAUUCUAGAUUAUUUUUAAAUGAAAACACAUCAACAGAUAGCCUUCAAACUUGAUUACUUAUACACAACAUCAAACUUUGUAAAGCUAAAUAAUUUAAGAAUCCAAUUGAGUGACAUCACAUAAACACAAAAAUAAAUUAAAUAAUUGAAUAUUCAUACAAUCUAUUCCACUUUCAACUUCCACUAAAGCCUCUAUACUAAUUCUUGAUUCUUCCAAUGUCUAUACAAUCCAUCAUUAUAAGAAUGCAUAUACAACCUGGUUUUCCAAAUCAACAUCAUACCUCGAAAUCAACCAUAAGCCAAAAACAGCGACCACUCCAACCUAAGCAAAUUUAUCAUCAAUUCUUACAAGAAUGACGAUUCCUAAUAAAUGAGAAUGAAACAUUUACACAGGAAACAGGUUAAAGGUCACAAGAUCUUAUCGAGACUAAAAGCACUAACACACCUUCUUUCAAAUUCAGCUAAAAGUUAAAUCAUAACUCCUGCCAUUACAGUUUAUUGAAAUUAAAUGCACAGUCUACGCAAAAAAUAGUCGAUCCCAAUGCGAUCCAAAACUACCGUCAUAAUUGUCCGUCAAACCCUAAACUAUUGGUCUAGGCAUCUUCAAAACAAUAUUUAGAAAAGAAAAAAAAAAAUAACACGGAGAUAGAUCGUUAGAGAUUCAAUCCCUACCACUCCCGUAUCGCUGUAUGUGGAGACGGUGAAUUUCUGAUCGGAGAUGUAAUCCCUCGUGAGAAGAUCUACAAUCAAAUUAAGAAACUAGGGUUUCACAAUCAAAUCAAAUAUGAGCACCAGAUAUUUCAGAACAUGUGCGAGUAGAAUGACUACCUUUGGCUUUCUUCCCUAUAUCGGCGAAGAGUCCUGGUCCCUUGCUCAUGUUUGCAGAAAGGAAGGGGAGUAUCCGAAUGCCGCAAUGGGAAGAUUGGAGGUAGGAGGUGGGAAGAGGAGAGAGAUGCGAAGAAUUUUCGUAUUUCUUUUUUUCGUGGUCACCACCAAAAUUGCGAAAGCCGAGUGUAAAAGUUGGCUGUGAGCGGUUGUGGUGACAGCCGAAAUGUCGACCGUGGAUUUAAAUGGAGGGGCUGCAUCGUGUGGCGGUAAACUAUACCUACAGAAAAUCGAAAAAUCGGCGAUCAAAUUGAGCGUGGGACGACGCGCGUGGUGCGGCGACAAAAAAUGGGCAAUUUUUUUUAAAAAAAAAUCGCCACUUUUUUUUAGGACUUUUCAAAAAACGCCAUUUUUUUUAUAUAUAUAUCCUGUUUUUUUAAAAUAAAAUAAAAUAAAAGUUAUCUUUUAUUUUAAAUUUAUAUUAUCAUUUUAUUUUAUAUUAUCCUUUUAUUUUUAACUAUUUUUCACAUUUAUCUCCUUAAUCUCAUUUCAAAAAAUUACUAUCACUCUACUCUUAACUUUUUUAUAUUUAUCUUUUUAAUUUUAUUUAAUUUUAAAUGUUUUAUUUUAAAUAUUAAAAAUAUAAUUUUACUCAAAUUUUUCUAAAAUAUAAAAAAUAACUAAUGAAGUUCUAAAAUUUUAUAAAUUAAAAUUAAUUUGAUAAGAUAAAUUAUUAAUAAUUUUAAUUAUUUAAAUAAAGUAACGUUAAUAGAAAAGUUGUCACUACAUAUUUGUUAAUGAAAUUUUAGAAAUUAAAUCGUAAAUAAAAUAUUUUAUAUAAAUUAAUUUAGGUUUUUAUUUAAAAUGUAAUAAAACGUGUUUUAAUAAAAAUAUUUUUUUAAUUUUAAAAAUAAAUGAAUGUAAAUACAUUAAAGGAAAUUAAGCUUUUUUUUUUAUAAAUAUUUGAUAAAUAUUAUCUUUAAUCAUACUCAUGUCAAUUACAUUUAUAAAAUAAUUGUUAUUUUUCUUAUCAUUUUUUUUUUAAGUCUUUUAAGUAUUUUCAUUAAUUUUUAGUCAUUUCAUUUCUGUUUUGAUUGAUGUUUUUAUCACAAUAUUUACCAAUAUUUUUUUUAUAUAUUUACAAUAUAUCCACUAAAAUUCAAAUAUCAAUAUAUCCAAUUUACCGAUAUUUCAUACCUUGGUUAAGAUCAAUUCAUUGAUUGAUCAAAUCAUUACAUUUAGUAAGGGAUUGUUAGUGAGAUAAUCAAUUUGGUAUCUUAGUGAGUUAAGGUUCUCUUUAACCAAUUACAAGAUUAAUAUACACUACCAAUCAAUCCUUCAUUUUCUUGCUCAACGAUCAAGUGAUCAACUAACCUACUCUUGGUUUUGAAUUUUUGAAAACUAUUUAAUCUUUAACACAUACUUGAAAAAGCUAGUUUUCCUCAAUUUGUUGAGGUCAUAUGCUUCAUCCAAUUUAAGAUUUGAAUGCAUUUUAAAAUAAACUGGAUGAAUUUUUAUUUUUUUUCUAAACAAAAUUAUAAGACUAAAUAAUUUAAAAAAAAAAAAUCCUAUUUCAAAGCACUUCCACCUUCCAUUGCAAAAAAAUCUUAAAAACAUGAACUUUGAUUCAAAGCUUUCUUGGAGCAUGUUGCUUAUAAAGCAUUGAGUCUUACGCCAACAAAAGCUUUUAACACAAACAUAUUAAUUCAACAACAUAAAAAUAAAAUAAUCAAUACAUAUGUAUAUGAGGUUUUAACAUUAUUCAGUCAACCAUAUCUACAUCUAUAAAUGAGAGAUAAUUUUUUCAUUAUAUCAUAAAGAACAUUACAAAUGACAAAAUCAUAUAUAAUUAUUGGGUUAUCGAACCAUCUUAUAUUUUCUCACUUUUUAUAUCCACAUCCUAAACCACGAACUCUUUUGCUCUAUUAAGUAUCUUUUAUUCUUCGUCACAUCUCUUUCAAUCUUCUAUAAUCUCUAAAAAUUCAUAUUUAUCUCAUGACUUCAAAUAUUUAUAAUAACGUUAUUUAUUUUAUAAAAAAAUAUAAUAUUACAAUAAUAUGUCAACCUAUAAAAUAUUUUAUACAAUAUUCUUUACAAAAAAAAUUAUUAAUUAGAAAUUUAAUACACUUCCCAAAAUUUUAGCUAAUUGAGUUCAAUUAUCCAUUCAAGGCAGGCUCCCGUCUUUCCAUUAGCCAAACCAUUGUUGCCCUGAGUAGGUCUUUUUGUGGGUCCCUUCAAUUGAACAUUUGCAAAGUAACAAACUAGAAUGGUCCUCUGAAAGCCACAAGAUCUUUGACGCUUAAGGGUUGUUAGUAACAAAUGAAAUCAUAAAAGGAAAUUUUUUGUGACUUACCUGGGUUGUGAGGUGCUGUCUCUAUAAGGAUCUCCUGCUGAUAGUUGCCUUGGGUUGUGUGGAGUUGUUUUAAAAAAUAAUUAUAUAAAUAUAAAGAAUAAUUAAAUAUAAAAAUUAAUUUUUAAAUAUAAAAAAUAAAUUAAAAAUAUUUUACCUUUCAAAGCAAACAUUCAUUUUAUAAAAUAUUAUAAAAUUAUUUUCAAAAAUUAUUUUUCAAAACUAUUUAAAAAAGUAGCUACCAAAUCAGGGAUAAUUUUCUAUUAUUAAAAAUAAAAAAUUCAAUAUUUCAAAGGAUAUUUUUAGUCAUUUUCAAUUAUUUUUCCUUCAUAUUUGGAUUGUAACUUAAUCUCAAAUGAAAAGUUUAUAAAAAAAUAUUUAUACUUUCAUUAAAAUUAAUAUUUACAAAUUUUUUAAAAAUCAUAUUUAAAUAAUCAAAUAUUUUUAAUUAAAAUUAAUAUUUACAGAAAUUUAAAAUACCAGAUUUAGGUAGUUUUCAAUUAAUAUUUUUCAUGAAAAUUUAUAAUUUUUUUAAUUAUCAAAUUCAUCAUUUUAUUUAUUUGUAUAGUUAUACAAUUACCAAAAAUCUUGUUUUUUUUUUAUUUAGCCGAAAGGCAAUUUAUCUUUCUUUUAUUUAUGGGCUAUCUAUUACGUGACAUUAUUUUAUUUGUGAAAAAUUAGACCAUGUCAUGGCUUAUAACUGACUAAUUUAUGAUCGAAAAGUGUAUUAAAGCUUUGGGGUUAUAACCCUGAGUGUAGUUUAGACUUUGGUUUGAUGUGACUUGAGUAUUAACUUGAAUUGGGCCAACCUGACAUAAGUUCUGACUUGACUUAUCCCUCAACUUGGGUAGAGCCUUGGUUUAAUUGGGCCUUGCCUAACUUGGGCUUCUGGGUGAAUUAGUUUUAACUUUAGUUGGGCCUUAGUGUGACUAGGCUUUGGGUAACUUGGGCCUGACAUGGCUUAUGAUUUGAUCAAUACCUUAAUUUGAGUUGGGCCUUUGUAUGACUUUAGACUUAGGACAACUUGGUUUCUUGCUUGACUUAGGGUCUUAAUAUGACCUAAACCUUGAGGUGAUUUCAGUUUUGAAUUGAAUUUGGUUUUGACGUUACUUAGACCCUUAAAUAAUGUUGAUUUAGGGCUUGAGUAGCUUGAUAAUGAAUAUGAGAAGUUUUUUUUUUUUUUUUUAACAAAUUUGGAUAUCAAGCUUGAAACUUUGAAAAUUCUUAAUAAUACAAAUACAUUUUUUAAAAUUGAAGGUUAUGUUUGGUUCUUAAAAAAUUUAAGGGAAAAUGUAAGGGAAAGAAAAUAAAGAAAAAGUAUAACUAAAAAAGUGAAGUAAAAUAAAAAAUAAAUUUAAAGUUCGAUAAAUCAUUUUUAUAUGUUACUUCAAACUCAUUUAAUUUUUUUUCUUUUUUCACAUAAAGACAAAAUAAUUUAAAAAUACAUAAAUUUCUAAUUAAUUUUAAUUAUAUACGUUUUUUUUAAUAUUUUUUAUAAUACAACCAAACAUGAAAAAAUUAUUUUUCAUAAUAUUUUUUUUUCUUUCCUUUAUACUUUCCCAUAACCAAAUACAACCACAUACUUAAAGCAUCAAAUAUUCAAAGAUGCUUCGAAAUCUUCUUUAAAAAAGGUAGUCAUUUUUUUUUCCCUUAAAGUUCUAAAGAUGCUUUGAAAUCUUCUUUAAAAAAGGUCUUAAAUCUUUUUUAAAGUAAGUUUUAUAAAUUUUUAAAUGAACUUCUAAGAGUUGGACAAAGUUUGAAAGAGCUAUAAACAUGUACCUUUUGCCUUUUUGAAUUAUUUUGAAAAUUUAGGAGCCUCGGAGGAUCAUAUAUAAUUUUCUCUAUUCUCUUAAAAUUUUAUUUUUUAAUUAAAAUAAAUAUUUAAAAAAUUUUGGCAAUCGAAUUUAAAUAAUUUUCAUCUUAUCCUUUAGAUGAACUCUUAUAUUUAUUUUCCAACCAUCAAAUUCACUUUUUUUUUUUUUAAUAAUUUUAGUUUAAUGAUCAAAAUCCAUAUUUCUUUAUUCAAUAGAAGAUACAUGUCUUUUUCUUUUAUGUGCUUUCAAAUAACAUACAUUAUUUUAUUUGUAACAAAUUUAAGUUAUACGAUAGAUUUAAUUUCUCGUAAGUUUAAAUUAAUUAUGAAGAUUCUAUCAUUUUCUCUUUAGUCCAUAAAUUAAAUUAAUUUAUAUAUUUGUGAAAAUGUCAAAAUAAAAUAAUUCCUUUUAGUUUCUUUAAUUUGAUCUCAAAUUUGUUAAGUGAUUACAAAAAGUUCAAUGAAAAUUUGAAUUUCUUAAAAAAUUAUUCAUAGAAAUACGUUGAGCCCCAAUAGUUGACUGGGCAUUUAAGGGUAAAACAUUGUUUUCAGUGCAAGGUGUGAGAGUGGUAUCAAAUCAAAACAAAUUUUAAAUACUAAAUCUAGCCUCAAAAGGUUAAUGUUGUCUGGUGAGAUAAUAGGGAUAAGCUUCACUAUCAAGUGGGAAAUAGCCGAGUUACCCAUUAAGACCCUUAAAUGACACCGUUUAAUGAUGAAGGAGAUUGUGGUGCAAAGAUAACCAAAAGAUUUACCUAAAAGUUGUCAAUGAAUUGAACCAUCCAAUAAUUCAAAAAGUCAUGUUAAUUAUUUAUUUUAUAUAUGUUUUAAUAGCUCAUCCGAUACUUAAAAAGUUAGUUGUUUUUUAUGCUUUCAUAAUUGAUCAAUUUUUUUUUAUGAUUGAACCGAAAGCAUAACGCUAAACAUUUUUUUUCCUUCUACUUUUGGUUUCCUUUAUUUCUUUUUCUUUUCUCGCUUUUUCUUUAUGUUAAAGUCCAAUGAAACUUAGCCAAGGUGGGGACGUGUCUUAAUAAUGCUAUAUUAAUAAUCAUAUAAUAUGGUAGAUUUAUAUUAAUUUAAUUCGAAUUUUCUUCCACGUUGUUAUUUCAUAGUAUCGUUUUUCAUGCAUUACACUGAAUCAAACAUCAUCUUGUCAACUACUGCAUGCUUCGAUAUUGCCUUGAAUUGACGCAUGGUGGUGGAUCACACGUGGGCGGGAGGAGCUUUUAGUAGUCCACGACACGUCUCUCCUUCCUCGGGAAUGGAAAAGCCGGAUAAUGCUAUUUUUGGUUUUCAAAAUAUCGGGGGAAAAUAUGAAUCAGAAUAGAAAAAAUAAUUUAUUUUAUAAGUUGUUUUAAAUUCAUUUUUUAUAUUUAUAUAAUUAUUUUUAAAAUAUUUUCAAAAAAUAAAAAUAAAAAUAGGAAAAAAUAAUUAAAAUAUAUUUUCAAAAAAUUCCAUGUUUUCUUUGCAAAUUCUUAUAAAACACUUUUCUAUCAAACAAAUCAUUCAACCUGUUUUCGAAUUUAAACCAGAAAACUAUUUAUGUGUUCAUGAUGAUUCCAUGGAAUGUUAAAUUUUAUAGACCGUGCUUGGAGUUUGAACCACACAAUUAUCAUGAUUCCAAAUUUGAAAUGACAGCCACCACCGCUGAUUUUAUGGCUCCGCAUGCUGGCUAAAACACCAUGCUCUUGAUCUCAUUUUUAUUAAAAGAUAAAAAGAAAAGAAAUAAUAAAAUAAAAAGUGAAAAAAAUAAAAAAUAAAUUUAAAAUCAAUAAAUCAUUUUUUAUAUGUUAAUUUAAACUCAUUUAACUUAUUUUAAGAUUAAAUAAUUAAAAAAUACUUAAAUUUCUAAUUAAUUGUAAUUAUAUUUGAUUUUUUAAUAUUUUUCAUACUACAUCCAAAUAUAAAGAAAUCAUUUUUCUUUUCUUAUAUUUGAUUCUUGAAAAUUUUGAGGGAAAAUGAAAAGGAAAUAAAAUAUAGAGAGAAAAAUAAGAAAAAAAAUAUAAAGGAAAAUAAAAAAUAAAUUUAAACUUAAUAAAUUAAUUUUGUAUGAUUUUUCAAAUUCAUUUUAGUUAUUUUCAUUAAUUAUAUAAAUAUUAAAUAAUUUUAAAAUACAUAAAAUUUUAACUAAUUUUAAUUAUAUUUGAUUUUUUUUGUCUUUUUCACAGUAAAAUGAAAUCUAAGAAAAUAAUUUUUCUUAAUAUUUUUUUUUCUUUUUAGUACUUUUUUAUAAGAAAAUGUAGCAUUUGGUUAUGUUUAUUUAUUUUUACUCGCUUUUCCUUUCCUUCAAAUUUUUUUCUUUUUUUCUUUAUGGGAAUAAAAAAAGCCUUAAACUAAGUUUGAUUAUCGGAAAGUUGGAAAAAAAUGUGAAGGAAAGAAAAAAAAAAGAUUUAAAUUUAAUAAAUUAUUUUUAUAGGUAUAUUUUUAUCUAUUAAAACAAGAUUAAGUAAUUUAACAACAUAUAAAUUUCAAAUUAACUUUAAUUAAAUGUGAUUUUUUUAUAUAAAACUAAAUCUUUAAAUUGAUAAAUGGUAGUUUUUUUUCAUUCAUUCUUUCAUUCGUUCAUGUACAGAGUAUGUAUAGAGGGUAAUCACCAUUCUAAGAAUGGGAAAGAAUGAUACAAGGAAAUAACAACUAAUAUCCUAAUAUCUCAAUAUUCCUAAUAUCUCAAUAUUCUUAAUAUCUCAAUUUUCCUAAUAUCUAAACAUUCAUAAUAUCUCAACACUAAAUAAUAUAAGGAAAGAAUGAUAUAAGGAAAACAUUCCUAAUAUCUCAACACUCCCCCUCAAGUUGGUGCAUAGAUGUCACACAUGCCCAACUUGUCUAAAAAUUUUGAGAACACUUGACUUGAGACAACUUUGAUGAGGAUAUCGGCCAAUUGAUCUUCUGAUGGAAUCUUAGGCAAUUCCACAAUCUUAUCAUCCAACUUUUCCUUAAUGAAGAAUCUAUCCACCUCGACAUGCUUUGUAUGAUCAUGUUGUACUGGAUUAUGAGCAAUGUCACAUGCAGCUUUAUUGUCACAAAACAAUCGGAUUGGUUGCCUAGAUAGGUAACCUAAAUCCUGUAAGAGGAGUCUUAGCCAUAAUGUCUCACAAAGUCAUAGAGUCAUACCUCUAAAUUCCGCUUCUGCACUUGAACGAGCGACGACAUUCUGCUUCUUACUUUUCCAUGUCGCAAGAUUACCACCUACAAAGGUAAAGUAACCAGAUGUAGAUCGUCUAUCAUUCACUGCACCGACCCAAUCAGCAUCAGUAUAUACUUCUAUACUCUGAUGAUUAACAUUUUUAGCGAACAAAAUUCCCUUCCCAGGAGCAUUCUUCAAAUACCUCAAAAUACGCAUGACUGCAUUCAUAUGUUGCUCUCCAGGAUUAUGCAUGUAUUGACUCACUACACUCAAUGCAUAAGCAAGAUCUGAUCUUGUAUGAGCUAAGUACAUUAAUCUUCCUACAAGUCUCCGGUAUCUUCCCUUAUCGAUUGAUACUUGAUUAGGUUCAACACACAAUUUCAGACCUUCUUCUAUUGGUGUAUUAACAGGUUGACAUCCUGACAUUCCAGUCUCCUGUAAAAGAUCUAAGGCAUACUUUCCUUAAGACAGAAAAAUUCCUUCACUUGAUCGAGAAACUUCAAUCCCAAAAAAGUAUUUCAGAGGACCUAGAUCUUUCAUUUCGAAUUCUCUAGAUAGAUAAUUUUGCAGAGUUUUUAUUUCUUCAGGAUCAUUUCCUGUAACUACCAUGUCAUCCACAUAUACGAUGAGUGCCGUAAUCUUACCAUGUUGUUUUUUCUGGAACAAAGUGUGAUCUGAAUUACUUUGACGAUAGCCAAAAGCUCUCAUUGACUUUGUGAACCUUCCAAACCAUGCUCUCGGGGAUUGCUUUAACCCAUACAAUGACUUCUUCAAUUUGCACACCUUCUGACAUUGCUUUUCUGACACCAUGCAUCCUGGUGGAAGAUCCAUAUAUAAUUCUUCAAAUAACUCGCCAUGCAGAAAGCCAUUUUUCACAUCGACCUGUUGUAAUGGCCAAUCUAGGUUUGCAGCUAAAGACAGUAAUACUCGAACUGUGUUGAUCUUAGCUACAGGUGCAAAUGUCUCUGUGUAGUCAAUUCCAUAAGUUUGAGUGUACCCUUUUGCUACCAGUCUUGCUUUAAAUCGUUCAAUACUACCAUCUGUCUUGUACUUCACAGUAUAGAUCCAACGACACCCAACUGGCUUCUUUCCUGGUGGACAUUCUACGAGUUCCCAUGUUUCAUUCUUCUGCAAUGAUUUCAUCUCUUCAUUCAUAGCUGCUUUCCACCUUGGAUAAGCUAAGGCUUCCUGCACACUGUUAGGAAUAGCUACAGUAGAUAAUUGAUUUACAAAUGACUUAUUUGAUUCAGACAAACGAUGGUUAGACACAUAGUUGCUCAUGGGAUAUUUGACUUUGGUAGACAAUUCAGGUUCAUACGUGGGUUUAGGAAUACAUCUAUUAUGACGGUGUGGUAACCGUUUCAUGGAUGGGUCAGGUUCCAAAUUAAGAACACCCUCAACAGAUGACGAUUGGUUUGGUAUUUCAGUGAAGACAUCUUCGGACCCAAAUUGUUGACCACUCAUAUCCAACUCACCCGCUUCCUGAUUCACUAGUUCAGACUGUCCAGAUUCAUUCUCCUCAGAGAUAUGAUAAUCAUAAUCGAGAGUCUGAAUUUCCUUAUGGUACUCCCCCUGAAGUUCAGACUCAGAUGAAAAAUACAUCGAAUCUUCAUGAAACACCACAUCCAUUGUAAUAUACAUUUGUCGAGUUGGAGGAUGGUAACAUCGAUAUCCCUUUUUGUGCAAUGCAUAUCCAACAAACACACAUUGCAAUGCAUGAGAAGUUAACUUGGUGCGUUGGUGUUUGUGUAGAUGCACAAAUGCCACAUAACAAAAAACACGAGGAGGUAGAUUUGGGACAGUUGGGGCAACUACGACAUUAGUAAGAGUUUGGAGAGGUGUUUGGAAGUUAAUUGAGCUGGAAGGUACCCGAUUGAUCAAGUAUGCGGCAUAUGUGAUUGCUUCUCCCCAAUAAGAUAUCGGUGUUUUUGCUGCUAUCAAGGAAGCACGAACAACCUCUAACAAGUGCCGAUUUUUUUGUUCAGCGACUCCAUUUUGCUGGGGUGUAUUGGAACAAGUAGUCUGAUGAAUGAUGUCAUGUCCUUCCAAAUACUUUUGAAGAUCAGAACUUUGAUAUUCUCCACCAUUAUCACUACGCAGAACCCGAACCUUUGCAUUGUACUGAGUUUCAAUCAUUUUAUGAAAAUUUUGAAACAAUAAGUUCACUUCAUCUUUGGUCUUCAUCAAACAUAACUAUGUCAUUCUAGUACAAUCAUUAAUAAAAGUAACAAACCAACGUGAGCCACUCAAAGUUGGGACUUUGAAUGGGCCCCAAACAUCAGAAUGUAUAACCAUAAAAGGAAACGAACUUUUGUUUAAAAUUAACGGAAACGAAACACGAUGGCUUUUAGCCAAUUCACAAAUAUCACAAUGGAAACCAGAAAUAUCACUUUUUGCAAACAAACUAGGAACCAAUUUUUUUAAAUAACCAAAGGAAGCAUGUCCCAUACGUCGAUGCCACAACCAAAUUUCAGAUUUUUUCUUCUCCCCCUCAUAUCCAUCUGCUAUCAAGGCUUGUUGCAACUUAUUUGAAUCCUUUAACUACAAGUCUAAGUAAUAGAGUUUUCCCUGCUUAAUACCACAACCAAUCGUCUGUCUUGUUUGGAUGUCCUUAAUCACACAAAAUUCAGGCCAAAAAAUGACAAUACAAGAUAAGGCUGCAGUGAUUUGAGAAACUGACAAAAGAUUGUAAUCUAAAGAUGGAACAACUAAAACAGAAUCCAAAUUCAAAGUAUCAGUAAGAGUUAAGGAUUCUUCCCCAAUGACUAGGGUUGUGUUACCAUUGGCUGUGGAAACAAUUUUUUGUGAGGAAGGUCUAAGGAAUGAAACCUGUCUAGAAUCAAAAGUCGUAUGAUCUGUAGCACCAGAAUCAAUUAUCCAUGCACUAUUAAUAACAGGUGUAAAAGUAUUUAAAAACUUACCACCAUGAUCUGUAGCGGCUACCAAUACUGAGACUUUCUCAGCAACAUUAGCCUCUGUUUUUAUUUCGGCAACAGUUGCAUUCGAGGUUUUCUUGGAAUCCUUCUUCCGUUGAUCACGAUUAUUAUCAUUAAUAACAAAGUGUUGAUAGCCUAAACAUGAUCUAAAGGUCCAUAGUUCAAACCCUCGGUUCCUCAUUGUUUUCAUGGUUAUACCAAGAGUCGUUGCUUUGAAAUUGUGGGAUAUCCAGACUGGUGGGAUCAGUCUUAUUGCAGUGAGAGCAUUUGAAGGUUGACUUAUCAAUAUUAGGGCUUGUCUUAGGAUGGAUGAUCGCUGUUGGACUACCAUAACGACAAAAUAUCCAGGAUUUCAGUUUCAUGGCUCUGAUACCAUCUUCAAAUUGAUAAAUGAUAGUUUUUUUUCAUUCAUUCUUUCAUUCGUUUAUAUACAGAGUAUAUAUAAAAGGUAAUCACCAUUCUAGGAAUGAAAAAGAAUGAUACAAAGAAAUAAUGAUAUAAGGAAAUAACAACUAAUAUCCUAAUAUCUCAACUUUACUAAUAUCUCAAUAUUCUUAAUAUCUCAACUUUCCUAAUAUUUAAACAUUCCUAAUAUCUCAACACUAAAUAUAAGAAAACCAUUUGUUUUUAUAAAUAUUUUUUUUCCCUAGGCUUUAGGUCAUGUUUGGUUUUUUUGAAAGUAUUAAAAAAAUUGCUAAAAAAAAUGAUUUUCUCAUUAUUUCAAGAAAAAUAUAAAAAAAUAAAAUUAAAUAAAAACGGAUGUAUUUUUAAAUUAUUUAAUAAUUUUAUUGAUAGAUUAAAAUAAAUUAAAUGAAUUUAAAAUUAAAAAAAAAACAAGAUUUAUUGACUUUGAUUUUUUUUUUCUUCUACUCUUUAUUCUCUUUCUUUACGUUUUCUCACAAAUUUUCCUCCCUAUUCUCUUUCCUUACAUUUUCUUUUAAAUUUUCCAUAAAUUUCCUCUUUAUUCUCGAUUCUUGCACCUUCUCUUAAGUUUUCAAGACACUUUCCUGGAAACCAAUCAUGACGAGCAUUUUCCUGGAACCAACCAUGACCAAAGUAAACUGGGGGAGAGUUUCCUCGAAAGAUUCCGUCGACAGGGAACGCCAACUCAUUAAGACUUUCCUUAUAGGAGACGGUGGGGAAAGACAGACCAUUUUUAUAGUUUGGACGCCAACGUGAAAUGGAAGCCAAAUUGAGUUGCAGGUUCGGGUACUCUGACGAGUCUGAUCUUAGACUAGACCAACAUCAUUCAAACCUCGUCAUUUGUUAACGCGGAUUCCUUCAAUAAGUUUUAGCAGCCCCUUAUAAAAUAUGUUUGGUCUCUAAAAGGAGCCGGUUUGCUUUUGUCCGAUCAAAUUUCAAAAUGUUUUUAGUGUUUUUGAAAUUAGAAAGAACGAGAAUACUUUCUGAAUUAUUGUCAAAUACAUUCUGAAAUUAAUGUUGUAACACUAACAAGUGAUGGGAAACCCAUCAUGGAUCAUAAUCACAAGGACAAGAAAGCAUUAACCUGAGGUCAACUUUUGGUAUGGCACACCAUCUACCCAUAUGGUUUCAUUNNNNNNNNNNNNNNNNNNNNNNNNNNNNNNNNNNNNNNNNNNNNNNNNNNNNNNNNNNNNNNNNNNNNNNNNNNNNNNNNNNNNNNNNNNNNNNNNNNNNUUUUGGUAUGGCACACAUCUACCCAUUAUGGUUCAUUCAACGCAAGCAACGAUCUAUAAUACUCACACUAAACAUUAAAAAAUAAAAUAAAAUUAAGGUGAAAAUUAUUUUUUAUUUUUAUAGAAUAAAAAAUAAAUUUUAUGUGGUGUUUUAUUUUUAAUUAUUUUAUGUAUUUAUAUAAUUAUUUUUUAAAAUAAUUUUUAGAAAAUAAGUAAAAAUAAUAAAAAGAUAUUAUUUAAAAAUAUUUAUUUUUUAUUUUUAAAAAUAAAAAAACAAAAAACAUGUUUAAUAAUUAUUAAACAUGUUUUUUAUGUUUUUAUUUCUGAAAAAUAAAAACUAUUUUUUUAAACAAUUACUUUCCCUAAAUUACUAAUAAUAAUUUAGUUAAAAUAUAAAAGUAUAUUUUUGUAUAAAGACAUCGCUGAAUAAAUAAAUGUAGGUCUUACAAGCGCGUAACCGCGUGGGGCCACCACUGAGCAAAUUUGAAAUACCAACUAGUCAAGAAGCGUUAUGCCGGAAUUGACUCGGGCAAUUGGUUCCAUUUGCCAAAGAACUAGAAGAGCGGAUCUUCUUCUUCGUCUUCCUCAUAAUUUCGUCUGUUUCGGAUCUGAGCGGUAAAUUUGUUGUAUUCGUAUAUUACAAUAAGAUCGAGCGGGCAACGCGGUGGGGGUUUCUGCUUUUUGCUGUGGUAGUUUCUGGGAAUGUAAAGCACACUUAGGAGGUGGGAGGCUUUAGAGAAUUUUCUUGGUGGUUUCGUUUGGGAGGCGGGGGAAGGGUAUAUGAAUGAGGGAGGAGUGUGGUUGUGCAGGUAGAGAAACAAGUUACAAAAGCGAUUACAAGAGCUAGUGAUGGAAAGCUAUUUGGACGAGAACUUCUCAGGAGUGAAGCCAAAGCAUUCGUCGGAUGAGGUGUUGCAGAGAUGGAGGAAUCUUUGCAGUGUUGUCAAGAACCCCAAGCGAAGGUUCCGCUUCACUGCCAACCUCUCCAAGCGUGGCGAGGCGGCUGCUAUGCGCCGCACCAAUCAGGUCUCCUCUCUAAUUCAUUACAUUUGCCUUUUAUUUGUAAAUAAGCUCUCCUAUUGGAAACCUAAAUAUUGGACUUGAUCUGGAACUUGAAUAUGGGCAUUUAUUUUUUGGGAGGCUAUGGGUUUUAAAUCUCGUUCCUUUCUCAAACCCUUUGUAACAUCCGCUCCCAGUUUCUAACAUCCUCCUAAUCGUUUAGAUAUUGUGGGCCGCGUGAGAGUCUUAAAACGCGUUCCCAAACCGUUUAGAUAUUGUCGUUAGCGUGAGAGCCUUAAAACGCGUCUACAAGCAAUUUUUUCACCCAAUCCCACAACCUUCUCCACUCCAUUUUUUUUUUUUUUUUUAAUAAUAAUUGUGAAGUAGAAGGAUGCAAAGGUUCAGCUGAACGGAAACGGAAAUAGCGAGGAUUAGGUUUCAUUGAGUUGAGAUGAAGAUUCAAGAUUAUCUUGGGCACUAGGAAGUUACCAAAAUAUUUUGAUAAACGUGGUCAAGUUUAUCAUGCCUCUUUCAAGAUCAUCUUAAACACUUAAAAACUACCAAAAUCUUUUGAGUAUUCAAGAUUGAUGGAUGUGCUCAAGAAUUAAAAACUACCAAAGCUUUGAUUUCUCUCAUUUGACUUCAGUUCUUACUUUCUCCCGACAUUCCUGGAUUUAUUGCUCAGUACUUUUAUUUGCCCAAGUUGUUUUUCCAAUGAACUUUUUAAUUCUCAACUUCAGCGAAGAAGGCUUUGCCAACACAUAAUAUCUCUUUUAACAUAACUAUGAGAAUUUGUCCUCUGUAUUGUUUAGUGACUAACUCUUUUCUGUAUUCAUAUGUAGGAGAAAUUGAGAAUUGCGGUAUUGGUUUCCAAAGCAGCAUUUCAAUUUAUCCAAGGUGAGCUUCUUCUGAAAUCAAUUAUAUCUAAUAUUUAUUAUGUUAAAACUUAAAAGGUUCUCCAAAUCGAUUCCUCUUGGGAUAUUUGCAGGUGUACCUGUCAGCGACUAUGUUGUACCUGAGGAAAUCAAAGCUGCAGGUUUUCAGAUUUGUGCUGAUGAAUUGGGAUCCAUUGUCGAAGGCCAUGAUGUAAAGAAGCUGAAAAUUCAUGGUGGGGUAGAUGGUAUUGCAGAAAAGCUAUCCACAAGUACAACCAAUGGGCUUACUGCCGACAAUAAAUUGCUGAAUCACAGACAAGAGAUUUAUGGGAUAAAUAAAUUCACUGAAACUCAAGCUCGAGGCUUCUUGGUAUUUGUUUGGGAAGCCCUUCAUGACAUGACACUCAUAAUCCUUGCUGUGUGUGCGCUUGUGUCUCUGAUAGUUGGCAUUGCAAUGGAAGGGUGGCCGGUGGGGGCCCAUGAUGGCCUUGGGAUUGUUGCUAGUAUCUUGUUGGUUGUGUUAGUCACGGCAACAAGUGAUUAUCGGCAAUCUUUACAGUUUAGGGAUUUGGACAAAGAGAAGAAGAAGAUCUCCAUUCAGGUCACAAGGAAUGGAUAUAGGCACAAAAUGUCGAUAUAUGAUUUGCUUCCUGGUGAUAUUGUGCAUCUUUCUAUUGGAGACCAGGUCCCUGCUGAUGGACUUUUUGUUUCAGGAUUUUGUGUGUCAAUUGAUGAAUCAAGUUUAACUGGAGAGAGUGAACCGGUAAUGGUAAGUGCAGAAAAUCCUUUUCUGCUGUCUGGAACUAAGGUUCAAGAUGGAUCAUGCAAGAUGAUGAUUACUACUGUUGGAAUGAGAACCCAAUGGGGUAAAUUGAUGGCCACUCUUAGUGAAGGGGGAGAUGACGAGACCCCAUUGCAAGUUAAAUUGAAUGGAGUGGCAACGUUUAUUGGGAAGAUAGGNNNNNNNNNNNNNNNNNNNNNNNNNNNNNNNNNNNNNNNNNNNNNNNNNNNNNNNNNNNNNNNNNNNNNNNNNNNNNNNNNNNNNNNNNNNNNNNNNNNNNNNNNNNNNNNNNNNNNNNNNNNNNNNNNNNNNNNNNNNNNNNNNNNNNNNNNNNNNNNNNNNNNNNNNNNNNNNNNNNNNNNNNNNNNNNNNNNNNNNNNNNNNNNNNNNNNNNNNNNNNNNNNNNNNNNNNNNNNNNNNNNNNNNNNNNNNNNNNNNNNNNNNNNNNNNNNNNNNNNNNNNNNNNNNNNNNNNNNNNNNNNNNNNNNNNNNNNNNNNNNNNNNNNNNNNNNNNNNNNNNNNNNNNNNNNNNNNNNNNNNNNNNNNNNNNNNNNNNNNNNNNNNNNNNNNNNNNNNNNNNNNNNNNNNNNNNNNNNNNNNNNNNNNNNNNNNNNNNNNNNNNNNNNNNNNNNNNNNNNNNNNNNNNNNNNNNNNNNNNNNNNNNNNNNNNNNNNNNNNNNNNNNNNNNNNNNNNNNNNNNNNNNNNNNNNNNNNNNNNNNNNNNNNNNNNNNNNNNNNNNNNNNNNNNNNNNNNNNNNNNNNNNNNNNNNNNNNNNNNNNNNNNNNNNNNNNNNNUAAUUGAAAAAAUAGGCACGUGUACCUGCAAUGAGCUAGUUGAUAAGACUUAUGUGGCCGGUUAUCUUGAUUGAAAAAUCAGGGGAAUUCAUUCCAUUAUCUUUAUUAUUUUGGCAUCUAUUAGAGAUGUGUAUAGCUUAGAUAUAAAUAAAAGUCAUUGCUUGAUACAAUCUACAAAUUCUCAUUGUUUGCACUUCCUCCAUUGUGAACAGUACCAAAUUCUAAUUAAUUCUGCCCAUGAACUUCAGGUGGCUAAAGAGAGUGCUGAUGUAAUAAUCUUGGAUGAUAAUUUCUCCACAAUUGCGACUGUGGCCAAAUGGGGACGUUCAGUCUACAUAAAUAUUCAAAAAUUUGUACAGUUCCAACUUACGGUUAACGUGGUUGCAUUAAUAGUCAACUUCUCUUCAGCUUGUUUGACAGGUAAGAAGACCCCAUCUUGCUUCUUCCAUUUCAAAGUUACUUCCUUGUUUUGUCAAAUAAACUUCUUCUUUUUUCUCCCUACAUUUUUUUUAUUCCUUUUUUUUUUCAAACACUUAAGGAAAUGCUCCCCUCACGGCUGUUCAGCUUCUGUGGGUCAACAUGAUCAUGGAUACACUGGGAGCUCUUGCAUUAGCAACCGAGCCACCUACUGAUGACUUAAUGAAGAGAGCACCAGUUGGAAGAAGAGGAAAUUUUAUCAGUAAUGUCAUGUGGAGAAAUAUCCUAGGCCAGUCCCUAUAUCAGUUUCUGGUAAUAUGGUAUCUUCAGGUAGAAGGGAAAGCAAUAUUUCAGCUCAAUGGCCCUGAUUCUGAUCUGAUCCUGAAUACACUUAUUUUCAACUCGUUUGUCUUCUGCCAGGUACUUUUGGAAGUCCUCUUUGUAAACUUUGUUUCAAGCAUCUAUGUGAUAAAUGAAUGGUAGAUUAUGAUAGGCAAGUUUAGCUUUUUUUUUCAUUACAGGUUCUGUUUGGUAUUUCAAAUUAUGAUUUAGAAUUUAUCUUAUCACACCCUAUGAGUAAAUUGACUUUGCCCAAAUAAAUUCUCAUUUAAAUGACUAGAGGUUGUGAUGUAGAACAACUCUAGGAUGGUUGCCUACACUCAAAAGUAGGUGGGUUAGGGUUUUAAUUUUAGAGUAUAAGAAGAGGAACAAGGAAUGAAGCUUAUGGUAGAGAAAAAAAAGAUGAAAACCUUAAAGUCUCACUAAGACCUUCAAGGAGUUUCACCUAGAAGAAAAUCAUUGGAGUCUUACCAUUGAGGUUUGCAACAAUUGCAAUGAAAAAAAUAUAAUAUUAUUAACAUCAAUCAAUUCAUCCUUUUGAUUUAUAUCGAUGAGCUUUAUUUAUAGGUUUUUUUAAGAAAUCUAAAGUUCAUUUGGAUUCUAAUAACUUAUUAUGACUCUAAUUCUUAUUAUCUUAUAACCUAACUAGCUAAUCCUAAUUUGACUCAAUAGUAAUCAUAAUUUAAUUCUAAUUAAUAUUAAUUCUAAUUUAAUUCCAACUAAUAUUAAUCCUAAUUUAAUUCCAAAUAAUACUAAUCCUACUUUAAUUGCAACUAAUACAAAUUCCCUUUCUUAAAGGACUGAGUUUUCCAAAUUUAUUAUUAUCCCUUCCUUCCCAUGAGUUGCAAAAGAAACGGAAACAUGUUCUUUCACUGUAAAGCAUGAAAAGAUAAUAUCGGGGCCCCUGGCCCAUUUAUCAUAUUAGGGAUAACAUUUUUAUUUCCAUUGUGUUCAAUACCAGAUAACUCAACAGGCUUAACCUGGGGUAUUUUCUGAAAAAUAUGUUAAUUGGGAUUGACUUUCAGAAAAUUGGAAUUCAUUACAUUUACUAUUUACAACUGAAUAUUCUCACUGGAUCUUCUGCUGAUUUGUUCCACUCCUUCUUAGGUUCUCAGUUCACCCAUCUUCUUGAUCACAUGAGAGGGCUAUUAGAUGAAAGCCUUUCCACUAAUAUGUCUACUAAUUUAUUUUCUAGUUUUCGACUAUUAAACUCUUCUGAGAUGUCCUUUCUUAAUUCGAGAUAUCUCAGUUUGUAACCCUGUUGAGGACAUCUAACUUAUGAAAAGGAUCAUGGCUUAAUUCUGCAGGUUUUCAAUGAGAUAAGCUCCCGAGAAAUGGAGAAAAUCAAUGUAUUCAAAGGCAUACUGGAUAACUAUGUAUUUGCUGCUGUUCUCACUUCCACUGUCCUUUUCCAGAUCAUAAUCAUCGAGUACCUGGGUACAUAUGCAAACACAUCACCUCUCACUCUAUCUCAAUGGUUCCUCAGUGUUUUUAUUGGGUUCCUAGGCAUGCCAAUCGCUGCGGCCUUAAAGAUGAUCCCUGUGGCAAGUCAAUGAGUGAGAGAUGCUGCUUUUUAAAUUUUGUGCCCUUUCCUUGGAACAGGGCUUAUUGCAUGUGGGUUUAGAAAAACCUCAAAAGGUUGACAUGUCAUUUUACAAGUUAUUGUAAGAUUCAACGUUUUCUUUGUUUUUAUUAGCUUUUUGUGGAAACCUAAAGAAGAAUAGGGCCCUCUGCUUGGCUGCAAGAUGUAACUUCAGAUGUAACCAUUUUAUUCUUCAGUAAUGGGAAAUUCUUUUGUUAAGUUUCUUGUAAUUUUAUUCUGAUACCAUUUAUCCUGUUUUGUUGUUUAUGAUUAGUGAAGGAAAUUCUUUUGUUAAGUUUCUGGUAUUUUGUUCUUGUGGUAUUUACUAUUUACUCUUCUUUAUUCUUGUUUAUAACUGCCAGUUCUUAUUAUUUCUAACUUGUGAAUAAUGUCUCAGUAGAUUGCAAUGGUUUUGUUUAGUUAAAUGAUUCCUAAGAAAUGGUCAUGGGCAUGGAAAUUUGUUGAAAAUAUCAGCGGCCAAUUCUAAAAAACAAAAUAUUUAGUGAGACAAAAAUUGAUUAAAGAGAUGAAAAUUCAUUAAAAUUUAUGAAAAAUUGAUUUUUUUUUUAAGAAAUGAUAAAAUAAAUAAUAUUACACAUUAAAUAUAUAUAUUGUUAUGAGAAUUGAUAGAAUUCAUAAAUUUGUAAUAUUGGUCAACAAAAAAUAUGAAUUUUAAAACUAUUCUCAUCAAUACUAAUGUAGGGAUAUAUUUUGAUACCGCCUUUGGUAAAAUUUAAUAUUUAUUGUUUAAUUAUUUAAUGAUUUAAGUUAAUUUUAGAUUAAGUUACAUUUAAAUUAUUAACUUAAAACUUAUUAUUUAAUUCUUAUUUUAAGUAUUAAAAUUAUUUAAUAAAAUUAACUUAAAGCUUAAUUUAAAUUAUUAAAUUAAUAUACUUAUUAUCAUAAAUUAAAAAGUAAAGGAAGUCAAAAUAGUAGUGGAGAUCACGAAAUAUAAAAAAAAAUUAUAAAAGUAAUUAAGAUAAAUGAGAAUAAAAAUAUAAAAUUAAGAAUAAAUUAAUUAUUUUUACUUAUUAUUUAAAGUUAUUUUUAACUUUAAGUCAUACUUUUAAAUUAUUUUACUUAAUACAUUUAAUUUGCUUAAUGAUUUAAUUAAAUCAUUUUAAGUUAUUAAGUUUGCUUAUGAAACACCCACUAAACAUGGCUUUCUAAAAUAUCACCGUUUCUCCAUUCUAGGAAGUGUAAUCCCCCUAACACAUUAUUACAUGCUUUCUGCCUUAUGUUUCACUACCGAAAGUUGUAGACAUUAACUCCAUACUUAUUCUUCCAUCAUAGAGGGUCCCUCGGAUUCACAAGUAUAAUUGAUCCAAAUAGGUUCCAGAAGUGCCCUUGCUUUCUGUAAUUUCUGCUUUCCAUGUUCAUUACCGCUUGGUUCCUCAACUUGUCUCUCAAUUUCAGGAUAGAUGCCUUCCAGAGACGCCAACAUCAUAUCAAGUCCUUGCCACCCUCUAUGUUCAUGUCCCACUAAUUUCACACAGACAAAGUGAAGGAGUCCCAAUAACAACCCGAAGUCCUCUCUUUCCAGUGCAACAGCUGAAGCCGUCAUGAAAAUCUUCCCCACUGCAUCUAAUAUACUGGAGUUUCCUCUCAGCAAUAGAGUCAUCAUUCCUAUAAGUUUCUUAAAGGACGAAAGUUUCCCUGGUUCUGAAACUCUUUCAGCCUCCUCAUUUGGGCUGAUAUUNNNNNNNNNNNNNNNNNNNNNNNNNNNNNNNNNNNNNNNNNNNNNNNNNNNNNNNNNNNNNNNNNNNNNNNNNNNNNNNNNNNNNNNNNNNNNNNNNNNNUUGAUCAAAAACAUGUUGUUAAGUUUGUCAAUUUAUUUCAUGUCUACUUUUGCAAUUUCAAGGCGAGUGAGCUUAAGUUUUAAGUAGAUUCAAAGGGAUUUCCUUUGGGAUGAAGGGAUGCGAGAGAAAAAAUCUUAUUUGGUUAAUUGGUCUACCAUUUGUUUCGACAAAAAGAGGAUGGAGUGUUUGGCAUUAAAAAUCUCCACGCUCUUAACAAGGCUCUCCUUGGUAAAUGGAGUUGGAAAUUCACUUCCAAGAGAGAGCUAUAGUGGAAAUAGGUCAAAUUAAGGAAGUAUGGGAUAGGAGAAGGGGGUAGUGCUUAAGGGAGGUGAGGAACAACUAUGAGGGGUGGGGUUGAUGAGGGCUAUUAGAAAUGAGUGGAAAGUUUUUAGAAAUAUAAAUCUCCUCGUCAAGGGUAAUGGCAAAAAUGUUUUAAAAGGCUAAAGGCGGUUUUGAGGAGUUUUGCCCAAAUGAGGCAAAAUGUAAGCAUUGAAGUGGAACAAGACGUAAGCCUCAAAUUCAAGAAAAAUAAAUAAAUAAUACUGAAAAAGAAGAAGAAAAAAUCUCAAAAAAUUAAAAUUAAAAUUAAAAAAUCACAUGAAAAUUGAACAAUAAGAAAACCAUAAAAUUCAUAAUAAUCAAAUUAAUUGUUUUCUCUUUCCUUCUUUUAUAAUCUAACUCUCUUUCAUGGCUUUAUCAAAAUCUCUUUAACACUAGCAUCACUAUCACUAGUAAGGAUCAUCCAUGGAAUCAUAAUCAUAUCUAAUUGUUGUAUUAUGCUCCAUAUCCAUGUUAAUGCAUAAGCAUUCUUCUUCUUCAUCUAUCAAUUAUACUAGUCUUUCUUCUUCCUAAUCUCUUUAUUCCCUCUCCAUUUAAAGGAUUAAUUGAUAGCCAACCAAGCCUUUACUUUAUAAAUGCUUAAUCAUAGUUUUUUUUUUUUUUUUCUUCUAAGGCAAAAUCGAAUACAUAUUAACAACACUUAAGAAAAGAGCACACCAAAGUAUACACGAUGUAUACAAUAUUUUGGUGUGCAUAUUGAAUAGGCACCGGUAGGCAAGUAAAAAAAAUCAAAAACAAAAAAAAACAAGUUCCUUCUCCUUAAUUGGAUCUAAGUCAAUCAAUAAAUCUUAUCAUAAUCAUUAAAUGAUCAUCUAUGUACACAUUAAGCCUAGUCUUAAACUCAAGAAAAAACUUUAAAAUAUAUACCAAGACCUAACAAAAGCAAAAUUCAUUAAAUUCGUUAAACAUUGAGGCUUGAACAUCUUAUUAUAAAAUACAUAAAAAAAGCCUUAAACCCAUUAAAACCUUUUGAAUAUUUGAGGCUUAAGCCUUAAUAGCCUUCAAGAGUUAUGAAUCUUAAUAGGCUCAAGGCUAAAGCCGCAAUAGCCUUCUCACUUAAUGGCAAGGUAAAAUUCUAGAAAGACAGAUGGUGCAAUGAAUCUUCUUUGGAAAAGCCUUUCUCGGAGUUAUUUUAUAUAACCGUUCAUCACGGAUAGCAUAAAUAUGGGAACCAGUUGUGGAGAGGGGUUGGUGGAGUCCCCGCUUUCACAGGCAAUUCCACGACUAGGAAUUAGGCGGGGAAAUCUUUUUUUAGCAAUUGCAAUCAAUCUCAAUUAGAAGGAAUGAAGAAGACAAAUUAGGUUGGAAAAAAAGCAACAAGGGCCAGUUCACAGUCAAAUCUUUCUAUGCAUCCUUAACCAAAGAAGAAGUGAGCCUUUCCCUGCAAGUAUUGUUUGGAAUUCAUGGGUGCCAACAAAAGUGAAUUUCUUUACUUGGGAAGUUAUUUGGGGAAAAUUUUAACUCUUGAUCAGCUUAUGAGAAGGUGUUAGUUUGUUCCUAACAAAUACAAAAAGUGUAAAGAGGGCGAAGAGUCGAUUGAUCAUUUGCUUCUCCAUUGCUCCAAAGCGAUAACCCUAUGGCAGUUGGUUUUUUCUAUGUUUGGAGUGGCUUGGGUGAUGCACUCUUCCAUUAGAGGCAAUCUUUUGGGAUGAUAUGGUUCUUUUGUGGGGGAAGAAGAGGAAGAGAACUUGAAAGGCUACUCUUUUAUGCCUGUUUUGGACAAUAUGGAGCAAAAGAAAUAGGAAGUCUUUCGAAGGAGUGGAACAGUCGGAUCAAGUGAUCAAGACUUCUGUUGUAUGUCUUCUUGGAUUGGGCUAGGGUAUACAUAGAUGAGCUUUCUAUGUGAAUGUUAGACGUCAAAGGCUAUGGGUUGGUUCCUGGGUACCUAACCUUAAGAACUCAAACUAUGGUCUGAAGGGCUAGCAACUCAUUAGCCCAAAGGAGGUUGCUUUCAAGGUUCAGUGUGAAAGGAAGGGCUUCUACACCCAGUUCAUCAAAAGCAUCAAAUCAGAAAUUGACGCCUAACACUCAGGAUUCCAUCCUGUUCUUUGCUCACUCCCUAAAGUGAGAAUCUCAGUUUGACCUCUUUUCUUUCCAGUUAGACUGCGCUUCAUACUUGAGCAUGCUUUUUAUUGCUCUAUCCAGAAGACGGGAGUCAGUCUUUCCUUGUUAAAUGGCCGGCUCUUUUCAGGCACUUUAUUUAUAGAUAUUUCUUUUUGGUUGCCUAUAAAAAAAAAUCAACUAAACAAUGCCUUACCCUACCCAUUCAACACUAAUACAACCGAUAAGUGAAAGCAUAGAAGGAGUUAUUAAGGUCAAAAUUGACACACUUCAAGAAACAAAAAUUGAAAAAGGAAAUAUACCAUCUGAAUUCUUGUGGAAAGUAAGUGGAAUGAGAUCCUCUUGCUUGAGUGGAGCCCCAGUAACAGGAUGUUUACCAAACUUCCUAAUGUACGGAAUUAUGUUCCUGCACCCAAUCUCAAAACCAAACCAAAUACUCCAUAUUAGUUAUUCAUAAGUCCAGAAAAACCUCUCCUACAGGGCACUCUAAUUAAAACUGAAUGUGACUCUGAUUCAAUUACAUAAUGUCGAAGACGGUGCCAUCUCUGGUGCACACCGGAUCCCCAAACGGCGUAAACGUGACCCUACACCAAAAUCACAAGAAAACAGACAUUAAUACAAACAAUUCGGUAUAUGUAGAUGCAUAAGUGUAGAGAGAGAUGGGAGGGAUGUACGCGCAGCAGUAGAAGGGGAGGCGUUUGAAAGGGACGGAGGCGUUUUUGGAUUUGGCGCCGCCCCAUUCGGUGGCCCACUCCGUUUUGGUUAUGAACAUGCGAUCUUUGCUGUGUUGUUUCUUCCCCAUCUUGAAUUCAGCGAAGAUAGCGAUGACAAUUAGAUAAACUAUGGAUUUUUUAAAUUCAUUCAAAGGAGCUAGGGCUCUGUUCCUCUGGUUGUACGCCGCGCUCGUUGAGAGAGAGAGAGAGAGAGAGAGAGAGAGCGAGAGAGGGUUGGUCCGACACUCGACGGCGGUGCUGCUGAACCAAAACGAUGCGUUUUGACAUAGGGCAAUGUAUUUUAUUUUUAAUGACUUUUGUUGAGAAAACGGCGUCGUUUCGACAUAGUCUCCUUAAAACGGUGCGUUUUGAAUUCCUCUCUGUGCGAAGUGAGGAAGAGAGAGAUUGGCCCGUGGUAGCGGAUGGGUGGUUCGGGGAGUGGUAGUUGCAGUAGCAGCGGAGAGGAAGACGGUGACGCUGAUUGGAAAGCAGCCAUCGACUCAGUUUCCGCCGUCGCCACCACCGCUACCAGCAAUGGUUUCGCUGCUGCCUCCAAAGAUUCAGCCGUAUCCACGGAUGGCACAAACAGCAAUCAGAAAUCCCAAAAUUUGAAGCACUAUCAAAUCAAGGUCAAAUCUCUAUCUCCCUUCGCCAUCACAUUUUCCUGAUUGUUGAUUUACAUUUGCACUCAAAUCUGUUGAUUUGAGAAGCUCGGUAGAAGACCCAAAACAUGGGAUGCUAAAAUUUGAGUAGCAAAACGUCUGUUAUUUUAGAUUUAGAAAAAAUGAAUGAUAAUCUUUAUUUCAUCUGUGUCUGGUGAACCAUGUAACUGAUUUUGGGAACCAGAUGGUCUUUAUAUCUUAAUUAGAGAAGUUAUAGUUUUGGGGUUUGAUCAUUUUCCUAGUGAUUGUGUGAAUAAAUGAAUGAUGAACAAACUCCAUGUCAGGCACAAAAGCUUUUGGAUGACAUCAUAGAAAACACCUUAGUGAUGGUGGAAGAUCUCAUUCAUAUCUCCGAUAACGAAAAGACAAAUGAAGGUGGGAUUCGGUUGUUCAAGCAUGCUCCUCCAGGGAUAGUGUUUGAUCAUAUGGGUAAGUGAAACUCAUCAAACAUUUUUACUACGUUUGGAAACUAGGUUGAUCAAUCUCCUCUUUCUGACCAUUUUGUGAUGUAUUUACACAUUGGUACCAGAAAAAAUUCAACAACCAAGAAAGAGACCAAGAAUCCUUCCAGGGAAUGAGAUUGACGAGAAAUCAAAGAAGGUUUGAUCUUUCAUCAAUGGGCAAUUUACUUGAUUCGUUAUCUAGAUUUGAUGUUGCCUAAUUGCUAUUUGGAUUGGUGUAUUGCACAGUUUAGAGGGCAACUCCGAUCUGUUGCUGUUGAUGGGGUGGAUAUAAUGGCAGCGGCAAGAGAUGCUUGUCAGAAAUCAGUAGCCAGACUUGAAGCUAAAGAUGCGGCAGCAAAAGCAGCAGCCAAAAGGGAGGAAGAAAGGGUUGCAGAACUGAAGAGAACUAGGGGGGAGAGAUGGCUACCCUCAAUUGCCCGAGAAAGGCAGAUCAAGUUGGGGAGAAGUUAACAAAUUCGAGACAUAGAAACCAUGCUACUGCAGUGACAAAAUGUAGAGGUCAUCUGAUGUGGAGCACAUCUAUUGGUCCUUUCUGAUUGUUUAUCUCAUCCAUGUGAUGACCAAUGUUGCAAAUUGUUAGGCUGAAAGACGCUAUCCUUGUGGUAAUUUGAAAUCAGUAAAAGCUAGCCCAAUAUUCAAAAGCCUUUUUGAUCGCCCCUCUUUGAAGUACUGUGUACUAUGCUUAGUGGAUUUACUUUCAUAAUUGCAAGCAGGGUUGCAGUAAAGCAUCCGAAUUCUCAUUUUGUUUCCCAUGUCAAAUGAUGAAUCGUAUGCCCAUUUCGUAUAAUACUCUGAGAGCCGUUUUUUCCUAUAUAUAUAUAUAUAUAAAAGUUUAUCUUGCUCAUGGAAUUCCGUAAUCGGAAAUGAAGGUGUGAGAUAUUGGGCUGCCGACGGGCGUAGCUUAUUUCAAAAUUGUAAGAACUAGAGAUUCCAAAUGAUCCUUUUCUUUCCGUCAAAAGGCGCAGGAGUGGACGCCACCAGAACGGAAAGGCUAAGAAAGGUGCAGGGGCGCGGCGACCAAGAAGCAUUUAGAGGUGGAGCUUUAACUUUGAAGUUUGAAGUGGGUGGUAAAUUUUGAAAUGGUGGGACCAACGAAUAUUAUAGAGGAAGCUACGCGGAAGCAACCGAGUUGCUCUUUAUGUGCAAGUUGUCAUAUGAUGAUUGAGGAUAAGCCAAUUUCGGUCCUGAGAUAGAAGUGAGAAUCAGUUGAACUCACUGAAUUCCUCACUCCCUUGGGGGCACUGGGCAGGAAAAACCCUAUUCUCCUGACAGUAUGCUUUAGAAUCUGAGGCUUUUAUAUUGGGUAUUCAUAUUUUGGUGGGGGAGGCGGUGGACUUGGUGGAAGAUGGCAGUGUUAUUGGCUAUGGUGGUUGAUGCUCUGGGUCUGUGUGUGACCACACUUUGGGAUCUGCAGGAGCGGAGGUUCUCUACCAUUUUUGAGACAGUGAGCUCUGCAGCAAGGUCAGUUACCAUGGCACUUGUGUUUUGUUUCUUGUCCGUCCAUAGACACCGUAUCGGAGACUUUGGUGUGGCCUUCAUUUGAUUUUCAAUCUUAUUGCUUCUCUUCUUAUAAGCUCGAUUGUCAAGUUAUUUGGCAAUCUUUAGCCAGAUUUAGCAUUUGGCGUUGAUGAAGAGUGCCUUCAUUUGAUUACUGUUCAUUGUGCCUUAGCUGAACAGAUUGGAUAUUGUAUCUGAUAUUAUUACUCACAGCGGUUGAAUUCAGAUGUCUUGUGGUGUGGCUACUUUCAUCCAGUUUUAGAAGGAAAUGUAUUACGGCCUUCAACAGUGUAGCUCUUUUCCAUUGACCUCAGUAAGAGGUGAAGUCUAAGCCCCAGAAAUAUCUGAAAACUGGAACCUGAUUUUACCACUGAAAGCUUUUUGUUAUUGUACCCUAAUGANNNNNNNNNNNNNNNNNNNNNNNNNNNNNNNNNNNNNNNNNNNNNNNNNNNNNNNNNNNNNNNNNNNNNNNNNNNNNNNNNNNNNNNNNNNNNNNNNNNNGAAAGGCUUUUUGUUAUUGUACCCUAAUGAAUCUGAUAUUUGAGCAAAAUUUAAAGAGGAUAAACUGGUGGUAUUUGACAGGGUCUCAUGUAGAGGAUCCCUAGAUUCCUUGUCUAUCACAAAAUAGCCUUUUUACAUGAUGUUCUUUCGGUUUAAUCUUGGUUUCUUUUUAUUUCCUUGAAAAAAAAAAGAAAGAAAAGAUAAGAGGCAGAACUAAAACCUGGCGCGGAGAUCUGACCUCCACAUUCUUGCCGGCAACUGCUCAUCCUCAUUCUUACAAUUGACCGGCCCCAUCUCUUAUGGACUCUCGUCAUGUGACUUUCACCUAUUAGACAAACAAGUGAGCCUACAUACAGCGACAUAUCAUCUUGAAGCAAAUGAAAAAAUACAGCAACAGCUUAUAACUAUUUUAACCUUAAAUGUCAGUCUCAACUCAAUUUAACUUUUCGGAUAAUGUGUUUUUGAAGAAUGGCUCUAUGUGAAAUCCUGGAGAUGUUGGAAGCAUCUUCAACCAUUCACAGUUCUCAAUGUAUAAGAUGCACCAGGCAAAUAAGAUGCACCAGGCAAAUAAGAUUCACAGUUCUGAAUGUGAAGUCCUGGAGAUGUUGGAACCAUCUUCAACCAUUCUCAGUUCUGAAUGUAUAAGAUGCACCAGGCAAAUAAGUUAAAGUUGCCUGACCACGUUAGUGCAGACAAAUCAUAACAUGGCAGUUCAAAAUCGUAAAAUAGGCUCACUUGCCUCUCUACAAGUGCAAGAGUUAUGUCUUUAAGCAUUCUGCAUAAAUUUGAGAAAUCUUAUUACACGACCAAAAACUAAUUACUAAAAUCAAAUCAUAAACCAAUAGUUUAUUGCUAAAAUUCAAAUCAUACACAUUUGUUAUCACUGAACUCCCCUAUUUUUAUGUGGACCAACUAAUGAAAGCCAUAGUACAUGAGACAACAUUCAAAACAUCUAACAAUGAACAGUGACAUUAAAUGCUGAAGCAUUGACAUUAAUUUCAACUCCAAAACCAGGAAACGAGUGCUUAAUGGAGUAAAUUUCCAUUCUUGCAACAUAUCAUUUGACAGGGCAGAAGAAGCUUUGACAGUUAGGAAUCCUGAUAUUUCUCCCCAAAUUAAGCCUUCAAGUAACCUUUCUCUUCCAAGUAAGAUAUUACUGUUUUAGCCAUAUCACUAGGGGAAUUAUAGUCUCCUCCAGUCUGUUGCAAUACUACCUACAAAAUAAAGUCUGUUUUUACAUUUUUUUUUUAUUAAAAUGAAUAUCACGGAAUAAAAAAAUUUCAUGAGCUACAAAAUACAACCAUCAAGAAAUAUAUAUCUACAGUAAAACUUGGUAUCCUCAGUCUAAUAGGAGUUUCAAAGUUAUUUGACUAAAGGAAUAAAAGAUGAUCGAUGGAAACUAGAAAAACCCCAUUCUACACAAUUUCAUAUUAAUUAUUAGCAAAUUUUUUACCAGGGAAAUUCCUAUUUCUUUCACCACAUGAUCGACCAUUUAGUCAGAAUAUUGCCAUGGACUUAGGCCUUUCCUAAACUCAUAUGCAGCAUUUAAACACCUCAAGUCACUUGAUGUUACUAAAUCAGUCUUUCCCUCAUCUUAGCUAGUCAUGUUAAGCAACACUACUCGACUUGGUAGAUAUGAUGCACAAUGAAGCUACAAAGCUAUAUAUAAGAGUUAUUUGAAACUCUCUGCAAAGCCUCACACACUUCCCUUGUCUUUCAUCCUUGUGUAGAGAUGUGUAGACAUCUCCAAACUUCUCCAAAAUGUUCCAUACUCCUCCACUAGUUAUGUACAAGUGUGGAUUACUCUAUAAGGCUCCAAAAGCUUCCUACUUUCAUAUAUAAACUCAAUGGAUGAUCAUUUAAGCAAAUUGUGACAAUAUGCUUAAAAUUUCUUUUAAACCAGAUUCUUCUAACUUGUUCAUGUUAUUAAAAGCAUAACUAGAUAUCUUUUAGUGCAUGUUCAUGAUUUUGUAAGUUCAAGAAUGUUAAGUAUAUCUAGAUUUUCUCUAAGGAUAUAAAAGAAAUACCUCACAAUUCAAUGGUGGCUCAUAUGGAUCAUCAAUCCCUGUAAAACCUGAAAAAAUCCAAAGUAAACAAGCAUUUAACCAUCUAUUCUUUACUGUGACAACUACCCAAGUGGAGGUGGAUACAAGCAGUAGCAACAUGAUAGAUCCAUCCACUAUAGAAAUAUAAGCAUUAUUACAAACAAGGUCAAUCAGGCUUUGAUAUUAGCAAAAAGGAAAAAUCAAAAAAGGAAAGAAAAUGAUAAGUUCAUUUUUUUUUUCCUGGAACCAACUUUAGGUAUUUGGUAGCCUUGCAAUUUGACCCUAAGUAAUUAUUCAGGAGUGCAAGCAAGACAUAUAAAUUUAUGAACCACGGUACUCUUAGUGUGAUAAACCUUUUUCAAUUUGCAGUUGAUGAUGACAAUCAUGUUAAAGCCAAGCGAACAAGGUUGUCCCCGGAAUUUCCAAAUGAUAGACCCUUGAUUAUAUAUCAUCAACCAGACCAAAAUAUCGACCAAAAUAUCCAAUAAAACAGGAAAGAAAAGCAAUGAUUAUUCAGAAUCCCAAUUUUCUAUUUACGGACUCCUAAAAAGGAUACCUCUUAUUUUUCCAGCUCGUGCAAGCUUGUAUAGACCCUUCGGGUCCCUUUCCUCACAAACCUCUAGGGGGAUAUCCAUGAACACCUAUGAAAGGUAAAACCUGUCAGCUUAUUACUAGAAAUUGGGAACCUUACUCUAAUUUCGAGGUUCAACUCAUUGUUAGUGGUAGUGAUGAACCUUUCUACUCAUGGUCCAAACUGUAAUGAGCACAUACCUCAAUAAAAUUUCCUUCAGACAACAUUGCACGGCAAGCAUCUCGAUCCUUUCUGUAUGGAGAUAUCAAACUAGCAAUGCAAAUAAUACCCGAGUCCGAAAAUAGCUUUGCUACCUCCCCUAAUAAUCACAGAGGUGUGGAAUUUAAUUGACUUUCAAAAGAAAAAGAAAAAUGAAAAGACCAAAACAAUAAUCACCAAUCCUUCGUAUGUUUUCAGCACGAUCUUCUGCUCUAAAACUAAGAUCACGGUUUAGGCCAUGUCGAACAUUAUCUCCAUCAAGGACGUAAGUUAGGUUUCCCCUGAAGUGCAAGGCUCGACUCAAGGCACAAGCCAAAGUGCUUUUUCCUAAAAAUUAGAUCCCCAUGGUUUAAGUAAAAAAGAGAGAUUAUUAAGAGAGACAAAAGAAAUAGUAGUAGUAAAAGGAGUAAGUUACUCUAGCUAAAACUUACUAGAAUUUAAUGGUAAUAGUAGUCGUAAUAUUCCAUUUAAUCUUUGUAUCAGACCAAUUUGGCUGACCAAUUUGGACUUGGGACCUAAAUUUAUAGGACUCUUUCGUAUUUUCAUAAGCACAAUGAUAAAAAGAAAUGAAGCCGCCAUGCAUACUCUACUAAUAAAAUGAGAUGGUGGGGAUUCUUUCAUAAUAGUUGUAAUCAAAGUAACUAUAUCAGUUAUAAAUAACCCUGCAUGUGCCAUGGCCAUGGUCUGUAUCUUCUGCAACUAGUCUGAAGCCUAAAGAAAGUGAGAUUGUGUUAGGUAGACAGGUUGCUGAAAACCUUUCGGUAAAGUCACAAAUAUGGAUCCUGAGAAUUAGAAACCACAAUAUUUGGCCAUGAGAAUAUGUAAUUAUACGGGAGAUAUCUGCUAGUUCUUCCAUUCAUAUAAAUAUGCUAGCUUUAAUUUUUCUAUUAACAAAGCAUUGAAUUUAGGGCACGAGUUUUUAGUGCUCCUUCAUAAUUUCACCUAAUACCUCUCGUGAUCUCCCCUUCUGUUUCCCAUGUGCUUUCACUAGAAAUCCGGCCAUCUGGGAGAUCAAAGCGGCGUUCUUCCGCAUGGAAAGCAUAUAUCACAGAAGCCCAAAGCCAAGUAACAAUAAAACCAGAAAUCGCAGGUAAACAGUCAACAUUAACAAACCUGAACCACUGAGGCCAGUAAUCCAUAUGACACAUCCUUUCUGCUGAAGUAGUCGUUGCCUCUCGAGUUUAUCUACAGAGCAUUCGUGCCACACAAUGUUUGUCGACAUACCAUUCUUACCUGGUUAUAUCAAUCAAUAGAAAUUAGAACCUAAACAGAUCCAAGUAAUACCGAAUUCCAUGCUCAGAUGAAAAUAACAACAUUAGUAUUCGUGCGCAAAUAUUCAAUGAGCUCCGUACCAAGAAAAGCAUCUAAUAAUCUCCACAAAAUCAAUUUCCCCAAGAACUUCAACAACUUCCGAUCGAUCAUCAAGAAUCAGACAAAUCUUACAUCAAGUUUGAUGCUCAAAGUAACAUAGCACAAUCAAACAAAGAAAGUGAGCAAGUGAGAAUACCUCCAGCACCAUCAGCUUGGCCACUGACAAACGCCUUCACCGCCUUAAUCGGCGUCACGUGCCUCGAUCUCGCCUUCACUGCAUCAAACCGAACCGCAUUCCACCUCACAAACUUGGCGCUCGGCGACGACAGGGAAUCCGAAAAUCCAAGUUUAGAAUCCGAGAACGAACAGAACCUCCACGGGGCCGCGCCAAUCACAGCCAUCUUUCCGAGUCAAUAGGAGAAAGAAAGAAAGAACGAAACUCAAAGCGGAAUAUGUAAAAAAAGAUGCUCUAAGAUAUAGCAGCCCAUUUAUAGCGGGUAAUGGCAAAGCGGACUGAGAUUUUUUGCGAUAACGGUUUUCGGUUAUAAAAUUGGAGCUGCUGAAACCGACGGAACGCUUCUACAACGGGAUUGAAGAAGAACGGUGGGUGGCAAAUUCGAUUUCUCAUCUCUCCUCCAUCCUUAAUUCCAAUUUCGCUUCCACGAAAAGUUUCCACUGAAUUCAAGGAGGCAUUCCGGAGGUUACAACAUGGCGAACUAUUUUUGAAUGAGACCUUGCCUCAAUGACUACCACGCGUUUUGUGGAGCGUGAUGCUAAACGCCUGUUUGGUUGAGCAUAUCAAUCAGUAUUAUUGAAAAAUAUUGAAAAAUCAGUAUUAUUACAAAUGAAAGAGUAUAAUUACAAUAUCAAAAUGUAUUUUUUAAAUACCUAUUAAAAAGAUAUUACCAACCACAUCAUUUCUGAACAAAUUCCUCCACCCCUAAAAUGUCUUUUAACAUAUUUCUUAUUACAAAUUCUAAUACAAAUGAAUAAUGAUAUAAAAAUAUAAAAAUAAUAUUAAGGUAUAAAAAAUGAGUUUUAGUUUUUAUAGACAAAGAAAUUAAUUUAAAUAUAAAAUAAUAAAACUAUUUAUACUAUAUAAACUAAUGAGACUUAUUUGGUUAUAUAAUAAUUUUUUAGUUUCUUUUAAAGCAAGAGAGUCAUAUUUGUCUAUCAAUCCCCUAAGUUUAAAAGGAAUUUUUAGUUUUCUUUAAAUAUGUUACAAAAUUACCCUUAUAAUUUACCCAACCCCAUAAAAGGAGAGAAAAAAUAUCCUAUUUGUUAAAAAAUAUAUAUGUAUUAAUUUGGCUUAAAGUUAAAAAUUAAAAAAUGGGAAUUUAAAAAAUAUUAGGAAUUAUUAUCUAUUCAAGAUUCUUAUGUCAUUAAGGAGUGCUUCUUUAUAAAACUAACAUUUCACUUUUUUUCAAUAAAAAAAAAAUCCAUUUUGGACAAAAAUAUCCUCAACUUUUUCUUACAAAAAUAACCUUUUACUUUAAAACACAUGUUAAUAAAUAAUAAUAGAAAUAUUGAAGAGUAUUUAUGUCAAAAUUGAGUUAUACUUCAAAUUCAAAAACAUAAGAAAUUAGUUUUAUAAAUUUGAGAUCUUUUCAUCCAUUUUAAUCAAUUAAUCCUAAAAAAUUAAAAAAUACAUUAAAAGGAAAUUUUUUCCAAGAUAACACUCCCAAUUUUAAGACAAAUCCCAUAUGGAAUUCCUUAAAUAUGAUAAUCACAGACAUUAUAAGUUCGAAUGUCAAAAUGAAAUUAUAAAACAAAAGAGCAGAUAAAUAAAAUAUUAUUUUAAUCAAAAUUAUUGCAUGGGUUCCUACACGGACUGUUUAAGUUUGAUUAGCUUAUUAUAUUUAUAACUACGGACCUAUUGUUAUAUCGAUUAAUGAGUUGGAUGAAAUAAAAUAUUAUUCUAAUAAAAGUUAUUGACAACACAAAUAAUUGCACGGGUUCCAACGCGAUGUUCAUGAUGAGCUGGCAGGUAAGUGUUACAAAAUUAUAAAAGUUAAGUUAGGUGGAUAUGUUAGAAAAGUUAGAAUAUAGUAAGAAUCUACUAACUUAAUAUAUUAUAUAAUUAAAAAAUUUUAAAAAUAUUUAUUAAGUGUCACUUUAAUUUCUGAUAUGACACACGUGGUUGCCACUUGUAUAUGGAAGGAUGAUAAUACCUAAUUUUUUAGGGUAGGUGAGUUGAAAACAGAUGAAGGUGAAAUUAUAGUGAAAGCUGACAUGGCGCCCGCUAAUCAGUAAUUUAUUCCUUUUUUUCUUUUUUUUCUGUUUUAGUAAUUUUAUGAAAGAAAAAAAAAACUUGUAACUUAAAUAAUAAUUGAAUAUAAAUAUAAAAAAUAUAUAUUUUAAAUAUCUUAUUUUAAUUUAGGUACAAAAAUUAUUUUAUGUUUAAUAAAAUUCUAUAAUAUUAAAUAUUUAAAAAAAAUUGACUGCAACUCCGAUUUAACAUGAGUUAAUAGUAAACAUAAAAUAUUAUUUUAAAAUGGCUUUUAUUUAUCAAAACUUUGAAUUUUUAUUUUUUUAUUUUUAUAUUUACUCUAUUUCUUGAUGUUUUGACAUUGUACUUUUACAUUUGAUAACUUUUUUUUGAAGACUUCGUUGGGAUGACAAAAAUUUUAAAGAAAAGGAAAUAGUAAGAAAACAAAGAAAAUUAAAGAAAAAUUAAUGAUUAUUUUAAUCUCAAUAACUUUUAGUUUUUAUCUUUAUCUUCUUGAAUUUAAUGGGGGUAAGAAAUACUGAAAAUCUAACUCAAUCCAAAUAUGAUUCAUUUAAUAUUUAAUAAAUGAAUUGAGUUGAUUGACAUUGAUAUUGUUUAAUUAUGUGGACAAUUUUGUUUUAUUCAUUGUAGUUUUGGAAUUUACAUAUUUUCAUCUAAUUUACACUAUCUACAAAGACUCAAGGUUGCACCAAAAUUAACUUGGGAUUAUAUGAAUAAGUGUGACUGAAUUAAUUGAAAAUAAUGACUUAAAAGGUAUAGAGUAGACUUAUACAAAAAUAAAAAAUAAAUUAAUAUAGAAGAUAAUUUUAAUUAAAAAUCUAUAUAAAGGAAAAAAAUAGGGUAACUAGAGUUGAAAAAUGAAAAAUUAUAUCAGAGUGCUUAAAUGGUCUUAAAUGGAGCUCCAAUACUUAAUAGUAGAUGUUAGUCCAAGGUUUCUCCUAAUUAAGUGUUGAUAAUUACAAAAUAAAGGUUAGACUUGCAAAUAAUUCAAAUCAAGUAAAGUUCUAAGUUUCAUUGAUGACUUCUUAAAGUAUACCUUGAAGGGAUUCAAAAGACAAGAAGAGAAGACGGAAAGAGAUGGAUUUGUGAAAAUUCAUAAGGUAUAGGAACUUUUGUAAAAUAAAUCUUUUGAGUGCAUUUAGGAUUAAAUUAUUUUUCAAGCACUUGCAACACAUUCAUUUAUGGUUAGUUUUUCUUAAAAAAGAAGCUUAAAUGUUUAAAAUUAAAUGGAUAUGCUUUUCAUAUUGAAACCUUAGUUUAAAUCUUUCAAAAAUACCCUACAAAAACAUUUUUGCUUAAGUUAUUGGAAAGUUAAGACUAAAAAAAAACAUUUUUGCGUUGUUUUAAGCUCAAUCAAUCAAGGAAACCCUAAACGAAUCGAAUCAAUUAGGAAUUAAUUAAAUAGGUUAAGUUUUCCAAGUCAAGAACCGAACAAGUAUGUUUAAAAUAUUUUCUCUCUUCCAAAACCUUAGUGCUACUAGUAGAGCUUCUAGCUUUCUUGGUCAAGGGUCGAUCGAACCUUAAAAAGGACAAAUGAUCACCUAUUAUAUAUUAAAUGCUCUAAUGACUAGUUAAUCAUUCCCAUCAAAACUCAACUGGUCCAAACAUAUUUUUGCAAUUUCAAGUGUCUUAAGGUUGUUUUCUCUUAACCUCAAACAUAUAAAUUGGAGAGCUUAUAUGUAUUUAUUGAGUAAAUGACACUUAUAUUAGCAUGUUUACCUACCAUUUUCUCUCAUGCAAAACUCUCAAUUCAAGUGUAUUUAUUCUUUCACUUGCAAAUCCAUUUAAUGCACUGUCUUAUUUUAUCCUAGUUUUUUCUUAUAUUGAACUGAACUUGUGCUAGGAUUCAGAGUUGUAAGACUUCAUUUAUCAAUCAAAUAUUAAGUGGUCAAAACUUCAAGUUAUUAUUGAACUUGAAAGGGGUGUAGUGUUCAUUGGAGUCAUGAAUUCAAGCAUACAAAAGUGAAAGUGUGGUUUAAAGUCUUAGCUAGUGGAACCCUCACUCGAAAAGAAGAUUGAGAAGAGUGGACGUAGGGGGACAUUUGCAUCUCUCUUCCCAUUACUAUUUACUUAUUUACUUCAACUAUUGUUUAAUUUGAAUAGUUUUUUAUAAGUUUUCAAUGGCUCAAUUUGCCCCUUUUUCUUUGAUGUUUUCUUUAAUUAGUCUUGCUUUAUAAUGGAUUUACCCAAAGUUACUAGAUUCUAAAGUUCUUCUAGUUUUCUUAACUCUCUUUUUUGACAAAAUAAGGUUUUUAAAUCAUGUCUAAGACCAUUAGGUUUUAUCAUGUAUAUAUAUGUCUUAUAUGAUACAAUUUCACAUGGAUGCGCCUAAGCUUUAGGUCAUCACUCACUUGACCCAACAGUCUUACAAAGAAAAAUCAAAAUUCGUUGAGUUUAUGGUAGCAAGAUUGCAUCUCCUUGAGUUAUUGAGGAAUCCAAUAAAGAGCACCUAAGGUAAAAUUGUGUACUUAUUUCUUCAUAUUAAAUGGAUUUAACUUUGCAGUUGGCUAACCUUAUGAUUUUUACAUUUACAAAGUCUCUAAAAGGUUUUGUGAGUGGUUUUCGUAUAAAUAUUAUGUCUUUUGUGGGAUUGAAUAUUCUUUACUUUUAUUGAUUAAUUAUAUCCUAGCAAUAGAACUUGAAAUUUUUGACAUAUAUUAAAGGACUAACUAUUCACCACCCUUUUAGGUAGUUCCACCAUGUAAGAUUUUAGAUUGUCAUACACAAAUAAUUAGUUAGCAUUACUUGAAUUUAUUAAUAUGAUUAUAACACACGUUUAACCUCUUUAAGAUUUUUAAAUUUAUAAAAAUACUAUUUUUAAGAUAUUUUUUAGUGGUUUUUAACUUUUAUUUUCGUAUGAAUGGACUUUUUCUAUUUUUUGUUUUUAAAAAUAAAAACUAAUAGUAAUUUUUAUUUUUUAUGUAAAUAAAUAAAUAAAAAUAGUAGUAAUUUCUAUAUAAGAAAUGGUAAGUUUAUAUAUAAAAAAUAUGAACUUAUCCAUAUACUUAAAAAUCACUUUUAAAAUUUUUAAAAUUUGAGGUAAUAAAUUUUUUAAUACCUUUAUUUUUUAAAACAAUUUUAAGGUAAGCUUGAAAGAAUUCUUUCUUUACUUUAAUUUUAUGUUUUAAAAAACACAAAAGAAAAAAAAAGUCCAUUGACCUCUUAAUUAUUUAAUUUUCAAUUAUAAUAUAUUUCUAACAUAGAAAAUAAAUUAGUUUACACUUGCUUAUAAUUUUAUUUAAUAUUUUAAACAUAAAAUAUUUCUAAUAUUUUAUAUUAAUGAAAUAUAUAAAAUUUUACUCUAAUUAGUAGUCUAAUUUUUUAAAUAUAUAAUAUUUAUAAUUAUAAAUAUUUAAUUUAUAUUUAUAUUUAUAUAAUGAAUAAAUUUAUAUGAAUUAAAUGAACUUUUAGCAAAUCAUGUUCACUUGAUUAAAUAAAUUGAUUAAAUAAGUUAGGUAGAUUGGGCAAUUAAACUUAUACACAAUCUAUUUAUUAAACCGAUUAUAUGCAUUAACAUUAUUAUGAUACAAAUACGAUUAUAUCUAAUUCAAAUACAAUAAAAUUUAAGGGGAAUUAUAUAAAUAUGCAUUAUUUAUAAAAUAUGAAUGAAAAGGAAACUCAAAAAAGUCAUUUUCAUGGGGAGUAUAUUUUGGGGAAAAUAAUUUUUAAUUAUUUCAUGCAUCGGAAUAGUGUUUACUUCACAUUACUUGAAAAUGUCUUUAUAUAUAUAUAUAUAUAUAUAUAUAUAUAUAUAUAUGAAUUGUCCCUCAUUACCGGUCUAACUCACGUGAAGAUAAUAAAUUAUUCAACCAACAAAUGUAUUUUAAACUCAAAAUAAUGUUACUUUAAAACUAAAAUACAUAAAAGGGCAUUUUCGAAUAAUAUAAGGUAGACAUUAUUCAAGAACGUGAAGUGAGAAUUAUUUUUCCCUAAAUGCAUUCUCCAUUAAAAUUAAUUUUUAAGGUAUUCUUUUUAUUCAUAUUUUAUAAAUUGGGCAUAUUAACAUAAUUUGCCUAAUUAAUGAGAUUUUCAAAUCAAAUAUGUUAAAAUUAAUAUUGUUUUCAAAAUAAUUUGUCACGGGUGACAAAAUUAUCAUCACGCCUGUUGUAAUCUCAAUUCAGCCUCCACCAAUUUGGAGAAUUUAGGCGGGUUCAAGUCAACUUCAUGUUGUAGCGAUUAAUUAAAACUUUAUUCUAGAUUUAUGCGAAAAUUGAGAUGAUAAAUGACAGACACAUUAUUAACAAGAAAUAGAAAAUGUCUUUGCCUAUCUUUGUAAAAAUGGUGCAUGAUAUCAUUAGAAUCUGACACUAUUUUUUUAAAAAACUGAAAAAUAAAAAAUAAAAAAUGUUCCAUAUAAUAGUAUAAGUACAAAAAUUAUAAAAAUUGUUAUGUCAUAUUGAACUCUGGGUCCUUUAAUGUCUGCAUUAGUUAUUAAGGGCUUCUAGGGUUUCGAGGGUUAGAGCUCUGGAGAAAGAAUGAACACGAACAAGGGAGGGAGAGCUAUUUGGGGCUUUUUGGAUUUAGGAAUUUACAAAUCUAUCUUUAAUUAGUCAAUUAACAUGUACAACAUGAGACAUUUUCAUCCAUUGAAACUAAUAUUGAGCAAUGAAAAAGGCAAAGUGAUGAUAUUUAAGAAGCUCGAGUGCAUCAUGUUCGAUUUUAAACAUGAGUAACCAAAACACCAAUAGGUUUUGAGAGUAAAGUGUAUUAAACCCAAAAUUUUUAUACAAACUUUUUCUAAAGUCAUUAUCAAGCACACUUUAAUUAUGAUUAGUCAAAGUUUCAAGGGUAAAUGAAGUUAACUCUUUUUUUUUUUCCUUAAUGCAUGCCUAAUGGCUAUCAACCUUCAUCUUCUAUUCAAAUUUCAAAUUAUUCAUCAACUCAAUUUCAUAUCUGGUUAGCAGACAAUGCCUUUUUUGCUAUGGGGUUGGUAAGCCUAUGAGAGCAGUGAGAGAACAAUAUAUAAGAUCAACUUAUCACACCUACAUAUAGAAAAUCUGUGUUUUACACAAAGGAGCUGCUCCUCCUGUGAGAAGGUGGACUCUCUUUCAUAACAAUUACUUGUUCGUUUCCAACUUCUUCAUCAUCUCCUGCUUCAUCUCCAUCCAUCCCGCUUGAUGUUUUACCAUCAAUGUUGUUGCCUUUUGAUGCAGAAGUAUUAGUAGAUACCCGAAAUGCGCUUUUUAAUCCCUUCAUCAGCCUUGCGCGGAGAUUCUUCUUAGUUCUUGGAGUUGGAGUUUCAUUGAAGAUCCCUUCCGAGAGAGGAGACAGUACUCCAUCCACCGUGGUCUCCCCUUUGAGUCUAAACCUGAAGCUUGCAGAAGAAAUGGAUCCCCUUUCCCCUCUUUCUAUCUUAUUGGUUGAGCUCAAACGGAAACUCGCGGACCGGACCGAGCCCAAUGCAUUCGCCUGCUUCUCAGACUCUUCCAGAGUCUUCUUCAUGGCCGUGAGAUCUUCCUCCAAGCUUUUGAUUCUUGUGACUGUGGCCCCCAUUAUGUCUUUGAGUUGGCCAACCUGGCGAAGGGCUGCAUCUCGCUGCAGGAUUCCACCGAGGGUGAUGGAGCCACGGUCGCCUCUGACGUGAUGCCGGGGAUGAGGUAGCGGUGGCGGUUGCUGUUGGGCGGUGGUGGAGAAAAUGGAGCGGGUGUUGAACUGCUCCACCAACAUGGCUCGGAUUAUAAAUCUCAAUGGCAUUCUAGGGUUCUGCACUACAUGCAUGAGGAGCUCAGGUGACAGCUUGUUGCAGUUUACUGCAUUGCAAAUUCGAUUUUUCUGUUCCUCGCUCAUCUUCUCAUUGUGCUCCUGUGAAUAAAUUUAAACAAGAAGCAAGAGAAAAACACUCAGGAAAAUAAGCCAAUGAUUUUUCCAGGAAUUGCCAAAGAAAAAAAUACUAAAAAAAAUUAUUUUAGAAAAUACGGAAAAAAAAUAAAAUUAACCAAAAUUUUCUAUAUUUUAAAAUUAUUUCAUUUUUAUUUGUAUAUAUUAAAAGAAAUUAAAUUAAAUUAAAUAUAUAAAAAAUAACUUAUUAAUUUUAAAUCUUUUUUUUUUCUUAUUUAAAAAAUUAAAAAUAUUUUAUAAAUUGGCUUAAUUACCUUAACAUAGAGAUCGACAAUUUUAUACAGGAUGUCGUGACUCCGAGUUAACCGACAAUGCAUUGAAUCGGCAACUACUUGAAAAUCCUCGAUUCCCACCGUCUUAACGUCGUCAACAGAGCUCAGGAAGGCAUCCCCGUUUUCCAUCGAACUCAGCGUCUCAAUACAUCUACUGACAAGUAACGCCGUUUCUUCUGCUUCUGGAAGCAGUUGCAGGCACGAUCGGAAAAUUAUCGACGCGUACUCUCGGUUCACAGCCACCGCACUACAGAAGUAAGUUUCCGCUAACUGCUGUAAGUUCUCGACACCGUCUUCGUUCGUCUCCGCCAUCUCCAGCAGCGACGCCGCCGUUCUCAGAGCCCCGACGUUGAAAGGCGUUAUCACCGGGUUGCUGCCGUAACAGAAGUCGAUUACGAGAGUGAACGUUUCUGCCGUUAUGUUUAACGGCGGGGACAGGGUUAAUUCGGCGACGCCCAUUAGCUCCCGUUUCAGGUAAGCGCUUCCUGACGCGAGGGGAUCCUAAAAAAAGGGAAAUAUAAUAAAUGCCCCUGUUUAAUUCAUUAAUUGCGGAAAAGCACCGCUCAUGUUUUACAAAAAUGGGGCCUUUAAUUCAGAGAAAUUAAUUAAAUUGUCACUCUAAAUAUAGAUAGAUUUCAUUUUGGUUAUAGUCAACAUGUUGUUAUUUUAACGUGUGUUUAUUUUUUAAUAAUAUUUCUUUUUAUUACACAAUAGUUCACUAUAAUUGUACUUUUACCCAAGAUUAUCUUUUGAAAAAAUUAUUAUAAAAAUUCUAAUUUUAGUUAAAGUUUAAAGCCAAAAAAAAAAAGAGAGAAGCAAAAAGCAGAAGAUGUAUUGUUUUUAUUAUAUUAUUUUAAUUAAAAAUAGAAAAUAGAAACCCAGUUGGCAGCUUCUACCAUCCACCCAAGAAAUAGUAUAAAAUAAGAGAAAUUCAUGGAAGCAAUUAAGGUAAAUAAAAAAAAUAAAAAUAAACAAAGAAAUUGUAGAUCAAAGACCCAGGAAUGAAUUAAAGAAAAAUACCUUGUGCAGUUGGAAACAUAAACCCUGAACAUGUAUCAAGACAUCAGUUUCACACCCUGUGGCCAGUGCCCUGAUAUGAAAAUGAACAAAUUCAAAAGGAAAAAAAGAAAAAGAAAAAAACAAGAGAGAUAGAGAGAGAAGAUUUGAACAUUAGAGCAAGUCAGGAAAAUUAUUUUUGAAAAAAGGGGAAGGAAAAAGGAAGAAAAUUUACCAUGCCUCCACUCUGGCAUGGAGAGGUGUAGGAGGAGAGGAUAUUGAGAGAGAGAGCGAAGGGGUGGAGGUGGAAGAAUCUUCAUGUUCUUCCUCAUAGAUGGUCUCCACCAACCCUAAAUGCCUCCAAGCUUUCAUGGCCUCUCUUCUCCUUCUUCUUCGUCUUCUUCCCUAAGACAACUCACAGUCUUCAAACCUUUUUCACUGCUGCUGUUAUUGCCAAUUAGGGUUUCUGGAUGGGUGAGAAAUUCCCUAUUCAGCUAUAAAUAUUUAGGGCAUUAAUUGCCACCAUGUGAAAUCAUAAAUGCUACCCAUUACUCCUCUUUCUCAAGUAUUUUCCAUAAUCUAAAUCCUUUACGGAUUCCUACCAAAAUUCUCUUGGAUACUGCUCCACUCCUUUUCUCCACCAUCUCAUUAAUUAUUUUCCACAAUCCCAUCUACUUAAUUUCAAUAAAUUAAAAAAAAAAAUACCAAUUACUUCCUUAUAUAUAUUGACUCCAUUUUCUAUAGCCUCUCCAUUACUCCCCUCACUUAACACUUUUCCUAAAGAGUUUGACCUACUCAUAAAAAUUUUUGGUAAUAUAAUUCAAACCAGUAACUGAAAGGGUAAUGACAUAUUCAUGAGUUUUUUGUUUUUUUUUUUCUUUUUUUUUUUUUCUAUUUAUGUAGGAUGUAUUUUUGCAGAGAUGGUUCAUAGUAGUCAAUUGCUGGCUUUGAAAGUGAUUACCCAUGUCUUCCAAUCUUUACUAAAGAAUCUAGCUUCAGUGGAAAAAAUAUAUCAAUAGUCAGAUUUUCUGUUUAAUAUACAGAUGCUAUGUCAAUUUUGUUUAUUAUUUUUUAAAAUGUCAGUUUAUUACAAGCUUAAAAUCAGCAUGGAUUCAUUUGAUUCCUUUUCUAAAUGAGCUACUAAAAUAGAACCUAUGAUUGCUACUGUGAGCUUCACUCAAUCUAUCGGAUCAUAUAGAUAUCCCUUCAACACAAUAUAGGUCAUCGAAAGGGUCUCAGAAACCCACCAAAGUACAAAUGUUUGGAUCUUUUAAAAAAAUAGAUUCUUACUCAAAGAGUGCAUAACUACAUGGAUAAGUUUGACAGGGAUCCACUUCGGGAUUUUCCUUGGGAGGUAUCAGGAAGGAAUUUGAAAUGUAAUAAUUUUAAUUCAUACAAAUAUAGAAGAAAAUAUUAUCUAUUAAUUCAAAUAUUGUACCUUUUAAUCAUGUAGAUAUUGUCCAUUUUGAACCCAAGAGACCUCAGAACCAUAAAACACAUUUACGUGAUUAAAAGAAGUUCAUACUUAUAUAAUAUGAGAAAAUUUUUCCUUCAUCUAAUGUGGAACAUCAUAUAAAUAAUAAAAGGUAUUUAUUUAUAAAAAGUGAUAACUCCUUGUACUUUAUAAAUUGUUCUAACAUUUAGAUCUAUGAAUAGUUCUAAUAGUUUGGUAUAAAUAGUUAUGUGGGUUAUGAUUAUAAUGGUUUAAAAUUGUAAUCAUGUCUAACAUAACAAAAACCGAUUAUAAAAAAUAAUUUCUCCCCUUUUUGUUUUUCAUCAACAAAAUCAAUAUCAAUUAAUGUCUAAUAAUUUUCAAUAAAUGGUUAUAAUUGGUUGUAGUUGGAAAUAACAGGUCUAACUAUUUAUGUCUAAAAAAUUAAUACAUGAAGGCUAUUUUUGAUUCUAGAAAAAUUAGAAAAAAAAAUAGAGAAGAAAAGUGAAAAAAAAAAAACAAAGUAAAAAAUAUACUUAAAAUUAAUAAAUUAUUUUAUAUGCUUUUUCAAAUUUAUUUCCCUUAUUUUUCUCUAUUAUAUAAAAAUUAAAUAAUUUUAAAUUGGCCUAAUAGGAAAAAAAAUUGAUUAUAACCAUAUAAAAAACCAUUGUCCCAUCUUCAGCAACAAAAUGAAUAUCAUUUAACUCAAAUACAAUGCUAACACCGAUUCCUUUGAAGCGUAAAAUGUUUAAUUGAUUCUAACUUUACAAAUGCGAAGUUGAUAUAAUUUUUAAAAAAGGAAAGAAAAAUAAGAAAAAAAAUAUUAUAACGCAAGCCAAGGACAAAUUUAGAAACUAUACUUAAAAAUAGUUUUAUAUUCUUCAAAACAUAUAAUAAUUUACUUAAAAAAUACAUUUGACAAUUUUUUUUUAUAGAAACAAUUUUUUGCGGGUUUGUUUUGAAAUAAAUUUGAGGUCUUUUGAGUUGUGUUUUGUAAACAGUGAAUAACAAUUGAAAAUAUAAAAAAAAGAAAAUUGAAAACUUUUGUAUUGAAUAUAAGUGACAAGCGUAUAAUAUUUUUAUGGAGAAUAAAUUGAGAAAUUUAUUCUUCAUAUUAGAGUUCUUAAAUAAAAUUUUAUUUUUGGAAACUAUUUUUAAAAAUUGUUUUCAAAAAUUAUCUUUUAAUAAUUGUUUUCCCAAAAAAAGAAAGUUAGGAAGAGAUCCAUCCCCACUUCUUUGUUUAGUAUUUUUUUUAAGUUUAGAGCAUUUAAUAGUUUAAAAGGUUAUUUGAUUAAAAGAGUUUUUGAAAACCCAAUUUUUAAAAUUUAACCUCUUACUCUUUUUUUUACCUUAUUUGGACAAAAAUGUCCUUAUUAUUUUCUUAUAAAAAUAACCCUCUUUUUUAAAACCUAUAUGUAAAUAUUUGAAAUGACAAAAGGCAUUUAUGUCAAAAAUUGGUUACUUUUUAAGAAAAAACAUAGAAAUGGUUAGAUUCACAAUUUAGGGAUUAUGUAGUCCAUUUUAACCAAAUAUUUCUAUUUUAAAAGAUGUAAACCAUCUAUAACUCUUCAUCCUCCAUUCUUUGUUUGUCCUUAAGUUUAGAACAUUUAAGAGUAAUUUAAUUAUAUUCAAUGUCAAAUAUAAAAAAACGAUUGUAAUGUAUUAUAAGAUAACUAAGAAUAUGUUUGAUCAUUGUCUUUGAAAAUAUUUUUUUGUUCUUUAAAAUAAAUAAAAAAUUAAAUUUAGAAAACACAUUUUGAAAUUUUUUUUAAUGACAACAAUUUUGUAAAAUAUGUUUUGAGAAUGAGUGUUUUUUAGAACAAAUUUAAAGCAUUUUUAGUUGUUUUUGUAAUAUUGUUCUCGAUAUCAAUUAAAAAACUUUAAUAUAAAUAAUGUUAUUUUAAAAACAUAAAAAUAAACGCAAUCUACACAAAGACAUAUGGGUUUUAACGUGGUUCAGUUAAUUAUACUUACAUUGACUGAUUAAAUAAAAUCAUUAUAUUAUAUCAUAUAAAAUACGAAAACCAAAUGUAACUAUUGAGUUUUCGAAACAUCAUUUCCCCACUAAAACCACGAAUACCCACCAUGUGUCUCCUAUUCUUCCUCACAUUGUUAUCCAUCUUAUAUAAUUUUUAUAAGUCUAUUUCCAUCUCAUGACCUAAUAGUCUUCCUUAUUCUAUAAGGAAAUCUAAAAUUAUAAUAACGUAGCAAUUUAGGAAAUAUUUUAUAUAGUAUUAUUUACAAAAAGAAAUCUAUAUUACUUAAAGAACUUGUGACACUUUCCAACAAUUUUCACCUUGGAUCUCUUCCAUUCACUUUCAACAAAAAUUCUUUUUGGUCAUCUUCUCAUACACUGUAUUUUCUAUGGCUCUUCCAAAAAUAUUCAUCAUAAACUAUGAUACAACAAGUAUUCAUUUUGUUAUCCUCUUGUAUACCCUAUUCUCUUUAGCUCUUCUAAAAAUAUUUAUUAUAAACUAUGAUACCAAUUUGUUAUACCAAUGGAAAUUGUAAUGUAAACAAUGUUAGUUGAAUAACACAAAAAUAAAAUAAUCCACAUAAGGAUACAAGAAGUUUUAAUAUAGUUCGACCAAUCAUGUCUAUCUUCACAAUUGAGAUAAUAUUAUUUCACUACAUCAUAAAGAACGUUACAAGGGACGAAAAUCAAAUACAACUAUUGAGUUUUUAAAAUAUCUCAUAUUUUAUCACUCCUUAUAUCUACACUCUAAACCACAAUUCUCUCACUUCAUCGACUAUCUCUCAUAUUCCUUACAUUUUUAUUCAUCUUGUGUAAUUUUUACAACUCCAUCUUUAUCUCAUGACCGUUCCCUCUAUUUUUUUUUUUACUUUACCUUCAACUAAAAUUUCUUUUGUCAUUAUCUCAUGUACUUCAUUCUUUUUAACUUGAGUUUUAAUACUAUUGUUGUGUCGACCAAAAGUUUUAAUACAAACAAUGUUAAUUUAAGAAUAUAAAGAUAAGACAAUUCAUACAAAGGUACAUGGACUUUUAAUGUGAUUCGAUCAAUUAUGUCUAUAUCCAUAAAUAAGAAAAAAUUAUUCCAUUAUACUAUAGGGAAUAUUACAAAUGACAUAAACCAAAUACAAUUAUUGAGUUCUUAGUACAUCUCAUAUUUCCUUACUCCUUAUAUUUAUACUUGAACCACGAACCACGAGUCUCUUACUCCACCAAAUGUCUCAUAUUUUUCCUCGCAUCUUUAUCUAUCUUGUAUAGACUUUAUAUGUUCAUCUUUAUCUCAUAAUUUUUUCCCUUCAUGACCAAAAAUAUUUCUAAUAAUUUUAUUUAUUCUAUAAGAAAAUGUAAUAUUACACAGACAUAUAAAUAUAAAAAAUAUUGUAUACAAUAUUUUUUUAUAAAAAAAAACUGAAUAUAUACUAAUUAGGAAUUUUAAACACUUUUCAACAAAAAAAAAAAUAUAAAUUAUAUUUUGAAACUUUUAUAUUCUACGUAAGUUUAUUGAGAAAACUAUUUUUCAUAUGUGAAUUCUCAAACACAACUUUGUUAAUUGAAAAUAAUUUAUCAAUAUUUUCAAGAAUAAUUCUUAAAAACUAUUUUUUUAAAUAUUCUCAAACAAGAUUUAACUCUUUCGUGUUUUAUUUUUUUUUAUUUUUGCUUUUAAUGCAAAAUCAAUAGCAUUAACAUCGAUUUUUUUUAGUGUAUAACAUUUACUAGGUUCUAAUUUCAUAAAAUAUAUAAUUAACAUUUUUUUUAAAUGUUACGACCCAUUUUUGGUUAAAAUAGUGUAUUAAAAUGUUCUACCACAUUUGUAAUUACUUAACAAUACUAAAUCAAUUUUUACAUCAUUAAACAAAAUUCAUACAUAUAUAAUAUCAUAAACUUUUUUCCUUAUUUGAUACGGGAUAUUACAAUUAUCGUCAUAUAAAUACAACAUCCUUGUUGUAUCCUAUGUAAAUGUAAUGUUAAAUAGAUAAACAUUCUUUGUAAAGUUGAAUAAACAAAUAUUCACAUUGAUAAGAUUGACUUCAAUAAUAUUUCUAAAUACUCACUUUAAAUCAUAUAAAUAUUAUUCACUUUAAACCUAAUAUAUCAUUAUGACUUUAAAAAUACGUUUACGUUGUUAAGAUGAUCUCAUAUAUAUUGCAUAGGAGGAAAAUUUUGUAACACUAUACAUGUACGAGAUUCCUUAAUCAUAUAAUCGCGUUUUAAAGCCAUAAAAAUCUCUUGAGCAUAAACAGGAUAAUAUCUACAAAAUUAAAAGCAGUUCAUUACAACUUUUAUUUAUUUGUUUGUUUUUAACUUUUCUAAACUCAAUUUUAAAAAUAAAAUAAAAAAUACUUUUCAAAUGUAAUUUAUGACUUGAUUUUCAACCAUCGAACCUAGGCCUCCUGGGUAUUCCAAGUGAUGCAAGCCAAGAAGGUAUUUUGGCUCUACAAGUCAUAUAUGAACUUAACUAUAUAUAUUUUAUACAUAGGCUUUAGUUUUAAUUAAAUUAUUUUAAUAAAAACACAUAUAUAAAUAAAUAUCCAUGAGAAAAAUAAAAUAUUAAAUUAAAAUUUUAACAAGUAAAUGAAUUGUGAUUAUUUUAUUUUUAAGAAUCAUUUAAUUGAUUGUUAAUAAUAUGAAAAUUACAAAUCAUGAUAAUUUUUUAAACAUGUUUUUAUUUGUAUCAAAUAUUUUAGACCUUUUUUUUCAUACAAAUCUAUCAAAGAUUUCAUCAGAAAAAUGUUUUAUAAUUCACUGCCAUUUAAUAUGAAUUUUCAUUUUUUUUAUUUGGGUAUUGACAGUGCCUGUUUUAAUUGGUAUUAAAUCCAAACGACGUCGUUUUUGAAUUACUAAUCCAAACAAUCUCGUUUUAAAAUAUUAAUAAAACGAAGUCGUUUUUAACAUCCAAACGGCGUCGUUUUUUCUUUGUCCAUAUAAACGACGUCGUUGAGCACUUCGUGAAACAAAACCCACCACUAUAAAUAUCCAGAAACCCUAACCCUAAUAAACCUUCUGGUUGCCGUCACUUGGUGUUGCAGAGAGAGGCGAGGGACCAAGAUGAAGUAUAAUCCGAGGGUUUCAAGCUCCCGCCGGAAGAGUCGGAAGGCUCACUUCACGGCGCCGUCGAGUGUCCGGCGAGUGCUGAUGAGCGCACCACUCUCCACCGACCUCCGCAGCAAGUACAACGCUCGCUCCAUGCCCAUUCGCAAGGACGACGAGGUCCAGGUCGUUCGGGGAACCUUCAAGGGCCGUGAGGGGAAAGUCGUUCAAGUUUACCGCCGGAAAUGGGUCAUCCAUGUCGAACGGAUCACUCGCGAGAAGGUUAACGGAUCCACCGUCAACGUUGGCAUCAAUCCUUCCAAGGUCGUGAUCACAAAGCUACGCCUCGACAAGGACCGCAAGUCACUCCUCGAUCGCAAGGCCAAGGGUCGCGCGGCCGCUGACAAGGACAAGGGCACCAAGUUCACCGCGGAGGAUAUCAUGCAGAGCGUCGAUUGAUCGGUUCGUUUUUGUCUUUUGUAACAGGUUUCUGCCUUAGAUGUUCUUUAUCAUGUUUUGCUUGGAUGGUUUAUUUUGAGGAUUUUGCAUUAUAAGUUGAGGUUCAGACGUUCUCUCUGCCAAAAUAUGGAUUUUAUGAUACCUUAAUGGAAUGUUCCUACUUCUUUAUGGUAUGAUAUUGUGCCUAGCAUUGUCAAUCAGCAAAUGGAUUUGUUUAGCUUCUUUUUCCGUGCGAUAUAUUAACUAACAGGGAGCCUUUAAUAUCAUAUUCAUUGCUGAAUCCAAACAAAGGCCUUUUGUUUUGGGUUCCAUCUGCCUGUAAUAUGCUAUGUAUCUGUUGAUGUUAUCGGAUCAUAUUUACAUAAUCCUUUCUUAGAGUUAGGAAAUACUUGUUUGUAAGUAUUUUCCUCAAAUUCCAAAAUGGAAGAUGUGGGAACACAUAAUCAAGUUUGUGUUUGUUCUAUGCAUUGCCCUAGAUGGCUGAAUCUCACUUCACCUGUGAGUGUUUGGACUCCCGUCUGGUGAGGUUGUAAGGUACAUUUUCUUGAUCAUACAAUCAAAUAAGGUGAGGCUUACUGACUAUCGGUUUUCAUUUAUUGGUUGGACUUUACAACCGAGGAUUAUGCUUUGCUUUGCAGAGUCUGGUUAUAUAUGUAUAAUUGCAACUGUAAGGGCCGUCCUCGUGGUGUUUGAGGAACAAAUUUUCCUCUAGAAAAUAAAAACUAUCCAAAACAAACAUGUUAUUUGAACUUUUCAAAAGCCUUUUCUUUUCUUUUGAAGGAUAAGCCAAGCACACACAUAAAAGACUGAUGGUGAAAACCAGGUGCGCACUCAUUCAUGCCGAGAAAUAGAAAUAAUUGUGCAGGAAUCCAAAUAGGAAGUACCUUUAUGGAUUGAUCUCUCAUGAAGCUCCCCUUCUGUUAAUUUGAGGUGUGAAAUGGUGGGUGAAAUAAUCAUAGAAAAGAAACCAAAAGAAAUCCAUACCUCUUGACAGGAUUCCGGUCAAUCAACUGGAAAUAUGCACUUCAUUAAUGUUAAAUUUAAUAAAGGUCAGAGCUUAGAAUAAAUUAUGUUUGGUUAUAACCCCUCAACCUUUUUUAUAUUAUUGUUCCUUUGUAUUCUUUUGUUCUCUUGUAUUCAAAAUCUAACACUUCAUCCCUCAACAUGUUUUGCACUUUGUUACCUUAUAUUUGAAGUUUGACACUUCAAUCCCUCUAGUUUGUUGAAGAAUAGUACUUUGACAUCAUUUAUGAACCCUCCAUGAUUAUAAAAAGGACUGCUCUCAUUUAUGAACCUCCAUGAUUAUAAAAAGGAUUGCUCUGUUCUGGACGCAAGUUUGAAUUCAUUUAUAAGCCCUCCAUGAUUAUAAAAAGGAUUACUCUGUUUUGUACAUUAGUUUAAAUUUGGAUCAAACUAACUUCAGACGGACAGUUUUGAAGUAGAGUUUCUUAAUUGGCCGAUUGUAUUGAUUUUUUAUUUUAGAUUUUUGAGAAGUUUGAUUUUAUUAUUUGAGAGAUAUAUGUCUGUAAUUUGUGAUUUUCAUAUCCAUUUACAAAGUGAUAAUUUGAUUAUGACUUCUUUAUUCAAAUUGUUGUUUAAAGUUAUAUUGAAUUUUGGGACUUCGAAUAUGAGGUUUGUGGGGCAAGGCUUUCUGUUCUUAUUUUGACUGAAUAUGAGCUUUGGGGGCAAAGUGUUAUCAUUUAACCAGUUGCUGGGUUUAACCCAAUUUUCUUCAUGGGAAGAGUUUCUUAUACUUUGACUCAUAGGUGAACUGGACACUAAUGCACGUAUCUUUACUGGUAAGAUGAUGACUCACAGGUGAACGGAAGUGAACCGUUUUGCUAUCGACGCAAAAUGUAGAACGUGUAUUUGAAGGUAACAAUUUUGCAGAGAACAAAGAAUUUUAUUUGUUCUUAAAUAUAACGCUAUUGGGUUGGAUCACCCCUGACAGAGGAGUAAAACUUAUAGCUUCAGUCCUCUAUGGAUACUGUGAUUUCGUUCUGUAAACGGUAAAACACCGAAGAGUGCCAAUUGAAACAUAAAACUUGACCAAAAAUAUCAGUUUGGGCCGGGCAUUUACUCCGAAAAUAACAAGGUUUGAAAUGUAGGAAACUAUCAUUGAUAUUUCGUCCAAAAACUCGAUAGUAGGAAAAAAAAAUCGGAAAAAAUCGCAUUAUUGUGAAAUAUCAGCGAUAUUGCGAUCUUAAUUGUUUUAGAAAAAUGGUUGUUUUUCGAGGAAAAUCAUGAAAAUUUCUCAUUUAAGGACCUCACUAUUCACAUGCUUGGUGGAACCCUAUUCAAUCUACUCCUCUUACUAGUUGCACUUUGCAGAAGGGCGACUCGAACCCAAGUUAAAAAAUUUACAUUAAACACUAGGGCAGAUUCACACAUAAAAUUUAAAAUGCACAAAUGCAUGUAUUUAAUUACAUUAUAAAAACAAGAUAUUAAAAAAUAUAUUUUAAGAAAUAAAUAAAUUUUAAUUAUUUUAUUUUUAAAUUUUAUUUAAUUGAUUAUCAAAAAUAUAAAAAUUAGUGACAUUUUUUUAUAUCAUUUACAUGAUGAUAAAUUAUAAAAAAUAUAAAUAUAAAUAUUAUUGUUAAACAAUAUUUAAUAGCACUUAAUAAUAAAUAUAUGUUUACAAAAUUCGAUACACACCAUGUUAACUAUAACAAAUCAUAUCCUACAUAUAUUAAUUUUUUUAACAAAAUAAUUCAAAAAAAAAUUCUAUCAUUUCUUAAAAUUUUUGUCAGGCAUUUCUGCGAGAUCUAAAUUUGUCUCAUUGAUUUUAUUUUUUGUCAAAAUACCUCUCAAUAUUUCCUGAUAUAUUGAUAAAAUCCAAAUAUAUAUAUGAGAUUACUAAUAUUUUCGAAAUAAGUCUCACAUUGAGAAUCCUGCAGAUCACAAUCAAAACAAAAUAUUCUGGCACAUUGCAAUAAAGCGGUCUCCAAUAAAUUAGGCACUACCACUCUCCAACAAUCCUCCACUGGAGGUUAAGAAAAUGUUGCAUCUAUGUCAAAAUGAUGAGAAAACGAGGAAAAAAAGACCACAAGGAGGAGGCCUGAACAAAAAUACAAUCCAUCCACAAUCCAAAACCUAGAAACGAAUAUAUUGUGGAAUUAUUUAUUAAGAGCUCCCUUUCAGGCGCCACUGAAAAAUAAAAAGGGUAUGGAAUUCAAACGACAGAAUACUCCAACAGCAGAAAACCACUCAAGGCUUGAGAGCAAGGGCCAGCCCAAACCUAGGAGUUUUGUCCAGUGCCUUGGUGUCAAACUCGCCAGAGAGAGUCAGUAUUGACUUUGGUAUGAUCUCAUGCUGCAAGAGAGCCCCGAGAUUGCCGUGAUUAUUGAGCUUUGCUUUCACGUUUGUUAGGGGGUCAAUUGCAUAAGACCCUCCUACUGUAAAUGUAUUAUCAUUUGUGGAAAAUCUUCUACUGAUUUCUCCCACUGCAGCACUCUUCUUUAGUGAAUCCAGGUGGUGCACAUAUGAUGCCCUUAUGGUGUCUCCCUUGUCACCGCUGAGAGAGAGCCAGUGUUAAAAUCUAUACUACUAUUUCAGAGAGAGAUGAACAUCCAGAGAGGAUGGGGGCUUACAGAAUUAUUGAUGCACAAGAAUCUGGUUUUGCCACACUAAUGCCAGCAGUAUACUUUGUAAAACAACCAGAUGUAGUAUCAUAACCUGCCUCUGCACCAAAAGCAAUGCUUGGGGUACCAAUGGUGACUGAAAGAUCAACUGCUGGUGACUGAUUCAAUGCAACUGAUGUAGUGAGUGUUGCAUGAUCAUGAAAGUACUGAACCUCCAGCUGCAUAAACAAAUGGCAAACAUAAGAACGUAAAAACUCAACAUAUGUAUAUAAAAUCUCACCUAGCAUAGAGGAUGAUUUGUACCUUGCCAGAAUUGUAAUCAGGAAAUUUGAAUGAGGCAAUAGUCUUAGUGGAUGGAAUAAUCUCUGUGAAUGUAAGGGUUGUAUUGAUCUGCCAUAACAAUGAAAGCAGAAGAUGCUUAUUGCAGACACAAAAAUUCUUAGUAAAAAUUUUAAAACCGAUAAACCAAGUGACCUACAUUUGACCCUGUGUCAGCUUUUACAUCAAUGACAGAAUUUUUGUAUUUGUAUUGCACUGCUACAUCGCCAGUUGAGAGUCCUCCUUUCUUCACUGCAGUUGAUGUGAUGGCCUAAAGAACAGUAGUUGGCAUUCAGUUGUUGCUCCCAGUUCACAUUGCACAGGAUAAAAAAUACAAAUAGAUGACAAUCACAACAGCCACCAAAUGUUGUCAGGAAGCAAGCAUGAGCCCAAAACCAUUAAUACCAAAUUUAAGGACCAAAAGUUAAAUUUUGUAUAUUAGAGAUUAAUAAAUACCAUUAGGUGUGAUAAAUGGUACAAAUAACUACAGGUGAAAUAGUAGUAUAACUAAUAUUUGCACUAAGAAAGAACAAAACUAUUGUACACUAUGGAAAAUGGAAAUGGCUACAUGUGCACUGAUUUGGAAUUAGAGCUUCAUCAAAAAAAUCACUUAGUCUAUUGAGCAGGGUGUACAAAUUGAACUUCAAGGUUUCUUUCUUCUUUUUUUUUUGAUAGAUAAAAAGGAAGUAUAUUAAACGAAAAGAGGAAGCACCAAAAACAGUGCCCUCCAAGUAUACAAGGAGUAUACAAACAAGCCCAAAGACACACCCCUAAGGGGAAAGGAAAGCAACACACCAACUUCCCUUGCUUAGAGCCUAACUAGUCUAAAAAACUUAUAAGAGAAGAAGGGCUCAAAACUAAAGAAACCAUGACCCAAGACCAAAGAUUACAUACAAAAGAAUAAACAUGUCUGGAACGUACAAAUUGAACUUCAAGGUUUCUUGCUCAAUCUCAGUGGUAGAUUAUUUAUUAACAUGUCUGGAACAUUUCACCAUUAAUAAACACAACUGCCUUGUAGACACCUGCAACCAUGCCUGUCUUGCACAGAUCCUAAACACACAAUUUUGAAACUCUGGCAUGCUACAAAUGUGGCCUAAAGAUUUUGUAACAAAGGAAUAUCAAAAUUCCUGCAGGGAAAAUAAUUACAUUGCCAUAUCAAAAGCCACAUAUUUCUUUCCUAUAGAGAAUCCAUCUCAAAUCUCACUACAUAACAACAGAGUUCCAAAAAGGUUUCCCAAUGAAUAACAAGAAAAAAAGCACAUUUUUUAUAUACCCACUCUUCUCCUAUGUCCUGAUAGCAUAUACCAACUACUCAAUUCCAUAAUUCCUUACAACUAUGGGACUUUUUUUUACUUCUGCUUUCAUGGAUAAACAUAAAGUCAUAUAGAAGGCACCAAACAAAAGGGGAAGCACCAUUUCUAUACGGUGGUAUAUAAAAGGGACCAAAGAAAGAAGAAAACACAUACCCCUCCAACAAACAGCAAAACUAUGUCCAUCUAUCCACAAUUUAGACUACAAAUGAAGUCUAGCAACAUAUAAUAGUCAACCCUAGCAAGGACCUAGAUUACUUUAAAAGGAACUUGAUGAAAUUGGCUUUUGAUCCGAAUGCUCUUUUUCACUAAAAGUUUGAUCAUUAUGCUCUCUCCAAAUGCACCAAAAUAGGCAAAGGGGUGCCACUCACUAAGCCUUCCUCAUCCACUUAUCCAAGCCUUGAAUCUUUCAGCACAACAGAAGCUCCCUAAUUGACUCUAGAAAAAACCAACUGCAUCCCAAGAAUAUUCAGCAACAAAUCCUACAGCUGUCAUGUCCAAUUGCAAUGGAUCAGAAUGUGCUUUCUGGUUCCUUGAUAGCUUUACAACUACAAAUCUGGCAUUCUGAUGUAUAUGAUUGCAUUAUCUCAACAAGCGGUCAACUUGUCCAUUUCAUUAACAUCCAGUUACGAUCAUUUCCAAUGCCAUAAAGAGUAUGGUUCUAUAGUUGUCUUAUAAAAUCCUCUUUAGUUGGGAAACUAAAAAUUAACUCAAACAUUAGUUAGAAGCAUUGUCCAUCUGUUCAUCCCACUCCAUUGUUAUGGGCAACAUGGUUUCAUCUCAAGGGUUUGGAAGGGAGGCCAUCUUUAUUUCUCUAUAGCAAAUCAAACCAAGAAAAAUUACAAUGAUAAUACUAAUGUGUUGCUUAGCCCUAUCCCUUCCUUUAUACUCCUAAUAUUACCAAAUAAUAAUAAUAGUAAUUUUUUGUAACCUAUUAGUGCCAAGUAUCGGCAAAUGUCUAGGUGUCUAAUCCUUCACACCUACAAAUUUUAGGAUAUGGAGACUUAGCUAAGAUGUAUCUCAAUGAUGGAUGUAAACACUUGGCUACAACAUAAUAACGGGAAAACAAAAUCAACUAGAAAUCAAUAAAAAAAUAAAGAUAUCUUUGAUAAAAACUCUCCUUUUCUCUUUUAUCCUUGCUAAGGAAGUUGAAAUGGAAAAAUAAAUCGAUCAAAACCAAAUAGUCACAUCUGAAGCAAAGUAGGAGUAUCCAACAAGGUUCUCACACUCACAUUGGGUUGACACAAUUACACAAGGUGCAAUUGGAGAGUCCGGGUAUCAUAGCAUGCUUCUCAAAACUACAUCACAAAAUUUCCUUGACAAUGUCAGUUGAUCUAUUCAACAUUUCCUUAUUCCCUAAACCUAUAGGAUGGUAGUGGUAAAUUAUGGCACAGUGAUUCAGUUCCCCCGACAUAUUUUCUCCUUCACUACAAAAGAAUGUUAUAAAGAGCACAAUCAUAUUCCCCUCCAUCUUCCAUAUCAAAACAAUCCAGUAUUGUAGGCUCAGGUUUAUUGCAGAGGGGAAACUUCUUUGUUUUGUAAUGACCAAGCCACAAAAAGGCACAUGUUCAUUUUCUCAAAUAAUUAAUAAGUUUCUCAAGUGCACAAUUUCAACAUGGUUCACUUUAACCCUGUUGCACAUUGGAUGAAACCAGACAGCCCUUUUUCAAAUCAAGAAAAAGGCUUCAACCUAUACACUCUGUCAUGCUUAGGCAUUAACCCAAAAAAAAAAAUAGGAAAGAAAAAAAAAAAAUUGCACCUUCGACUUGUCAUUUUAAUCAAACAGGCUUGUCAAACUCUAGUUUAUUUUUAAAUGAAAACACAUCAUCAGAUAGCCUUCAAACUUGAUUACUUAUACACAACAUCAAACUUUGUAAAGCUAAAUAAUUUAAGAAUCCAAUUGAGUGACAUCACAUAAACACAAAAAUAAAUUAAAUAAUUGAAUAUUCAUACAAUCUAUUCCACUUUCAACUUCCACUAAAGCCUCUAUACUAAUUCUUGAUUCUUCCAAUGUCUAUACAAUCCAUCAUUAUAAGAAUGCAUAUACAACCUGAUUUUCCAAAUCAACAUCAUACCUCGAAAUCAACCAUAAGCCAAAAACAGCGACCACUCCAACCUAAGCAAAUGUAUCAUCAAUUCUUACAAGAAUGACGAUUCCUAAUAAAUGAGAAUAAAACAUUUACACAGGAAACAGGUUAAAGGUCACAAGAUCUUAUCGAGACUAAAAGCACUAACACACCUUCUUUCAAAUUCAGCUAAAAGUUAAAUCAUAACUCCUGCCAUUACAGUUUAUUGAAAUUAAAUGCACAGUCUACGCAAAAAUAGUCGAUCCCAAUGCGAUCCAAAGCUACCGUCAUAAUUGUCCGUCAAACCCUAAACUAUUGGUCUAGGCAUCUUCAAAACAAUAUUUAGAAAAGAAAAAAAAAAAACACGGAGAUAGAUCGUUAGAGAUUCAAUCCCUACCACUCCCGUAUCGCUGUAUGUGGAGACGGUGAAUUUCUGAUCGGAGAUGUAAUCCCUCGUGAGAAGAUCUACAAUCAAAUUAAGAAACUAGGGUUUCACAAUCAAAUCAAAUAUGAGCACCAGAUAUUUCAGAACAUGUGCGAGUAGAAUGACCACCUUUGGCUUUCUUCCCUAUAUCAGCGAAGAGUCCUGGUCCCUUGCUCAUGUUUGCAGAUAGGAAGGGGAGUAUCCGAAUGCCGCAAUGGGGAGAUUGGAGGUAGGAGGUGGGAAGAGGAGAGAGAAACGAAGAAUUUUCGUAUUUCUUUUUUUCGUGGUCACCACCAAAAUUGCGAAAGCCGAGUGUAAAAGUCGGCUGUGAGCGGUUGUGGUGACAGCCGAAAUGUCGACCGUGGAUUUAAAUGGAGGGGCUGCAUCGUGUGGCGGUAAACUAUACCUACAGAAAAUCGAAAAAUCGGCGAUCAAAUUGAGCGUGGGACGACGCGCGUGGUGCGGCGACAAAAAAUGGGCAAUUUUUUUUUAGGACUUUUCAAAAAACGCCAUUUUUUUUUUAUAUAUAUAUCCUGUUUUUUUUUUUAAUUUAUCUUUUAUUUAAAUUUUAUAUUAUCAUUUUAUUUUAUAUUAUCCUUUUAUUUUUAAAUAUUUUUCAUAUUUAUCUCCUUAAUCCCAUUUCAAAAAAUUACUAUCACUCCACUCUUAACUUUUGUUAUAUUUAUCUUUUUAUUUUUAAAUAUUUUUCAUAUUUAUCUCCUUAAUCCCAUUUCAAAAAAUUACUAUCACUCCACUCUUAACUUUUGUUAUAUUUAUCUUUUUAAUUUUAAAUGUUUUUAUUUUAAAAUAUUAAAAAUAUAAUUUUACUCAAAAUUUGCUAAAAUAUAAAAAAAAAACUAAUGAAGUUCUAAAAUUUAAUAAAUUAAAAUUAAUUUGAUAAGAUAAAUUAUUAAUAAUUUUAAUUAUUUAAAUAAAUUAACAUUAAUAGAAAAGUUGUCAUAAUAAAAUUUUAGAAAUUAAAUCAUAAAUAAAAUAUUUUAUAUAAGUCAAUUUAAGUUUUUAUUUAAAAUGUAAUAAAACGUGUUUUAAUAAAAGUAUUUUUAAAUUUUAAAAAUAAAUGAAUGUAAAUACAUUAAAGGAAUUUAAACUAUUUUUUUUAUAAAUAUUUGAUAAAUAUUAUCUUAAUCAUACUCAUAUCAAUUACAUUUAUAAAAUAAUUGUUAUUUAUCUUAUCAUUUUUUUUAAAGUUUUUAAAGUAUUUUUAUUAAUUUUUAGUCAUUUCUGUUUCUAUUAAUAUUUUUAUCACAAUAUUCACUGAUAUUUUUUUUAUAUUUACAAUGUAUCCAUUAAAAUUCAAGUAUCAAUAUAUCCAAUUUACCGAUAUUAUCAUUACAUUUAGUAAGGGAAUGUUAGUAAGACAAUCAAUUUGGUAUCUUAGUGAGUUAAGGUUCUCCUUAACCAAUUACGAGAUUAAUAUACACUACCAAUCAAUCCUUCAUUUUCUUGAUCAACGAUCAAGUGAUCGACUAACCUACCCUUGGUUUUGAAUUUUUGAAAACUAUUUAGGCUAUGUUUGGUUCCCGGAAAAUUUGAGGGAAAAUGCGAGGGAAAUAAAAUACAAAGGAAAAGUAGAAAGAAAGAAAAAGUGAAGGAAAAUAAAAAAAUAGAUUAAAAGUUGAUAAAUUAUUUUUUUUGUUACUUCAAACUCAUUUUAUUUAUUUAACUCAUCAAUAUAAAUAUUAAAUAAUUUAAAAAUACAUAAGUUUUUAAUUAGUUUUAAUUAUAUUUGAUUUUCUUUGAUAUUUUUCAUAGGACAACCAAACAUGAGAAAAUCAUUUUCCUUAGCAUUUUUUUUCUUUCCUUUGUACUUUCCGGGAACCAAACAUAGCCUUAAUCUUUAACACAUACUUGAAAAAGACUAGUUUUCCUCGAUUUUUUAAGGUCAUAUGGUUGAUCCAAUUUAAGAUUUGAAUGCAUUUUAAAAUAAAUUGGAUGAAAUUUUUUUUUUCCUAAACAAAAUUAUAAGACUAAAUAAUUUUCAGAAAAUCCUAUUUCAAAGCACUUCGACCUUCCAUUGCAAAAAAAUCUUAAAAACAUGAACUUUGAUUCAAAACUUUCUUGAAGCAUGUUGCUUAUAAAGCAUUGAGUCUUACGCCAACAAAAGUCUUUAACACAAACAUGUUAAUUCAACAACAUGAAAAUAAAAUAAUCAAUAAAUAUGUAUAUGAGGUUUUAACAUUGUUCGAUCAACCAUAUCUACAUCUAUAAAUGAGAUAUAAUUUUUUCAUUAUAUCAUAAAAAACAUUACAGAUAACAAAAUCAGAUAUAACUAUUGGGUUAUCGAAACAUCUUAUAUUCCCUCACUUCUUAUAUCCACAUCUUGAACCACACUCCUUAUAUCCACAUCCUAAACCACGAACUCUCUUGCUCUAUCAAGUAUCUUUCAUUCUUCCUCACAAAUGAAAUCAUAAAAGGGAAUUUUUCGUGACUUACCUUUCAUGGGUUGUGAGGUGUUGCCUCUAUAAGGAUCUCCUGCUAAUAGUUGCCUUGGGUUGUGUGGAGUUGUUUUAAAAAAUAAUUAUAUAAAUAUAAAGAAUAAUUAAAUAUAAAAAUUAAUUUUUAAAUAUAAAAAAUAAAUUAAAAAUAUUUUACCUUUCAAAGCAAACAUUCAUUUUAUAAAAUAUUAUAAAAUUAUUUUCAAAAAUUAUUUUUCAAAACUAUUUAAAAAAGUAGCUACCAAAUUAGGGAUAAUUUUUUAUUAUUAAAAAUAAAAAAUUCAAUAUUUCAAAGGAUAUUUUUAGUCAUUUUCAAUUAUUUUUCCUUCAUAUUUGGAUUGUAACUUAAUCUCAAAUGAAAAGUUUAUAAAUUUUUUUUUAUACUUUCAUUAAAAUUAAUAUUUACAAAUAUUUUAAAAAUCAUAUUUAAAUAAUCAAAUAUUUUUAAUUAAAAUUAAUAUUUACAGAAAUUUAAAAUACCAGAUUUAGGUAGUUUUCAAUUAAUAUUUUUCAUGAAAAUUUAUAAUUUUUUUAAUUAUCAAAUUCAUCAUUUUAUUUAUUUGUAUAGUUAUACAAUUACCAAAAAUCUUGUUUUUUUUUUUUUUAUUUAGCCGAAAGGCAAUUUAUCUUUCUUUUAUUUAUGGGCUAUCUAUUACGUGACAUUAUUUUAUUUGUGAAAAAUUAGACCAUGUCAUGGCUUAUAAUUGACUAAUUUAUGAUCGAAAAGUGUAUUAAAGCUUUGGGGUUAUAACCCUGAGUGUAGUUUAGACUUUGGUUUGAUGUGACUUGAGUAUUAACUUGAAUUGGGCCAACCUGACAUAAGUUCUGACUUGACUUAUCCCUCAACUUGGGUAGAGCCUUGGUUUAAUUGGGCCUUGCCUAACUUGGGCUUCUGGGUGAAUUAAGUUUUUAACUUUAGUUGGGCCUUAGUGUGACUAGGCUUUGGGUAACUUGGGCCUGACGUGGCUUAUGAUUUGAUCAAUACCUUAAUUUGAGUUGGGCCUUUGUAUGACUUUAGACUUAGGACAACUUGGUUUCUUGCUUGACUUAGGGUCUUAAUAUGACCUAAACCUUGAGGUCAUUUCAGUUUUGAAUUGAAUUUGGUUUUGACGUUACUUAGACCCUUAAAUAAUGUUGAUUUAGGGCUUGAGUAGCUUGAUAAUGAAUAUGAGAAGUUUUUUUUUUUUUUUUUAUAACAAAUUUGGAUAUCGAGCUUGAAACUUUGAAAUUCUUAAUAAUACAAAUACAUUUUUUAAAAUUGAAGGUUAUGUUUGGUCCUUAAAAAAUUUAAGGGAAAAUAUAAGGGAAAUAAAAUAAAGGAAAAGUAUAAGAAACUAAAAAGUGCAGUAAAAUAAAAAAUAAAUUUAAAGUUCGAUAAAUCAUUUUUAUAUGUUACUUCAAAUCCAUUUAAUUUUUUUUCUUUUUUUACAUAAAGAUAAAAUAAUUUAAAAAUGCAUAAAUUUUUAAUUAAUUUUAAUUAUAUAUGUUUUUUAAAUAUUUUUUAUAAUAUAACCAAACAUGAGAAAAUCAUUUUUCAUAAUAUUUUUUUUUUCCUUUAUACUUUCCCAAAACCAAAUACAACCACAUACUUAAAGCAUCAAAUAUUCAAAGAUACUUUGAAAUCUUCUUUAAAAAAGGUAGUCAUUUUUUUUUCCCUUAAAGUUCUAAAGAUGCUUUGAAAUCUUCUUUAAAAAAGGUCUUAAAUCUUUUUUAAAGUAAGUUUUAUAAAUUUUUAAAUGAACCUCUAAGAGUUCGACAAACUUUGAAAGAGCUAUAAACAUGCACCUUUUGCCUUUUUGAAUUAUUUUGAAAAUUUAGGAGCCUCGGAGGAUCAUAUGUAAUUUUCUCUAUUCUCUUAAAAUUUUAUUUUUUAAUUAAAAUAAAUAUUUAAAAAAUUUUGGCAAUCGAAUUUAAAUAAUUUUCAACUUAUCAUUUAGAUGAACUCUUAAAUUUAUUUUCCAACUAUCAAAUUCACCUUUUUUUUUUUAAUAAUUAUAGUUUAAUGAUCAAAAUUCAUAUUUCUUUAUUCAAUAGAAGAUACAUGUCUUUUUCUUUUAUGUGCUUUCGAAUAACAUACAUUAUUUUAUUUAUAAUAAAUUUAAAUUAUACGAUAGAUUUAAUUUCUCAUAAGUUUAAAUUAAUCAUGAAGAUUCUAUCAUUUUCUCUUUAGUCCAUAAAUUAAUAUAUAUAUUUGUGAAAAUGUCAAAAUAAAAUAAUUCCAUGCAUAUUUUAGUUUCUUUAAUUUGAUCUCAAAUUUGUUAAGUGAUUACAAAAAGUUCAAUGAAAAUUUGAAUUUCUUAAAAAAUUAUUCAUAGAAAUACGUUGAGCCCCAAUAGUUGACUAGGCAUUUAAGGGUAAAACAUUGUUUUCAGUGCAAGUUGUGAGAGUGGUAUCAAAUCAAAACAAAUUUUAAAUACUAAAUCUAGCCUCAAAAGGUUAAGAUUGUCUAGUGAGAUAAUAAGAGAUAAACUUCACUAUCAAGUGGGAAAUAGCCGAGUAACCCGUUAAGACCUUUAAAUGACCGUUUAAUGAUGAAGGAGAUAGUGGUGCAAAGAUAACCAAAAGAUUUACCUAAAAGUUGUCAAUGAAUUGAACCAUCAAAUAAUUCAAAAAGUCAUGUUAAUUAUUUAUUUUAUAUAUGUUUUAAUAGCUCAUCCCGAUACAUAAAAAGUCGGUUGUUUUUUAUGCUUUCAUAAUUGGUCAAAUUUUUUUUAUGAUUGAACCGAAAGUAUAACACUAAACAUUUUUUUUCCUUCUACUUUUGGUUUCCUUUAUUUCUUUUUCUUUUCUCGCUUUUUCUUUAUGUUAAAGUCCAAUGAAACUUAGCCAAGGUGGGGACGUGUCUUAAUAAUGCUAUAUUUAUAAUCAUAUAAUAUGGUAGAUUUCUAUUAAUUUAAUUCGAAUUUUCUUCCACGUUGUUAUUUCAUAGUAUCGUUUUUCAUGCAUUACACUGAAUCAAACAUCAUCUUAUCAACUUCUGCACGCUUCGGCAUUGCCUUUUUACGAAUUGACACGUGGGCGGGGGGAGCUUUUAGUAGUCCACGACACGUCUCUCCUUCCUCGGGAAUGGAAAAGCCGGAUAAUGCUAUUUUUGGUUUUCAAAAUAUCGGGGGAAAAUAUGAAUCAGAAUAGAAAAAAUAAUUUCUUUUAUAAGUUGUUUUAAAUUUAUUUUUUAUAUUUAUAUAAUUAUUUUUAAAAUAUUUUCAAAAAAUAAAAAUAAAAAUAGUAAAAAUUAAUUAAAAUAUAUUUUCAAAAAAUUCCAUGUUUUCUUUGCAAAUUCUUAUAAAACACUUUUCUAUCAAACAAAUCAUUCAACCUGUUUUCGAAUUUAAACCAGAAAACUAUUUAUGUGUUCAUGAUGAUUCCAUGGAAUGUUAAAUUUUAUAGACCGUGUUUGGAGUUUGAACCACACAUUUAUCAUGAUUCCAAUCUUGAAAUGACAGCCACCACCGCUGAUUUUAUGGCUCCGCAUGCUGGCUAAAACACCAUGCUCUUGAUCUCAUUUUUAUUAAAAGAUAAAAAGAAAAGAAAUAAUAAAAUAAAAAGUGAAAAAAAUAAAAAAUAAAUUUAAAAUCAAUAAAUCAUUUUUUAUAUGUUAGUUUCAACUCAUUUAACUUAUUUUAAAAUUAAAUAAUUCAAAAAUACUUAAAUUUAUAAUAUAAUUUUAAUUAUAUUUGAUUUUUUUUAUAUUUUCACACUACGACAUAAGAAAUCAUUUUUUUUCCUUAUAUUUGAUUCUUUUUCUUUUAUUAUAUUUGAUUCUUGAAAAUUUAGAAGGAAAUGAAAAGGAAAUAAAAUAUAAAGAGGAAAAUGAGAAAGAAAAAAAUAUAAAGGAAAAUAAAAAAUAAAUUUAAAGUUAAUAAAUUAUUUUUGUAUGAUUUUUUAAAUUUAUUUUAGUUAUUUUUCUUAAUUAUAUAAAUAUUAAAUAAUUUUAAAAUAUAUAAAAUUUUAACUAAUUUUAAUUAUAUUUAAUUUUUUUUAUAUAUUUUCCAUAGUGAAAUGAAAUCUAAGAAAACCAUUUUUCUUAACAUUCUUUUUCUUUUUAAUAUUUUUUUUAUAAGCAAAUGUAGCAUUUGGUUAUGUUUAUUUAUUUUUACUCACUUUUCUUUUCCUUCAAAUUUUUUUUCUUUUUUUUUCUUUCUGGGAAUAAAAAAAAGCCUUAAACUAAGUUUGAUUAUCGGAAAGUUGGAAAAAAAUGUGAAGGAAAGAAAAAAAUAAAAAAUAAAAAAAUAAAAAAAGAUUUAAAUUUAAUAAAUUAUUUUUAUAGGUAUAUUUUUAUCUAUUAAAACAAGAUUAAGUAAUUUAACAACAUAUAAAUUUCAAAUUAACUUUAAUUAAAUGUGAUUUUUUUAUAUAUAUUUUGUGAAACUAAAUCUUUAAAUUGAUAAAUGGUAGUUUUUUUUCAUUCAUCCUUUCAUUCGUUCAUGUACAGAGUAUAUAUAGAGGGUAAUCACCAUUCUAAGAAUGAGAAAGAAUGAUACAAGGAAAUAACAACUAAUAUCCUAAUAUCUCAACUUUCCUAAUAUCUAAACAUUCAUAAUAUCUCAACACUAAAUAAUAUAAGGAAAGAAUGAUAUAAGGAAAACAUUCCUAAUAUCUCAACACUCCCCCUCAAGUUGGUGCAUAGAUGUCACACAUGCCCAACUUGUCUAAAAAUUUUGAGAACACUUGACUUGAGACAGCUUUGAUGAGGAUAUCGGUCAAUUGAUCUUCUGAUGGAAUCUUAGGCAAUUCCACAAUCUUAUCAUCCAACUUUUCCUUAAUGAAGAAUCUAUCCACCUCGACAUGCUUUGUACGAUCAUGUUGUACUGGAUUAUGAGCAAUGUCACAUGCGACUUUAUUGUCACAAAACAAUCAGAUUGGUUGCCUAGAUAGGUAACCUAAAUCCUGUAAGAGGAGUCUUAGCCAUAAUGCCUCACAAAGUCCUAGAGUCAUACCUCUAAAUUCCGCUUCUGCACUUGAACGAGCGACGACAUUCUACUUCUUACUUUUCCAUGUUGCAAGAUUACCACCUACAAAGGUAAAGUAACCAGAUGUAGAUCGUCUAUCAUCCACUACACCGGCCCAAUCAGCAUCAGUAUAUAUUUCUAUACUCUGAUGAUUAACAUUUUUAGCGAACAAAAUUCCCUUCCCAGGAGCAUUCUUCAAAUACCUCAAAAUACGUAUGACUGCAUUCAUAUGUUGCUCUCCAGGAUUAUGCAUGUAUUGACUCACUACACUCAAUGCAUAAGCAAGAUCGGGUCUUGUAUGAGCUAAGUACAUUAAUCUCCUUACAAGUCUCUGGUAUCUUCCCUUAUCGAUUGAUACUUGAUUAGGUUCAACACACAAUUUCAGACCUUCUUCUAUUGGUGUAUUAACAGGUUGACAUCCUGACAUUCCAGUCUCCUGUAAAAGAUCUAAGGUAUACUUUCCUUGAGACAGAAAAAUUCAUUCACUUGAUCGAGAAACUUCAAUCCCAAGAAAGUAUUUCAGAGGACCUAGAUCUUUCAUUUCGAAUUCUCUAGAUAGAUAAUUUUGCAGAGCUUUUCCUUCUUCAGGAUCAUUUCCUGUAACUACCAUGUCAUCCACAUAUACGAUGAGUGCCGUAAUCUUACCAUGUUGUUUUUUCAGGAACNNNNNNNNNNNNNNNNNNNNNNNNNNNNNNNNNNNNNNNNNNNNNNNNNNNNNNNNNNNNNNNNNNNNNNNNNNNNNNNNNNNNNNNNNNNNNNNNNNNNAUACGAUGAGUGCCGUAAUCUUACCAUGUUGUUUUUUCAGGAACAAAGUGUGAUCUGAAUUACUUUGACGAUAGCCAAAAGCUCUCAUUGACUUUGUGAACCUUCCAAACCAUGCUCUCGGGGAUUGCUUUAACCCAUACAAUGACUUCUUCAAUUUGCACACCUUCUGACAUUGCUUUUCUGACACCAUGCAUCCUGGUGGAAGAUCCAUAGAUACUUCUUCAGAUAACUCGCCAUGCAGAAAGACAUUUUUCACAUCGAACUGUUGUAAUGACCAAUCUAGGUUUGCAGCUAAAGACAGUAAUACUCGAACUGUGUUGAUCUUAGCUACAGGUGCAAAUGUCUCUGUGUAGUCAAUUCCAUAAGUUUGAGUGUACCAUUUUGCUACCAGUUUUGCUUUAAAUCGUUCAAUACUACCAUCUGCCUUGUACUUCACAGUAUAGAUCCAACGACACCCAACUGGCUUCUUUCUUGGUGGAUAUUCUACGAGUUCCCAUGUUUCAUUCUUCUGCAAUGAUUUCAUCUCUUCAUUCAUAGCUGCUUUCCACCUUGGAUCAGUUAAGGCUUCCUGCACAUUGUUAGGAAUAGCUACAGUAGAUAAUUGAUUUACAAAUGACUUAUUUGAUUCAGACAAACGAUGGUUAGACACAUAGUUGCUCAUGGGAUAUUUGACUUUGGUAGACAAUUCAGGUUCAUAUGUGGGUUUAGGAAUACCUCUAUUAUGACGGUGUGGUAACCGUUUCAUGGAUGGAUCAGGUUCCAAAUUAAGAACACCCUCAACAGAUGACGAUUGGUUUGGUAUUUCAGUGAAGACAUCUUCGGACCCAAAUUGUUGACCACUCAUAUCCAACUCACCCGCUUCCUGAUUCACUAGUUCAGAUUGUCCAGAUUCAUUCUCCUUAGAGAUAUGAUAAUCAUAAUCGAGAGUCUGAAUUUCCUUAUGGUACUCCCCUGAAGUUCAGACUCAGAUGAAAAAUACAUCGAAUCUUCAUGAAACACCACAUCCAUUGUAAUAUACAUUUGUCGAGUUGGAGGAUGGUAACAUCGAUAUCCAUUUUUGUGCAAUGCAUAUCCAACAAACAUACAUUGCAAUGCAUGAGAAGUUAACUUGGUGCGUUGGUGUUUGUGUAGAUGCACAAAUGCCACACAACAAAAAACACGAGGAGGUAGAUUUGGGAUAGUUGGGGCAGCUACGGCAUUAGUAAGAGCUUGGAGAGGUGUUUGGAAGUUAAUUGAGCUGGAAGGUACCCGAUUGAUCAAGUAUGCGGCAGAUGUGAUUGCUUCUCCCCAAUAAGAUAUCGGUGUUUUUGCUGCUAUCAAGGAAGCACGAACAACCUCUAACAAGUGCCGAUUUUUUUGUUCAGCGACUCCAUUUUGCUGGGGUGUAUUGGAACAAGUAGUUUGAUGAAUGAUGUCAUGUCCUUCCAAAUACUUUUGAAGAUCAGAACUUUGAUAUUUUCCACCAUUAUCACUACACAGAACCCGAACCUUUGCAUUGUACUNNNNNNNNNNNNNNNNNNNNNNNNNNNNNNNNNNNNNNNNNNNNNNNNNNNNNNNNNNNNNNNNNNNNNNNNNNNNNNNNNNNNNNNNNNNNNNNNNNNNAACAUAAGCCACUCAAAGUUAGGACUUUGGAUGGGCCCCAAACAUUAGAAUGUAUAACCAUAAAAGGAAACGGACUUUUGUUUAAAAUUAACGGAAACGAAACACGAUGACUUUUAACCAAUUCACAAAUAUCACAACGGAAACCAGAAAUAUCACUCUUUGCAAACAAACUAGGAACCAAUUUUUUUAAAUAACCAAAGGAAGCAUGUCCCAGACGUCGAUGCCAUAACCAAAUUUCAGAUUUUUUUCUUCUCCCCCUCAUAUCCAUCUACCAUCAAGGCUUGUUGCAACUUAUUUGAAUCAUUUGACUGCAAGUCUAAGUAAUAGAGUUUUCCCUGCUUAAUACCACAACCAAUCGUCUGUCUUGUUUGGAUGUCCUUAAUCACACAAAAUUCAGGCCAAAAAAUGACAAUACAAGAUAAGACUGCAGUGAUUUGAGAAUCUGACAAAAGAUUGUAAUCUAAAGAUGAAACAACUAAAACAGAAUCCAAAUUCAAAGUAUCAGUAAGAGUUAAGGAUCCUUCCCCAAUGACUAGGGUUGUGUUACCAUUGGCUGUGAAAACAAUUUUUUGUGAGGAAGGUCUAAGGGGUGAAACCUGUCUAGAAUCAAAAGUCAUAUGAUCUGUAGCACCAGAAUCAAUUAUCCAUGCACUAUUAAUAACAGGUGUAAAAGUAUUUAAAAACUUACCACCAUGAUCUAUAGCGGCUACCAAUACUGAGACUUUCUCAGCAACAUUAGCCUCUGUUUUUAUUUCGGCAACAAUUGCAAUCGAGGUUUUCUUGAAAUCUUUCUUUCGUUGAUCACGAUUAUUAUCAUUAAUAACAAAGUGUUGAUAGCCUAAACAUGAUCUAAAGGUCCAUGGUUCAAACCCUCGGUUCCUCAUUGUUUUCAUGGUUAUACCAAGAGUCGUUGCUUUGAAAUUGUGGAAUAUCCAGACUGGUGGGAUCAGUCUUAUUGCAGUGAGAGCAUUUGAAGGUUGACUUAUCAAUAUUAAAGUUUGUCUUAGGAUGGAUGAUCGCUGUCGGACAACCAUAGCGACAAAAUAUCCAGGAUUUCAGUUUCAUGGCUCUGAUACCAUCUUCAAAUUGAUAAAUGAUAGUUUUUUUUCAUUCAUUCUUUCAUUCGUUCAUGUACAGAGUAUAUAUAGAGGGUAAUCACCAUUCUAAGAAUAAGAAAGAAUGAUACAAGGAAAUAAUGAUAUAAGGAAAUAACAACUAAUAUCCUAAUAUCUCAAUAUUCUUAAUAUCUCAACUUUUCUAAUAUCUAAACAUUCCUAAUAUCUCAACACUAAAUAUAAGAAAACCAUUUGUUUUUAUAAAUAUUUUUUUCCCUAGGCUUUAGGUCAUGUUUGGUUUUUUUGAAAGUAUUAAAAAAAUUGCUAAAAAAAAUGAUUUUCUCAUUAUUUCAAGAAAAAUAUAAAAAAAAUAAAAUUAAAUAAAAACGGAUGUAUUUUUAAAUUAUUUAAUAAUUUUAUUGAUAGAUUAAAAUAAAUUAAAUGAAUUUAAAAUAUAAAAAGAAAACAAGAUUUAUUGACUUUGAUUUUUUUUUUCUUCUACUCUUUAUUCUCUUUCUUUACGUUUUCUCACAAAUUUUCCUCCCUAUUCUCUUUCCUUACAUUUUCUUUUAAAUUUUCCAUAAAUUUCCUCUUUAUUCUCGAUUCUUGCACCUUCUCUUAAGUUUUCAGGACACUUUUCUGGAAACCAAUCAUGACGAGCAUUUUCCUGGAACCAACCAUGAACAAAGUAAACUGGAGGAGAGUUUCCUCGAAAGAUUCCGUCCACAGGGAACGCCAACGCAUUAAGACUUUCCUUAGAGGAGCCGGUGGGGAAAGACCGACCAUUUUUAUAUUUUGGAUGCCAACGUGAAAUGGAAGCCAAUUGAGUUGCAGGUUCGGGUACUCUGACGAGUCUGAUCUUAGACUAGACCAACAUCAUUCAAACCUCGUCAUUUGUUAACGCGGAUUCCUUCAAUAAGUUUUAGCAGCCCCUUAUAAAAUAUGUUUGGUCUCUAAAAGGAGCCGGUUUGCUUUUGUCCGAUCAAAUUUCAAAAUGUUUUUAGUGUUUUUGAAAUUAGAAAGAACGAGAAUACUUUCUGAAUUAUUGUCAAAUACAUUCUGAAAUUAAUGUUGUAACACUAACAAGUGAUGGGAAACCCAUCAUGGGUCAUAAUCACAAGGAAAAGAAAGCAUUAACCUGAGGUCAACUUUUGGUAUGGCACACCAUCUACCCAUAUGGUUUCAUUUCAACGCAAGCAACGACCUAUAAUACUCACACUAAACAUUAAAAAAUAAAAUAAAAUUAAGGUUGAAAAUUAUUUUUUAUUUUUUAUAGAAUAAAAAUAAAUUUUAUGUGUGGUGUUUUAUUUUUAAUUAUUUUAUGUGUUUAUAUAGUUAUUUUUUAAAAUAAUUUUUAGAAAAUAAGUAAAAAUAAUAAAAAGAUGUUAUUUAAAAAUAUUUAUUUUUUAUUUUUAAAAAUAAAAAAAACAAAAAAUAUUUUUUAAAACAAUUACUUGCCCUAAAUUACUAAUAAUAAUUUAGUUAAAAUAUAAAAGUAUAUUUUUGUAUAAAGGCAUCGCUGAAUAAAUAAAUGUAGGUCUUACAAGCGCGUAACCGCGUGGGGCCACCACUGAGCAAAUUUGAAAUACCAACUAGUCAAGAAGCGUUAUGCCGGAAUUGACUCGGGCAAUUGGUUCCAUUUGCCAAAGAACUAGAAGAGCGGAUCUUCUUCUUCGUCUUCCUCAUAAUUUCGUCUGUUUCGGAUCUGAGCGGUAAAUUUGUUGUAUUCGUAUAUUACAAUAAGAUCGAGCGGGUAACGCGGUGGGGGUUUCUGCUUUUUGCUGUGGUAGUUUCUGGGAAUGUAAAGCACACUUAGGAGGUGGGAGGCUUUAGAGAAUUUUCUUGGUGGUUUCGUUUGGGACGCGGGGGAAGGGUAUAUGAAUGAGGGAGGAGUGUGGUUGUGCAGGUAGAGAAACAAGUUACAAAAGCGAUUACAAGAGCUAGUGAUGGAAAGCUAUUUGGACGAGAACUUCUCAGGAGUGAAGCCAAAGCAUUCGUCGGAUGAGGUGUUGCAGAGAUGGAGGAAUCUUUGCAGUGUUGUCAAGAACCCCAAGCGAAGGUUCCGCUUCACUGCCAACCUCUCCAAGCGUGGCGAGGCGGCUGCUAUGCGCCGCACCAAUCAGGUCUCCUCUCUAAUUCAUUACAUUUGCCUUUUAUUCGUAAAUAAGCUCUCCUAUUGGAAACCUAAAUAUUGGACUUGAUCUGGAACUUGAAUAUGGGCAUUUAUUUUUUGGGAGGCUAUGGGUUUUAAAUCUUGUUCCUUUCUCAAACCCUUUGUAACAUCCGCUCCCAGUUUCUAACAUCCUCCUAAUCGUUUAGAUAUUGUGGGCCGCGUGAGAGUCUUAAAACGCGUUCCCAAACCGUUUAGAUAUUGUCGUUAGCGUGAGAGCCUUAAAACGCGUCUACAAGCAAUUUUUUCACCCAAUCCCACAACCUUCUCCACUCCAUUUUUUUUUUUUUUUAAUAAUAAUUGUGAAGUAGAAGGAUGCAAAGGUUCAGCUGAACGGAAACGGAAACGGAAAUAGCGAGGAUUAGGUGUCAUUGAGUUGAGAUGAAGAUUCAAGAUUAUCUUGGGCACUAGGAAGUUACCAAAAUAUUUUGAUAAACGUGGUCAAGUUUAUCAUGCCUCUUUCAAGAUCAUCUUAAACACUUAAAAACUACCAAAAUCUUUUGAGUAUUCAAGAAUGAUGGAUGUGCUCAAGAAUUAAAAACUACCAAAGCUUUGAUUUCUCUCAUUUGACUUCAGUUCUUACUUUCUCCCGACAUUCCUGGAUUUAUUGCUCAGUACUUUUAUUUGCCCAAGUUGUUUUUCCAAUGAACUUUUUAAUUCUCAACUUCAGCGAAGAAGGCUUUGCCAACACAUAAUAUCUCUUUUAACAUAACUAUGAGAAUUUGUCCUCUGUAUUGUUUAGUGACUAACUCUUUUCUGUAUUCAUAUGUAGGAGAAAUUGAGAAUUGCGGUAUUGGUUUCCAAAGCAGCAUUGCAAUUUAUCCAAGGUGAGCUUCUUCUGAAAUCAAUUAUAUCUAAUACUUAUUAUGUUAAAACUUAAAAGGUUCUCCAAAUUGAUUCCUCUUGGGAUAUUUGCAGGUGUACCUGUCAGCGACUAUGUUGUACCUGAGGAAAUCAAAGCUGCAGGUUUUCAGAUUUGUGCUGAUGAAUUGGGAUCCAUUGUCGAAGGCCAUGAUGUAAAGAAGCUGAAAAUUCAUGGUGGGGUAGAUGGUAUUGCAGAAAAGCUAUCCACAAGUACAACCUAUGGGCUUACUGCCGACAAUAAAUUGCUGAAUCACAGACAAGAGAUUUAUGGGAUAAAUAAAUUCACCGAAACUCAAGCUCGAGGCUUCUUGGUAUUUGUUUGGGAAGCCCUUCAUGACAUGACACUCAUAAUCCUUGCUGUGUGUGCGCUUGUGUCUCUGAUAGUUGGCAUUGCAAUGGAAGGGUGGCCGGUGGGGGCCCAUGAUGGCCUUGGGAUUGUUGCUAGUAUCCUGUUGGUUGUGUUAGUCACGGCAACAAGUGAUUAUCGGCAAUCUUUACAGUUUAGGGAUUUGGACAAAGAGAAGAAGAAGAUCUCCAUUCAGGUCACAAGGAAUGGAUAUAGGCACAAAAUGUCGAUAUAUGAUUUGCUUCCUGGUGAUAUAGUGCAUCUUUCUAUUGGAGACCAGGUCCCUGCUGAUGGACUUUUUGUUUCAGGAUUUUGUGUGUCAAUUGAUGAAUCAAGUUUAACUGGAGAGAGUGAACCAGUAAUGGUAAGUGCAGAAAAUCCUUUUCUGCUGUCUGGAACUAAGGUUCAAGAUGGAUCAUGCAAGAUGAUGAUUACUACUGUUGGAAUGAGAACCCAAUGGGGUAAAUUGAUGGCCACUCUUAGUGAAGGGGGAGAUGACGAGACUCCAUUGCAAGUUAAAUUGAAUGGAGUGGCAACCUUUAUUGGGAAGAUAGGCCUUGUCUUUGCUGUGGUGACAUUUGCGGUUCUGGUUCAAGGAUUGUUUAACCGUAAACUGGGAGAGGGGACCCACUGGAGUUGGUCAGGAGAUGAUGCAUUGGAAAUGUUGGAAUUCUUUGCCAUUGCUGUUACAAUUGUUGUUGUCGCAGUCCCUGAGGGGCUGCCUUUGGCUGUCACAUUGAGCCUUGCUUUCGCAAUGAAGAAGAUGAUGAAUGACAAGGCACUCGUCCGCCAUCUGGCAGCUUGUGAGACGAUGGGUUCUGCAACAUGUAUCUGCAGUGACAAGACUGGGACUCUAACUACUAACCACAUGACUGUUGUGAAAUCAUGCAUUUGUAUGAAUGUGAAGGAUGUGGACAGACAGAGCAAUGCUUCUAGUUUCUGUUCUGAAAUCCCAGAUUCUACUGUGAAACUUCUGCUACAAUCGAUAUUUAAUAACUCUGGUGGAGAAGUCGUGAUUAACAAAGAAGGGAAGCUUGAGAUACUGGGAUCGCCCACUGAUGCUGCUUUGCUGGAGUUUGGAUUGUUCCUUGGUGGAGACUUUCAAGGAGAGCGACAAGCACCCAAACUAAUUAAGGUUGAGCCAUUCAAUUCAACAAAGAAGCGAAUGGGUGUAGUGCUAGAACUUCCAGAAGGAGGUCUGCGAGCCCAUACUAAAGGUGCUUCAGAAAUUAUUUUGGCUGCCUGUGACAAGAUGAUCGAUUCUAAUGGUGAGGUUGUUCCCCUUGAUGAAGCAUCUAUUGACCAUCUUAAGGCUACAAUCAAUCAAUUUGCCAGUGAAGCACUUCGAACUCUAUGCCUUGCCUAUAUGGAACUGGAGAAUGGGUUUUCCCCCAAUGAUCCUAUUCCUCUUUCGGGAUAUACCUGUAUAGGUAUUGUGGGUAUCAAAGAUCCUGUUCGCCCAGGUGUUAAGGAGUCCGUUGCAAUUUGUCGCUCAGCUGGCAUUACUGUAAGGAUGGUUACAGGUGACAACAUAAAUACUGCCAAGGCUAUUGCUAGAGAAUGUGGAAUUCUCACUGAUGAUGGUAUAGCCAUCGAAGGUCCAGAUUUUAGAGAGAAGAGCGAAGAAGAAUUGUUUAAACUAAUUCCCAAAAUUCAGGUCCUUCCUACAUCUUUAUCUUCAGAGCAUGUUGAAACUAGAAUACUAAAGUAGUAAGAAUUGUUCAUCUGAUCUGUGAAUACAAUUUUUUUCCCCUCAAUAGGUAAUGGCUCGAUCUUCACCUUUGGACAAGCAUACACUGGUGAAACACUUAAGAACCACAUUUGGUGAAGUUGUUGCUGUGACCGGUGAUGGAACAAAUGAUGCACCAGCACUUCAUGAGGCAGAUAUUGGGCUAGCAAUGGGCAUUGCUGGAACUGAGGUAAGUGUAUUAUGCCUUUCCUAAUACAGCAUUGACUGUACUGCUAAUUGAAAAAAUAGGCACGUGUACCUGCAAUGAGCUAGUUGAUAAGACUUAUGUGGCCGGUUAUCUUGAUUGAAAAAUCAGGGGAAUUCAUUCCAUUAUCUUUAUUAUUUUGGCAUCUAUUAGAGAUGUGUAUAGCUUAGAUAUAAAUAAAAGUCAUUGCUUGAUACAAUCUACAAAUUCUCAUUGUUUGCACUUCCUCCAUUGUGAACAGUACCAAAUUCUAAUUCUGCCCAUGAACUUCAGGUGGCUAAAGAGAGUGCUGAUGUAAUAAUCUUGGAUGAUAAUUUCUCCACAAUUGCGACUGUGGCCAAAUGGGGACGUUCAGUCUACAUAAAUAUUCAAAAAUUUGUACAGUUCCAACUUACGGUUAACGUGGUUGCAUUAAUAGUCAACUUCUCUUCAGCUUGUUUGACAGGUAAGAAGACCCCAUCUUGCUUCUUCCAUUUCAAAGUUACUUCCUUGUUUUGUCAAAUAAACUUCUUCUUUUUUCUCCCUACAUUUUUUUUAUUCCUUUUUUUUUUCAAACACUUCAGGAAAUGCUCCCCUCACGGCUGUUCAGCUUCUGUGGGUCAACAUGAUCAUGGAUACACUGGGAGCUCUUGCAUUAGCAACUGAGCCACCUACUGAUGACUUAAUGAAGAGAGCACCAGUUGGAAGAAGAGGAAAUUUUAUCAGUAAUGUCAUGUGGAGAAAUAUCCUAGGCCAGUCCCUAUAUCAGUUUCUGGUAAUAUGGUAUCUUCAGGUAGAAGGGAAAGCAAUAUUUCAGCUCAAUGGCCCUGAUUCUGAUCUGAUCCUGAAUACACUUAUUUUCAACUCGUUUGUCUUCUGCCAGGUACUUUUGGAAGUCCUCUUUGUAAACUUUGUUUCAAGCAUCUAUGUGAUAAAUGAAUGGUAGAUUAUGAUAGGCAAGUUUAGCUUUUUUUUUCAUUACAGGUUCUGUUUGGUAUUUCAAAUUAUGAUUUAGAAUUUAUCUUAUCACACCCUAUGAGUAAAUUGACUUUGCCCAAAUAAAUUCUCAUUUAAAUGACUAGAGGUUGUGAUGUAGAACAACUCUAGGAUGGUUGCCUACACUCAAAAGUAGGUGGGUUAGGGUUUUAAUUUUAGAGUAUAAGAAGAGGAACAAGGAAUGAAGCUUAUGGUAGAGAAAAAAAAGAUGAAAACCUUAAAGUCUCACUAAGACCUUCAAGGAGUUUCACCUAGAAGAAAAUCAUUGGAGUUUUACCAUUGAGGUUUGCAACAAUUGCAAUGAAAAAAAUAUAAUAUUAUUAACAUCAAUCGAUUCAUCCUUUUGAUUUAUAUCGAUGAGCUUUAUUUAUAGGUUUUUUUAAGAAAUCUAAAGUUCAUUUGGAUUCUAAUAACUUAUUAUGACUCUAAUUCUUAUUAUCUUAUAACCUAACUAGCUAAUCCUAAUUUGACUCAAACAAAUAGUAAUCAUAAUUUAAUUCUAAUUAAUAUUAAUUCUAAUUUAAUUUCAACUAAUAUUAAUCCUAAUUUAAUUUCAAAUAAUACUAAUCCUACUUUAAUUGCAACUAAUACAAAUUCCCUUUCUUAAAGGACUGAGUUUUCCAAAUUUAUUAUUAUCCCUUCCUUCCCAUGAGUUGCAAAAGAAACGGAAACAUGUUCUUUCACUGUAAAGCAUGAAAAGAUAAUAUCGGGGCCCCUGGCCCAUUUAUCAUAUUAGGGAUAACAUUUUUAUUUCCAUUGUGUUCAAUACCAGAUAACUCAACAGGCUUAACCUGGGGUAUUUUCUGAAAAAUAUGUUAAUUUGGAUUGACUUUCAGAAAAUUGCAAUUCAUUACAUUUACUAUUUACAACUGAAUAUUCUCACUGGAUCUUCUGCUUAUUUGUUCCACUCCUUCUUAGGUUCUCAGUUCACCCAUCUUCUUGAUCACAUGAGAGGGCUAUUAGAUGAAACCCUUUCCACUAAUAUGUCUACUAAUUUAUUUUCUAAUUUUCGACUAUUAAACUCUUCUGAGAUGUCCUUUCUUAAUUCAAGAUAUCUCAGUUUGUAACCCUGUUGAGGACAUCUAACUUAUGAAAAGGAUCAUGGCUUAAUUCUGCAGGUUUUCAAUGAGAUAAGCUCCCGAGAAAUGGAGAAAAUCAAUGUAUUCAAAGGCAUACUGGAUAACUAUGUAUUUGCUGCUGUUCUCACUUCCACCGUCCUUUUCCAGAUCAUAAUCAUCGAGUACCUGGGUACAUAUGCAAACACAUCACCUCUCACUCUAUCCCAAUGGUUCCUCAGUGUUUUUAUUGGGUUCCUAGGCAUGCCAAUCGCUGCGGCCUUAAAGAUGAUCCCUGUGGCAAGUCAAUGAGUGAGAGAUGCUGCUUUUUAAAUUUUGUCCAGAAGCCUUUCCUUGGAACAGGGCUUAUUGCAUGUGGGUUUGUUUAGAAACCUCAAAAGGUUGACAUGUCAUUUUACAAGCAUCACUGAACUCCAAUUAUUGUAAGAUUCAACGUUUUCUUUGUUUUUAUUAGCUUUUUGUGGAAACCUAAAGAAGAAUAGGGCCCUCUGCUUGGCUGCAAGAUGUAACUUCAGAUGUAACCAUUUUAUUCUUCAGUAAUGGGAAAUUCUUUUGUUAAGUUUCUGGUAUUUUGUUCUUGUGGUAUUUACUAUUUACUCUUCUUUAUUCUUGUUUAUAACUGCCAGUUCUUAUUAUUUCUAACUUGUGAAUAAUGUCUCAGUAGAUUGCAAUGGUUUUGUUUAGUUAAAUGAUUCCUAAGAAAUGGUCAUGGGCAUGGAAAUUUGUUGAAAAUAUCAGCGGCCAAUUCUAAAAAACAAAAUAUUUAGUGAGACAAAAAUUGAUUAAAGAGAUGAAAAUUCAUUAAAAUUUAUGAAAAUUUGCUUUUUUUUUUUUUAAGAAAUGAUAAAAUAAAUAAUAUUACACAUUAAAUAUAUAUAUUGUUAUGAGAAUUGAUAGAAUUCAUAAAUUUGUAAUAUUGGUCAACAAAAAAUAUGAAUUUUAAAACUAUUCUCAUCAAUACUAAUGUAGGGGUAUAUUUUGAUACCGCGUUUGGUAAAAUUUAAUAUUUAUUGUUUAAUUAUUUAAUGAUUUAAGUUAACUUUAAAUUAUUAACUUAAAACUUAUUACUUAAUUCUUAUUUUAAGUAUUAAAAUUAUUUAAUAAAAUUAACUUAAAGCUUAUUUUAAAUUAUUAAAUUGAUAUACUUAUUCUCAUAAAUUAAAAAGUAAAGGAAGUCAGAAUAAUAAUGGAGAUCACGAAACAUGAAAAAAAAAAUUAUAGAGGUAAUUAAGACAAAUAAAGAUAAAAAUAUGAAAUUAAAAAUAAAUGAAUUAUUUUUACUUAUUAUUUAAAAUUAUUUUUAACUUUAAGUCAUACUUUUAAAUUAUUUUACUUAAUACAUUUAAUUUGCUUAAUGAUUUAAUUAAAUCAUUUUAAGUUAUUAAGUUUGCUUAUGGAAACACCCACUAAACAUGGCUGUCUAAAAUAUCACCGUUUCUCCAUUCUAGGAAGUGUAAUCCCCCUAACACAUUAUUACAUGCUUUCUGCCUUAUGUUUCACUACGGAAAGUUGUAGACAUUAACUCCAUAUUUAUUCUUCCAUCAUAGAGGGUCCCUCGGAUUCACAAGUAUAAUUGAUCCAAAUAGGUUCCAGAAGUGCCCUUGCUUUCUGUAAUUUCUGCUUUCCAUGUUCAUUACCGCUUGGUUCCUCAACUUGUCUCUCAAUUUCAGGAUAGAUGCCUUCCAGAGAAGCCAACAUCAUAUCAAGUCCUUCCCACCCUCUAUGUUCAUGUCCCACUAAUUUCACACAGACAAAGUGAAUGAGUCCCAAUAACAACCCGAAGUCCUCUCUUUCCAGUGCAACAGCUGAAGCCGUCAUGAAAAUCUUCCCCACUGCAUCUAAUAUACUGGAGUUUCCUCUCAGCAAUAGAGUCAUCAUUCCUAUAAGUUUCUUAAAGGACGAAAGUUUCCCUGGUUCUGAAACUCUUUCAGCCUCCUCAUUUGGGCUGAUAUUAGCAAGCUCAUCAAGCUCAAUCUUCGCUAAGAUUGAGGUCCAUGAUGGUAAUUGGAGUUCACUCUGUUCAGAUUCAGUGAAUUGUGUUCCUUCUUCUGAAGUUUGUUUCAUUAUGUGCCUAGCUCCUAAUGCCAAAACCAAAUCAGGUAGCCAUGGCUUAAGAGCAGUAACAAGGCGUACUGCAUAAACAGAACCCAAGUAUGAUUCAACUGAAAUGAUUAGAUCAAGCAGGUAGUUGGCAAGAUUGUAAGCUUCUGGUGGAGGUGUUGAAGCUUCAUUGGUAUUUGCAAGGACUAAAUUGAGAAACUUGGCUGUGUAGGUUAAGGAGCUCUUCAGACAGAGAAAUGUGCCCCUCAAAUCAUCGUCAUUGAACUGCAAUUGGUCCUGAGAAUGUUGCCUUAUAAUGGAGAUAGUAUAUUGGAUAUAAAUUGUUGUGAACUUUAAGAACCUUCCAUCGUUAGAAACAAGUCUCAUUGUAGCUGCAUCAACAAUGAACUUGAGCACUGCAGUGAGCAUCUUCAUCACAUUUGAUAUCCUUUUUGGUUCAGAAAAAGUGGUUCCUACAUAAAAGUUAAAUAAAUAUAUCAAAUUCAGUCAUAAAAGAAAGAAGUAAGAAAGAUGCAAUACAAAAUUUUGGACAUGAAUAUAUAAAAAUGGAAAUUUAUUUUUAGGAAGGAAAAAGACAGUGCAUAUGCAGAUGGUUGGAAAUUAAAAGUUUAUUCCUUUAUUCCAAGACAAUCAGGCUGUUAAAGACAGAGAGUUGAUAGAUAAUGACAUCCAAGAUGUCUAAAACAGUGGAGACAAAGGUUCCCUUGCGGUUCAAAAUAAACUAUUGGCAUCAAAAUGGACAAUCAGGAAUAUAUGUGUUAACAUGCACAAAGGCAUAGCUUCAGUGCUAAAAACAUUAUGAAGAUCCUAACCAAAAAGAAGAAGAUAUAGAGAGAAAUUUUCCACUCCAAUAUUUUUACUCCAUGGCGUGGCCAUUAAUAUCGCCUUUCAUUUCACCAAAAUAAUGUGGUUUGAUCUAUUCAAAGUACCUAAGCCCUUCAGGCUGUAAAAAAUUGGUCUAAGAGUAACAUUUUCCUGACUCAAAUUAACUUCUAGUUUCUAGACUAUAGGGCUCUUCAUUAGUACUCUAGAUUUGAGCAAUGCACAUACCUGAAAUUCCAAUGCAGCAAAUAUUGGAAUAAGAACUCUUGCAAGCUGGAGAAACCCAGUGGUGGAUCAUAGUGCCCAGGUUGGGAUGAGAUGAGAUGCGCUAAACAAAAAUGCAUGGAACACGAUAUGCUGAAUUCAAUAUCAUUAGGAUAAGGUAUAGCACAUGGGAGAAGAAGUUGAGAAGAAAAAGUGUGGGCCCAGGUGGCUAUCAGUGGGCCGAUUUUUCAGUGAUUUGAUAUUUUGCUUUUGUUUCAAGGUUUAGUGUCAAAAGUGGGGGAAGACUAUUUUCAAUUUCACGUGUGAGAGGAGAUGGGGGACACCGAAGAGAAAAAAAUGGGAUACAAGCUCAAGUAAUAUUACAGAAGAUAGACUCAAUGGAUAUUGUCAUCUGCCCAUCAUGCACCUAUAUUCUAGUAAGAGUUUGGAAUCAUUCUUAAAGGUUGGGUGUGUAACUAUAGCUUCUUUUAUAAGGUUUAUUGCUAUAUGGUACAUUGGUAUCAGCUUUCCCAAAGAUCUAACAUUAGCCGUGACAUGAAAAAAUGAAAUAAGAAUCUUUUCCAUUUGAGCUUGUGCAUUACCUAGAUUUAGAGUAAAAAAUACUUCUAUCAUUCAAUUAAAUAGUAACAGUAUCUUCUGAGUGCCAAUUUAGAAGUGUGAAAUUGUGCCCUUCCAACAGUACUUACCACCAUCACUUGUGCUAGAAGGAUCUGUUUGAGGUUGUGCAUGACCUAGAUUUAGAGUAAAAAAUACUUCUCAUCCUAUCAUUCAAUUAAAUAGUAAUAGUAUCUUCUGAGUGCCAGUUUAGAAGUGUGAAAUUGUGCCCUUCCAACAAUACUUACCACCAUCACUUGUGCUACAAGGAUCUGUUUGAGGUUCUCUAAGCUUUUGCCGACAAGAAUUAGCCGCCUUCUUAUGAUCCUUCUUACGUUCUGAUGGCAGUUUUGAAGACUUUCCUGCAUCACCUGCUUGAAAUAGUUUCUCUNNNNNNNNNNNNNNNNNNNNNNNNNNNNNNNNNNNNNNNNNNNNNNNNNNNNNNNNNNNNNNNNNNNNNNNNNNNNNNNNNNNNNNNNNNNNNNNNNNNNAGAUAAUGACAUCCAAGAUGUCUAAAACAGUGGAGACAAAGGUUCCCUUGCGGUUCAAAAUAAACUAUUGGCAUCAAAAUGGACAAUCAGGAAUAUAUGUGUUAACAUGCACAAAGGCAUAGCUUCAGUGCUAAAAACAUUAUGAAGAUCCUAACCAAAAAGAAGAAGAUAUAGAGAGAAAUUUUCCACUCCAAUAUUUUUACUCCAUGGCGUGGCCAUUAAUAUCGCCUUUCAUUUCACCAAAAUAAUGUGGUUUGAUCUAUUCAAAGUACCUAAGCCCUUCAGGCUGUAAAAAAUUGGUCUAAGAGUAACAUUUUCCUGACUCAAAUUAACUUCUAGUUUCUAGACUAUAGGGCUCUUCAUUAGUACUCUAGAUUUGAGCAAUGCACAUACCUGAAAUUCCAAUGCAGCAAAUAUUGGAAUAAGAACUCUUGCAAGCUGGAGAAACCCAGUGGUGGAUCAUAGUGCUCAGGUUGGGAUGAGAUGAGAUGCGCUAAACAAAAAUGCAUGGAACACGAUAUGCUGAAUUCAAUAUCAUUAGGAUAAGGUAUAGCACAUGGGAUAUAUAAGCAGGAGAAGAAGUUGAGAAGAAAAAGUGUGGGCCCAGGUGGCUAUCAGUGGGCCGAUUUUUCAGUGAUUUGAUAUUUUGCUUUUGUUUCAAGGUUUAGUGUCAAAAGUGGGGGAAGACUAUUUUCAAUUUCACGUGUGAGAGGAGAUGGGGGACACCGAAGAGAAAAAAAUGGGAUACAAACUCAAGUAAUAUUACAGAAGAUAGACUCAAUGGAUAUUGUCAUCUGCCCAUCAUGCACCUAUAUUCUAGUAAGAGUUUGGAAUCAUUCUUAAAGGUUGGGUGUGUAACUAUAGCUUCUUUUAUAAGGUUAAUUGCUAUAUGGUACAUUGGUAUCAGCUUUCCCAAAGAUCUAACAGUAGCCGUGACAUGAAAAAAUGAAAUAAGAAGCUUUUCCAUUUGAGCUUGUGCAUUACCUAGAUUUAGAGUAAAAAAUACUUCUAUCAUUCAAUUAAAUAGUAGCAGUAUCUUCUGAGUGCCAAUUUAGAAGUGUGAAAUUGUGCCCUUCCAACAGUACUUACCACCAUCACUUGUGCUAGAAGGAUCUGUUUGAGGUUGUGCAUGACCUAGAUUUAGAGUAAAAAAUACUUCUCAUCCUAUCAUUCAAUUAAAUAGUAAUAGUAUCUUCUGAGUGCCAGUUUAGAAGUGUGAAAUUGUGCCCUUCCAACAAUACUUACCACCAUCACUUGUGCUACAAGGAUCUGUUUGAGGUUCUCUAAGCUUUUGCCGACAAGAAUUAGCCGCCUUCUUAUGAUCCUUCUUACGUUCUGAUGGCAGUUUUGAAGACUUUCCUGCAUCACCUGCUUGAAAUAGUUUCUCUAUACAACUGAAUAGAUGAUACAUAGUCUGCUCCAAAACUGUCUGCAGAAAAAGAGCAAGAAAUAGCAGUUCAAACCUAUCAGUAACCAUGAAAAUAUUAGUAUACCAACAAAAAACCGUGUAACAUUAAUAUCACUUGCCUCCAGUGAUGAUGAUCUUGAAAAAUGAAAUCCCUCAUUCUUAGCACCCAUUGAGCUGAUAUUUUGAAGAGUCAAAUGCAGAGCAAGAGAUGAAUAUGCCAAGAUUGGAGUUGUAUCCAUAUGUUCAUAAUUCAUACAAUGCACAAUGCUGACUUCAGAAAUGACCUUUAAAGCGAAGAAUGCUGACUCUAGAGUUUUAGACCUUAAUGUAGCUAUUCGAGUGCCCUCAGACUUAAUCAAGUCUAUUAUUUGCCAAGCUACACCUACAGCAUUUGGAUAAGCCUCCUCAAAUAUGGAUGUGGACAUAUUGGGCAAUUUUUUUCCACUAACAUGCUUCUCUUUAGCUGAAAUUUUGAAAGAGGACUUAGUUUUCUUCCGUUUCACUGAAGGAACACAUUGCUUUGGCAUCUCAGUGCCAAAUUUGGUAUGGCACCCAUAGGCAGCUUUCUGCAAGAGUCUUGUUAGGACAUCAAACAUAUCAUCAAACCAAUCACAAGACAGCAUUAGCUUGUGGACAGACCUCACUUCUUCUUGCCUUUCCGUAUUUUCAGAUAAACCACUACAAUCUGUGACUAGGCCCAUGCAUUCUUCAACAAACUCAGCGGCAUCAUCAGGAGAGAUGGAGGAAAUAAUGUUGACUACAGAAGAUUGAGCAGGCCCUGUUUCCGCAGCAGUAAACAAGCGCUUCAGUUUUCCACCAGAAAACAACUCUUUAAGGGCAGUUAUGUACAAUGGCUCAGUCACUAGGUUGUUGCAAAGGUAUGCAGCACCAACAAGUAAACUCUCAAUCUGAUCUCCCUGCAGCUUUUUCGGUGACAGGACCAAACUGAUGAAAACUUUGACAAGUUCCAAGAGAGACUUCAUAGAUGCCCCUUCUGAUAGAGCAAAUUCACAAAGCCGUGCUCCAGCUUUGGGGGACCUUUUUAUAAGUGUGACACAGCGCUUGCAUGCUUCUUCAGGAGUCACUUUGGAAGGAAAAUAUGAUGGAAUUAAAAGUUUUGUGAUUUUCUGAGCAACAGGUGGCUGAUCAUCUGCAAGUGUUGAUAAUAAUACAUCUAAGCCCACGACCUGCAGCAAGAAACAAAGAAUAAUCAAUAACCAAUAAGAAGAAGGGCAUAUAAAAUGGCCAAAGCAGAUACAAAAUUCACAUUUUAAGAGAGCAUUCUAUACCUUAUGAAACUGGAAAGUUCGGAUAUCCCUUAGAAGAAGAAGGAGAUCAGCAAUAGCAACUCUUACAGAAAGAGCAGGAUCCAGAAUCAGAUGCCCCAGUCUUGGUAGAAGCACUUUAAGAAUUUCAUGAGAUUGGGGAUUACCAAGCAAAUACAUAAUACCAUUCAAUGUAGAAAGCCUGACUUCAUUGCAUUUAUCAGACGACAUGUCAUCAAAAAUUUUGGUGAUCAUCUUUGUAAUGGUUGAAGAAGGAAUAAUUUCCCAAAACAAAUGAAGGAUGCGACAGGAUCCUUCAACUGCAACGACUCUAAUUUCUGGACAAUCAUCUGAGAGUAAUCUCUCCAAUAAAAAGAACUGUUUAUCAAGCAUUGUAUCUUUAGUUUCUUUCGUUGCAUCAGGAUCUUCGAGAGGGAAUGAGUCUAAAAGCAAAUGCAAUGAAUUUAACCGAACAUUUGAGUUGGCAACCUGCCACAAAAAGCACACGAGUAUUGAAGGGUAUCUACAUAUAACAAGUUUGAUACACUAAGUAACACAGUUCACUCUCUUAUUAAGUGUAAUUUCUCCCUUACAGUCUCUGCUGAGGCAUCAGAAAGAUGCGAGAGAGAGAGAGAAAGAGAGAGAUUUUUUAGCAGCAACAAUCACAAUAAGGGAAUAUGCAAUUGAACAAUUACAAUAAAGGAUAUGGGUAUUUUUCCUUUUCCUGUAUUCUCUUGGUGAUCACUACAUACCACCUGUGUUCAUGGGUUGUAAGUACUUUUCUUUUUCCUUUAUCCUCUAGGGAAAGAAAUGCAAGAAAUAUGCAAUCAAACAAGGACAUAAUACCAAACAUAUCCUAAGACUGGCAUAUACAUUAUCUCAUUAUAGGCUAUACAGCUCAUGUCUACUCUCUUCAAAACAUCAUGGGUGUUAUAAGGUAAAGGCGAUUAAUUACCUGUAGUGACCGAAAUAUCACAGGCUCAGUCAGUCGAAAAAGAAGUUUCUCGACCCCAUUGGUGGUUCUUUGGUUUAUGAAUCCUCCCAGAACCCUCCUAAUGGAGGCAGCCAAUGCUCCAGAAUUAGCAUGUAUUGCGCCUUCAAUCAACCCCUGCAGAAACCCAUUCUCAAUUUCAUUCCGCGAUUCCCCUUCAACAUGCUUCCAGGCCUGAAAAACAAUAUCCCCAUAUGUCUCCAACAUCGACUUCCUCCCAAACGGAAUCUGAGAUCGAAUCAUCGCCAAUGCUUCUUUUACAAGCUGACGGCUUAACCCGAACAUAAAGGCGACGAACUUCCUUCCAUCCUCGGUCUUCAGAUAGAGGGGCGUAAUGACACACCUUAUCAUCAAAAGCUUCAAAUCCUCGAUACUCUCAUCCUCAAAAUCAAACAGCGCAAACGCCUCGCGCAGCAUGUACACUCUAUGCACAUCAACCUUCUUCUUCAGAGUCAACGACCUUGACAGCAAAAACGGGAGAGAUUGUGAAAUUAGAGUCUCUCUCCCCACCAACCCGUCCUUCCACCACUCCUCACACAAAUUCGCAAUCUCCGACAACAAAACCGAAUCCGACUCAAAGAGAAUCAAAUUAUCGUGCAACACCUGGACUGCCGGCAACAAGUCCGCCGGAGAAAACGUGUUCUUGGGGUGCGAAACGCAUAAAAGCGCGAUGUGCGAAAGAACCUGAAGAUCUUGAAGUACUCCAGAUUCGUGAUUUUCUUCGACUUCUUCGUCCCUAGUCUUAGCCUGCCUAGAAGAUCUCCGGCGACGCUUUGUCGGCGGCGAGGGAGGAGACUUUCCGGAGUCUCGAAGGUUCUGAAAGGAAGCGAUGGAGUGAGAAAUGGAGUUAUGGAGAGAGGGAGGGAGAGAAGAAGAGAGAGGUGAGGAGGGGGUGAUGCCAUGAAUUAAGCUCUUGAGAGAGGCUUUUGCUGACCUCAACCCUAGCUUUGUAGCAGAGGAGAGGAAGGACUCCGGCGACGCUUGGAGAGAGGAUCGAAGCCUCUUGUCCAUGGGAGGGGUGGUUUGGGAAUUUUGAUGUUCUCUUCGGCUUCCCCUUUAGAGUGAGUUUUUGAAUAUGGGAGGAGAGAGGUGAGAGAAGGAGAACGUCACUUGCCGGUGAUGCGUUCUGAAUGACGGGCCAAUUAAAAGUGUGAGUGUGGUGGAGAAUGAGGACUUUGAAACGACUUCGACCUCGUCGUUUUACUCUUGUUAAAGCUGUGAUUUGCCUGUCUUUUUUAAUGGACCGCCAAUACCGUAUAUAUAUCUUAUAAAUUUCGAAUUCGUUGAUGGCGCGCUAUUAGUAAUUAUAGUCGUACCCUCAAUCACCCGAAUUGAGGAUCAAAGAGUUAACGUACAUUUAAGCUUGGGUAUGGGAUGCCGAAUCAUUAAUUUCCAGAAAAUACUUGUCUAAAAAUGUGAUAAAUCAGAUAGUAAUUAUUUUCCUAAAAAUUAAGGUUAUAUCUUCCAAAAACGUAUCAAGAAAAAAAAAUAUUAUGGUUACGUUUGGCUUCCAGAAAAUUUGAGAGAAGAUAUGAACAAAAUAAAAAGCUAAGAAGAGAAAAAAAUGAAAAUAAUAAUAAUAAUAAUAAUAAGUUUAUGUUGUAAAAUAAAGUGAGAGAAGAAGAAAGCUAAAAAGAGAGAAUAAAAUGUUUGAGAAAACUAUAUUGAAUUUUAUUAGGGAUCCUUCCAUUUUAUAGGGAGUUAUACAAGAUAUUUAUAGAUGAUCAUCCACAAGUUGUCAGUGGUACAUAAUCUCAUAUUUUUAUGACACCCUCCUUGGAUGAUCAUAAGAAUAUGUGUCAUUAAAAUCUUAUUAAGAAAAACCUUAUGGGAAAAACCCUAGUGAAGGAAAAAAAGUAUAAUAUUCUUUUGGAUUACUACAAUUGCAUCGUUAAAAACCUUGCCAAUAAAACUCAAUAGGACAAAACCUGGAUGAAGGAAAAAAUAGUGCAGUGUAGUGAUAUUCUUAUCAAUCAGUUCCCCCUCAUGUUGACAUGAUUAUAUUUUCUCUAGUAGUACAUCAUAAAUAUUUUUGAGUCAACGUAUUCCAAUGAGUUUCUUGAGUAUUGCAGUUGACAAUGCCUUUGUGGAUAUAUCUACUAAAUUGUCACUUGAUCUUAUUCGUCGAAUAACAAUUUCAUCAUUCUUCUGGAGUUAAUGAAAGUAAAAGACUUGAACAAUAUAUGCUUAAUUCUAUCACUCUUAAUGUAUCAUUCUUUAAUAUGUGCAAUGCAUGCAACAUUAUUAACUUGGUAGCAUUACCUCUGAUGGAGGGUAGUCCGCAUGUUUCCAUUAUUUGCUUGAUUGAUCUCCACGAUAUUGUCGUACCACCAUAUAUAAAUACAUACCUCAUUUGAGAUCGAACUUUGUGGGGGGUCUGAAAGAUAGUUAACAUCUACAUAUUCAAGCAAUUAAGAUUUUGAACAUUCAAAAUAACAUAGACCCAUGUUAUUGUCGUACAUGAUUGACUUUAUUCCAAUGUCUCUGAGUUGGUGAAGAACUAUAUCCCAUAAGUAAAUUAACAAGGAAUACAAUAUAUGGUCAUGUAUAAUUUGCAAGAUUCAUCGGUGCACUAAUAAUAUUGUAAUAUGGUACUUUUAAACCAAGUAGUUUUUCAUUAUCUUCUUUAGGACAAAAGAGGUCAUUUUUCACUUUAAGUGAAUGAACUAUCAUUAGAGAAUUUAAUGGAUGUGAUUAACCCAUAUGAAAGUGCUUCAAAACUUUCUUAAUGUAUGUUGAUUGAUGUACUAAAACUCCAUUUGAAAAUGCUCGAUCUACAAGCCGAGACAAAAUUUUGUUUUUCCAAGAUCUUUCAUCUCAAAUUCCCUUUUCAAGUAAUUUGUUGUUCUUGUAAGCCCUUCAGGAGUUGGAGUUCCAACAAGAUUUAAGUCAUCAACAUACACUGCAAUAAUUGCAAAUCCGAUUUUUGAUUUCUUAAUGAAGAUGCAUGGGUAUAUAGGAUUAUUCAUAUACCAUUCUUUUAGCAAGUAUUCGCUAAGGUGAUAGUACCACAUGUGUCCAGAUUGUUUUAAUACAUACAAGGAUUGUUGUAACUUGAUCGAGUACAUGCUACGAGACUUUAUACAAUUUGCUUCAGGCAAUUUAAAUCCUUCAGGGAUUUUCAUGUGUAUAUCAUUAUCCAUGGAUCCGUAUAAAUAUGUUGUAAUAACAUCCAUGAGACACAUAUCUAGUCUUUCUUAGACUAUCAAACUAAUUAAGAAACGAAAUAUGAUUGCGUCCAUGACGGAAGAGUAUGUUUUCCCGUGAUCAAUACCAGGUCUCUACAAGAAACCUUGUGCUUACUAAUCGAGCUUUAUAUCUUAUGAUCUCAUUAUUCUCAUUGUGUUUUUAUACAAAUACCCAUUUGUACCCAACAUGCUUUACAUCUUCAGGUGUUUGGACUAUAGGCCCAAAAACUUCUCGUUUUGUUAAUGAGUUUAACUCUGCUUGCAUAGCUUCUUUCCAUUUUGGCCAAUUAUUUUUAUGUUAGCAUUCUUCCACAUUUUGUGGUUCAGGAUCUUCAUCAUUUCUUAUGAUAUUAGAGGUCACUUGGAAAGCGAAAAUAUUGUUAAUAAUAAUAUUAUUUUGAUCCAAUUUUUUUCCCGUGUAUACAUAACUUAUUGAGAUUUCACAAUUUUCAGGUACCUAUAACUUUUCAGGGGCUUCUCGUUCAAUAUGUGCCUCUUCAAGGACUUCUUAUUCAAUAUGUGCAUCUUCAAGGGCUUCUUAUUCAAUAUAUGCAUAUUUAGAGGCUUUCUGCAUUAUUUGUGCCUCUUCUAGGGCUAUAGAUUUAUUAAUUUUAAACUGAUAAAUCAUUUUGAUGGUCCUCNNNNNNNNNNNNNNNNNNNNNNNNNNNNNNNNNNNNNNNNNNNNNNNNNNNNNNNNNNNNNNNNNNNNNNNNNNNNNNNNNNNNNNNNNNNNNNNNNNNNGGAGUGAGAAAUGGGAGUUAUGGAGAGAGGGAGGGAGAGAAGAAGAGAGAGGUGAGGAGGGGGUGAUGCCAUGAAUUAAGCUCUUGAGAGAGGCUUUUGCUGACCUCAACCCUAGCUUUGUAGCAGAGGAGAGGAAGGACUCCGGCGACGCUUGGAGAGAGGAUCGAAGCCUCUUGUCCAUGGGAGGGGUGGUUUGGGAAUUUUGAUGUUCUCUUCGGCUUCCCCUUUAGAGUGAGUUUUUGAAUAUGGGAGGAGAGAGGUGAGAGAAGGCGAACGUCACUUGCCGGUGAUGCGUUCUGAAUGACGGGCCAAUUAAAAGUGUGAGUGUGGUGGAGAAUGAGGACUUUGAAAAGACUUCGACCUCGUCGUUUUACUCUUGUUAAAGCUGUGAUUUGCCUGUCUUUUUUAAUGGACCGCCAAUACCGUAUAUAUAUCUUAUAAAUUUCGAAUUCGUUGAUGGCGCGCUAUUAGUAAUUAUAGUCGUAACCUCAAUCACCCGAAUUGAGGAUCAAAGAGUUAACGUACAUUUAAGCUUGGGUAUGGGAUGCCGAAUCAUUAAUUUCCAGAAAAUACUUGUCUAAAAAUGUGAUAAAUCAGAUAGUAAUUAUUUUCCUAAAAAUUAAGGUUAUAUCUUCCUAAAACGUAUCAAGAAAAAAAAAUAUUAUGGUUACGUUUGGCUUCCAGAAAAUUUGAGAGAAGAUAUGAACGAAAUAAAAAGCUAAGAAGAGAAAAAAAUAAAAAUAAAAAUAAUAAUAAUAAUAAUAAGUUUAUGUUGUAAAAUAAAGUGACAGAAGAAAAAAGCUAGAAAGAGGGAAUAAAAUGCUUGAGAAAACUAUAUUGAAUUUCAUUAGGGAUCCUUCCAUUUUAUAGGGAGUUAUAUAAGAUAUUUAUAAAUGAUCAUCCACAAGUUGUUAGUGGUACAUAAUCUCAUAUUUUUAUGACACCCCCUUGGAUGAUCAUAAGAAUAUGUGUCAUUAAAACCUUAUUAAGAAAAACCCUAGUGAAGGAAAAAAAAAGUAUAAUAUUCUUUUGGAUUACUACAAUUACAUCGUUAAAAACCUUGCCAAUAAAACUCAAUAGGACAAAACCUGGACGAAGGAAAAAAUAGUGCAGUGUAGUGAUAUUCUUAUCAAUCAGUUCCCCCUCAUGUUGACAUGAUUAUAUUUUCUCUAGUAGUACAUCAUAGAGAUCUUUGAGUCAACGUAUUCCAAUGAGUUUCUUGAGUAUUGCAGUUGACAGUGCCUUUGUGAAUAUAUCUACUAAAUUGUCACUUGAUUUUAUUCAUCGAAUAACAAUUUCAUCAUUCUUCUGAAGUUAAUGAAAGUAAAAGACUUGAACAAUAUAUGCUUAAUUCUAUCACUCUUAAUGUAUCAUUCUUUAAUCUGUGCAAUGCAUGCAACAUUAUUAACUUGGUAACAUUACCUCUGAUGGAGGGUAGUUCGCAUGUUUCCAUUAUUUGUUUGAUUGAUCUCCACGAUAUUGUCAUACCACCAUAUAUAAAUACAUACCUCAUUUGAGAUCGAACUUUGUGGGGGUCUGAAAGAUAGUUAACAUCUACAUAUUCAAGCAAUUAAGAUUUUGAUAAUUCAGAAUAACAUAGACCCAUGUUAUUGUAGUACAUGAUUGACUUUAUUCCAAUGUCUCUGAGUUGGUGUAGAACUAUAUCCCAUAAGUAAAUUAACAAGGAAUACAAUAUAUGGUCAUGUAUAAUUUGCAAGAUUCAUCGGUGCACUAAUAAUAUUGUAAUAUGGUACUUCUGAACCAAGUAGUUUUUCAUUAUCUUCUUUAGGACAAAAGAGGUCAUUUUUCACUUUAAGUGAAUGAACUAUUAUCAGAGAAUUUAAUGGAUGUGAUUAACCCAUAUGAAAGUGCUUCAAAACUUUCUUAAUGUAUGUUGAUUGAUGUACUAAAACUCCAUUUGAAAAUGCUCGAUCUACAAGCUGAAACAAAAUUUUGUUUUUCCAAGAUCUUUCAUCUCAAAUUCCCUUUUCAAGUAAUUUGUUGUUCUUGUAAGCCCUUCAGGAGUUGGAGUUCCAACAAGAUUUAAGUCAUCAACAUACACUGCAAUAAUUGCAAAUCCGAUUUUUGAUUUCUUAAUGAAGAUGCAUGGGUAUAUAGGGUUAUUCAUAUACCAUUAUUUUAGCAAGUAUUCGCUAAGGUGAUAGUACCACAUGCGUCCAGAUUGCUUUAAUACAUACAAGGAUUGUUGUAACUUGAUCGAGUACAUGCUACGAGGCUUUAUACAAUUUGCUUCAAGCAAUUUAAAUCCUUCAGGGAUUUUCAUGUGUAUAUCAUUAUCCAUGGAUCCGUAUAAAUAUGUUGUAAUAACAUCCAUGAGACGCAUAUCUAGUCCUUCUUAGACUAUCAAACUAAUUAAGAAACGAAAUGUGAUUGCGUCCGUGAUGGAAGAGUAUGUUUUCUCGUGAUCAAUACCAGGUCUCUGCAAAAAACCUUGUGCUUACUAAUCGAGCUUUAUAUCUUAUGAUCUCAUUACUCUCAUUGCGUUUUCGUACAAAUACCCAUUUGUACCCAACAGGCUUUAUAUCUUCAAGUGUUUGGACUAUAGGUCCAAAAACUUCUCGUUUUGUUAAUGAGUUUAACUCUACUUGCAUAGCUUCUUUCCAUUUUGGCCAAUCAUUUUUAUGUCAGCAUUUUUCCACAUUUUGUGGUUCAGGAUCUUCAUCAUUUCUUAUGAUAUCAAAGGCCACUUGGAAAGCGAAAAUAUUGUUAAUUAUAAUAUUAUUUCGAUCCAAUUUUUUUCUCGUGUAUACAUAACUUAUUGAGAUUUCACAAUUUUCAGGUACCUAUAACUUUUUAGGGGCUUCUCGUUCAAUAUGUGCCUCUUCAGGGGCUUCUUGUUCAAUAUGUGCCUCUUCAAGGGCUUCUUAUUCAAUAUAUGCAUAUUUAGAGGCUUUCUGCAUUAUUUGUGCCUCUUCUAGGGCUAUAGAUUUAUCAAUUUUAAACUGAUAAGUCAUUUUGAUGGUCUCGUUUAGAGUGUUAAGUUUUUCUUGGGUUCUUCUCUUCUAGGGAGUUACAUCCUUUAAGCCGAUAGGUCUACCACGCUUCAGACGUAUCUUAGAUUCAUUUGUUAAUUGUCCUACAUGGACAUCAAUCCGUGCUGGAGUAUUUGCAGCCGAGAUAUAUGUUUUUGAAACUUUCUUUGUAUUAAUGAAUGCAUCUGGUAAUUGAUUUGCAAGAUUUUGCAAAUAAAUAAUCUUUUAAACUUCCAAUUCAUAUUGAUUGGUACGAGGAUCAAGAUAAGUCAAAGUCAAUGCAUUCCAAAUAAUUUCACGUUGUUCUUCUAGAACUAGCUAUUCUCCCCCUAACGGUGAGAAAAUUGUCUCAUUAAAAUGAUAAUCCACACAAUAUGUCAUUCUACCUUUUAAGUGUAUAGGUAGACUAGUCACUAAAUAAAAACUUCUGGUUUUAUAAUGUACAUCCAUACGACCUUUUACCCCGAGGGACCAAGUUGAUCUUACAAGAUUCUUCUGGAUCUAGCAUCGUAUAAAGUGUCAUUCACAUGGAAUCAAAUACUACUAGUGAUAUGUUUUAAGCUAUUCUGGAGCCUUUAAUCAGGUUUCUAUCACCUGAUAUAGUAUUAACAUUGUCUAUCAUCAAUGUUGUGCAAUUAAUGAGACAAAAGUUUCAUCAAAGUAACAAGUCAUAAAGACUUCAUCUUUAUAGAGUUGAAGAAAUAUUAUUAUAGAGAAAGAGUUAAAAUCAAUGGAAAAAUAUUAGUCAUCGAUGAUGACUUAAUAAGUUUUGUAAAAGCAAUGAGAGCAUAUAUAACACAAUAAAACAAAUAUGAAAAGAUAAUUUAUAAAUGUGAAACAAUUUAUACAUGAAAUAACGAGGAAGUAUUUCAAUAAUCAAAUUGAUUGUAGUGAUAUAUCAAUACUUUUAUUCAAAAUGUUAUUAUAAUCUAAAUCAAUGUGCAAAAAUUAAUUCAUAAAUCAAAAUUUCAAGAGAACAUAUCAUGAUUUAAAGCAUCUUGUUGUCUCAAAACUUUAAUUGAAAUACUACAAAUUCAUCUAAACAUAUAUGUAAAGAUAUAACAUAAUAUAUUGAGAACAAUAGUUGAACCUAUUGUAAUUUCAAAAUUAUUUGGAUAAUAAAAUAUUGCAUUAAUAAAAAUACCAUAUGUGGCAAUGUACAAUUAUAUAUAUUAUUUUAUAUAACUAAAAAAUUUUGAAUCAUAAAAACACGUCUUAAAGAAAAUUGACAUGCAAAAUCAAUUUAUUAAUCAUAUGACUGAGACAUAUAUUUCACAUGUAUCCAAAAAAUCUCAAUUUUCUAAACCAAAAGAUUAUUGUUUAUUAAACAACUAGAAUAAAAAAAAAUAUUCCAAACAAUCACCUCUAAUACAAAAAUAUCAUACUUUCAUGCAAUCCAAAAUUCCACAUUUAUAUGUAAAAAAAAUUCUACCAAUAACAGUAUAACAUAUAAUAAUAGGAGUUUAUAAAAACUAUUAAACACUUACUUGUUUGUAUAACUUGAUAUACAUAAUAUUAAUCUUUUGAUAAUAUGUAAAUAUUAUCUAUAUGUUUGUUAUUAUAGCUUCAGGCUAUAAUAUAUUUCAUUAUAAUUUUUGGUAUAUAAAUUUUAUAAAUUUGUACAAAAUUGUUAGUUAACAAUUUUGUUUUCUAUAGCUUCUAGUUAUAAGAAAGUACAUAUUAACAACUUUGACAUAACCUUUGAUUAGCACAAAGAAUAUUAAUUUUCUUAUUUUCAUAAUUUCGGGUUAUGAAUAAUAAUAUUUAUAUAACUUCUGGUUAUAUAACAAAAUUUUAAAAAAUUAUGUAUCUUUUAGGUACAUAGUUGUUCAUUGAUAAUUUUGUUUUGUAUAACUUUUGGUUAUAUGAGAAAAUUAUAAAUUGUAUGCAUAACUUCUCACUAUGAAACAAUUGUUAAUAAAAAUUGUUUUCCAUAAUUCCUGUUGUGAAAGAUAAGUGAAUAUGAAAAAAAAAAUUAAAAGCUAAUAUUUUUCAUAACUUCGAGUUAUGAUUAUUUUUUCAAAACAAGAAAAUAUUCAAAUUUGUACAUAGCUUUAGGCUAUGAACUAUUUAUGUAUAACUUUUAGUUAUACAAUAUAAUUAAAAGAAAUUAAAAGUUAAUAUCUUUCAUAACUCCAAGUUAUAAUUAUUUUGUAAGAACAAGAAAAUAUUUAAAUUUAUACAUAACUUCAUGUUAUGAAUUGUUUUUUAUAUAAAUUUGUGCAUAACUUCAAGUUAUGAACUAUUCAUUUUAUAACUUUCGACUAUAAUAUUAUUUUGUAUAACUUCCAGUUAUACUGUAUAAUUAAAAAUAAAUAAUUAUGGAUCGCAUACAUAACUUCUAGUCAUUUAUUUGUAAUUUUGUAAUUUUUCUCAUAACUUUUGGUUAUAGGGAUUACACAUAUUUUUCAUAACUUCUGGUUAUGAAUUUACCCUAUAAUUUAUAAUUUAUCUCAUAGCUUCUAGUUAUAGGAAUUGUAUAUAUUUAUGCAUUCGAAUAAAAUAAGUGAAAAUAGAGAGUCAAAGGAUAAUAAAAUAGAAAAUCAUGAUAUAAAUUUAUCAUAUACCUUUUAUGAGAAAGAAGAAAAAAGAGUUUGUUGAAUUUUAUUAGGGUCCUUCCGUUUUAUAGGGAGUUACACAAGAUAUUUAUGAAUGAUCAUCCACAAGUUACUAUAGUGGUACAAAAUAUCAUAUUUUAUAACAAUUUAGAUAUAAUAAAUUAUAUUUAUAUAUAUAUUUUUAAAAUUUAUUUUACUUAUUUCUCUUUAUUAUAUAACAAUAAAAUAAUUUAAGUAUAUAUAAUUUUUUUUUUAAAUUUUAAUUAUAUUUGAUUUUCUUUUUGCAUUUUUUUUAUGGUGAAACAAAAAUAAUUUUCCUUAGUACUUUUUUUUUCCUUGA